UUUUUUUUUUUUUUUUUUUUUUGCUCCAAAUCUUCUUGUCAUAACGUUAGACUGACUUAGUGUAGUGUAUGAAUGUAUGAUUGAAGAUCUAUUACACUUAUCAUGAUCCCAUUGGUUCAAACAUGUUUGGUUUUUUCAAUUGAUAAACAUUGAGCUUUCUAGGUAAUUUUGGUAUUGUUCUUCCCAUGACCAAAUAGCUAAGCUUAUUUUGGCAGAGAAGUCUAUCUUCGGUUAUCCAUGUGAUAAUUACACAUCAUAAUAACUCAGUGGGUGAAUUUUACCUGAACCAGAGAAGUCCCAUGACCAAGUACCUGAACCAGCCCAGUUUUGUUAAGAUGAAUUUUACUUUUAAUCAAAAAGUAAAACUAUAUUACUUUAGGGUAUUUUGAUUAGCUAAAAAUAAAUUUGGAAAUUUGGCGGGAGCCAAGGAAAAAGAAGAAAGGUGGAGGACGGAGGGAAGUUGUUGGUUUUACUUUAAUUUUAUUAAAAUUUUCAACUUUACCCUUGUGUGUUUUACAUAAAACUCAUUUUCCACCAAUUAAACACACCCUUAUAUGCGCUUGAUUAUUGCUUGAAAACUAAACUUAUUUAUUAACACAACGAAAACAACAUAUUGCAUAUAUUUGUAUGCUCAUUAAGUCUCUGGAGAUCCUAUAGAAGGUGUGCUUUGAUUUGUUAAGAUGAUUAGGUUGAUGAAUAGUUAGGGGUUGCAAAGAUGUCUCAUGGAUUCAUAUAUCAGUGUAAGAUUAUGGCCUUCUUAAAGUUCUUCAUAUCCUUUUGUUGAAGAUGUAAUCACUGAAGAUGUAAUCACUUAUCCAAUUUGUGUAAUACCAAAGCGGAGGUCAAGGAAUUUCAAUUUGGGAAGUUUCAUGAGCUUGAUGGUGAGUGGGAUUUUGGGAAAGAAAGCUGAGUAAACAUAAACGAGGUGGUCAAAAUAAUUCACGUUGAUACACAUCACCAAAGGAAGCACAACAAUCUGGUGGAGCAACAGGCUUAUUGGUUGGUCAGUAAUUGCCCCUUGUGUUGUCAAUGUUGGAAGGAAAUGAUGCCGCUUUGGAAGCAUUGAGCACAUGGCUUUGGUUUCCCCUAUUCGAUUUAACCUAUGUUAAAUUGGGGUGAGUAAAGAACAAAUCUUGAACUUCUGAAUCUGGGCGACUUCUUGAAAAGCGAUACUCUAUGUUUUGAAUUUUAAUCCAACUUCCUUGGUUAGAUAAUGGGUAUGCUUUGGUUAGAUCUUUUAGGCAACAAACUGUUCAAGAAGUAUUCACCAGGAUACCUUAAUGAUGAAUGGACAACUUGAUAAAAGUAAUGCAAAUUUUGGAAAAGUAAGAGUUUCUGUGAAACUAUGUUUGAGGAUGCAGGCUGUUUUCAGUUGUGGUAGGUUGUAGAAACCAUGUGUGGAGUUGUGGCUCAAACAUGUCACUUUUCCUAAAAUUGGUCAAUUUUUUGACUGAUAGAACUUAGUUUUUAACUUUAUAUAUUGUUUGAUUGUUAAGAGUGAACAGGAUGUGGAGUUGUUCCAACAUAUUGCUUUUUCUCGAGCUGCACAAUUUAUGACCGAUUAAAGAAAGACUUUUAAUGACACAAUGUACCAGAAUGUCACCUUAUGACCCAACUUUUACAUCAACGUGCAGCAAAGAUGAAAUUUUCCAAAUUCCUUAUGAACAUAGUGAAGCCAAUUUCUUUUACAACUGGCCAGAAGAAUAUCUAGUUCCAUGUAGGUUUCUUUAUAACAGCAGUUAGACUUGUGUGUUGAAAAUCAUUUGCACCACAGGUGUUUUCCCAAAAUUAAACUUUGUUGUUAAGCAUCCUGUACAAGCCAUCCCUUAGAAGUUAGAAGGUAUUGUUAAAAGAUCAUCAAUUUCCUAGCAGAUCUAGCCAAUAUUUUGUAUACAGUGAACUAGAGUUUGGACCAAUCGUAUUUCGAGAAGAUAAGAUUUUGGAUGAUAACUGAAUCAUAGUUCACAGUAGUGAGUACAUUGACUGAUAUUUAUGAUUUCACCCAUUGGUUUACAUGUUUUAUUUUCUUGGUUAGAUUGCAUAUAUUCAUAUAAAGACAUUGUUCACUGAUUGUUUGGGAUUUAUUGUAAAUUUACAAUCCUACUGAAGAGAUUUAGGGCGGAUAUAAUCAAUAAACAACAAAUAGCUUUUUAGUUUGGCUUCACAUAUUUUAUUCUGUUGGAAUUUAUCUUGUUUCUGCGACUUGGUGUGACCUCAUCUACUUAUCUUUUUGGGCUCUGGUUUAUACCCUGCUUAGAUUUAUGUUGUCUGUCUUGGUUAGCUAGAUGAAAGUACCACUUACUAUUUGAGUAUAACAAUGGAGAGAUGUCUUCAAUAUUCUUUAGUAUUUCAACACCUUAAUCAAUGUUGCAUACUUAAUUUUCUUUUCUUUUUCUCCUAUUUUCUCCCAGGUCAACAAAUCUAGAUUCAUGGACUCCUGACCAGUUGAAGAUGAUGAGCUUUGGGGGAAACAACCGUGCACAGGUUUUUUUCAAGCAACACGGAUGGACUGAUGGAGGCAAGAUCGAGGCAAAAUAUACUUCAAGGGCUGCUGAUUUAUACAGGCAAAUACUUUCUAAAGAAGUUGCUAAAAGUGCUGCUGAAGAGGUUGCCUUGCCCUCAUCUCCUGUUGCUUCCUCCCCAGCACACGCUGCUAAUGGGUUUUCAGAUGUCAAGGUUGCAGAAGCCCCUAAGGAAAAUAAAAUUGUUAAACCCGAAACUCAUGAAGUUCCUGCCUCACCUAAAAUCGCUCAUACUGUAAUGACUAGUUCUUUAAAGAAGCCUCUUGGUGCUAAAAGAACUGGAAGCAAGACCGGUGGGCUUGGUGUUCGAAAGCUUACCACAAAGGUAUGGAUUUUUCUGCAAAUGCAAACAGAUGUUACUUGUUAGGUAUUGAUAUAAAUGUUUUGCAAAUGUUACUUGUAACAUGUGGGUGUUGAGCAGUUUCAUAUAGAAUCUGAUGUUUCAGUAUAUUACAUAUUAUGGACAUCAGAACUUAACGAAGGCUUACAUUCUUAAUGCAGCCAAAUGAAAAUCUUUAUGACCAGAAGCCUGAGGAACCUGCUCCUGCAGUUACUACUUCAGUCAAUCCCACAACAUCAUCUGGUUCUUCUUAUCCUUCACGCUUUGAGUAUGUGGAGAAUAUUCAAUCUGUCAAUACCAGUUCAGUGGCACCUGUGAUUGGUCAUGUUUCUGCUCCGAAGUCUUCAAGCUUUUUUGAGGACUUUGGAAUGGAUAGUGGAUUUCAAAAAAAGUCUACCUCGAGUUCCUCUAAGAUUCAGGUAAGCUACUGCAUGUACUUUCGAAAGUUUUUAGUUUAAAUAAGGUAAAAUAGGUAAUCUCUAUUUGAACCCGCUGAAUAGAAAAAUAUUCUUGGUUGGGUUAAUGACGAAAAUUUGUGUUGUCUUUAAAAGCUGAAACUCUCUUAGUAAUAUCUCCUUUUGUUUUUGCAUAUAUAUGAUGAGGAUUUAAUUAUGAAUGUAUGUGUUUGUGCUCUUAUUUCACAUGUGUGUGUUCUUAUUUUGUUUUGGAAGACUUAGGAGACUUUUUAUCUGUGUUGCCUGUGCACUUGAUUAAGAUAUCUUCUUAUGUUUCUUUUAAAUAAACCUUACAAUAAAAAUAUGACCCGCGUGGGGAUUUUAUACCUCAUUUAUGGUGUAGAUGGUCUUCUCAAUUGUCAUUGUAGACACUAGUUGUGAGUAUCACUGAAAAGAGAGAGUUUUCUCACCUUCGUUUAGACGUGGAGCUCCAAAUAUGUAAUCCUCACACAGGGCAGACUUGUCAGUGGAUUAAUUUUCUGCUUAUUGCAUGCUUGGUAUUUUACGUAUAUAUAAUCAAAUUUGAUAGUAAUUUAAUUUGUUAAGACUGUUCAAUUUUAUUUUUUUUUUAAGAAUUUGUAGUAACUCUUGCCAUUUGGCUACAUUGUAUGUUGUUUAGAUUCAAGAGACUGACGAGGCAAGGAAGAAGUUUUCGAAUGCGAAGUCAAUUUCAUCAGCUCAGUUCUUUGGGGAUCAGAAUAAAAGCAAGGACCUGGAUGCUCAAGCCUCUUUGCAAAAGUUCACAGUAUGUGUUAUCAUGCAGCAUCAAUAUGCACUAGUUUUCUUCAAACUUCUAGCCAAUAUUAUUGAGGGAUUAUUGGCACUAGAUUCUUUUUUUUCUUUUUUUUUUCUCCAGAUCAUAUAAAUCAAUUUAUAUUAUUUAUAGGGUUCAUCGGCUAUAUCUAGUGCCGAUCUCUUUGGUAAAGAUAUGGACGAUUCUGGACUUGACUUGACAGCUGCUGAUCUCAUUCACCGACUUUCCUUCCAGGUACAUAUUAUUAUCAUAUUAGCACAGUUAUUUUCAUAUUUUUUAUGAAGCUAACAAUUAGACUAAGAUGUUAUUCUCACCUUAUGGACUCGAGUUAAUUAUUAAUGUGUCUUCUCCUUUGAAAUUUAAAAGAGUUUCUUUAAUAUAUUUUGAUCGGCAUGUCCUUGGAACAUUGAAGUUAUUUUAUUUUUCGAAUUCAGGCAUCACAGGAUAUCUCUUCUCUGAAGAAUAUUGCUGGAGAGACUGGGAAAAAGCUCACUUCACUGGCGUCAACGUUCAUGUCAGACCUCCAGGAUAGAAUUCUCUGAUGGUUGAUGAAUUUGAGCGUGGAUGUUAUCCAAAUACUGGUGUGAUAAAGAAUCUCCUGAAUGAAUUCCAUACCAUAUCGGCAAAUGUCUAGAUGUUAAAAGAGUUUUGUCAUAAAUUCUUUGAGAAGGUUAAAUAAGAUGCUAUCUCUCCCGAGUUUGAUCUUGUUAGGUUGGUGCAGCUUUAUUGUGAAAUAGAAAUAUGUUCUGGAUGAUCCAUACUUAAUCUCAUGAGUUUCUUAAGUUUGUAUUUACGUUUCAAUGACCAUUUUGUAUCUGUGGAGUGUGGACAGACCAGAGUUUCAAACUAUACUGUCAGUAGUAGUGAAGGUGAUACACAUUUCAUUUCUAUCAGCUGUAACCUUUCCCUGCUUUUAACUUUUUAUAUAAUUUAUGUGCUCUCCCUCGGAAUCGACAUGGGAAUUGGUAGUGUUGAGAUUGAUCUAAAAGGUAGAAAGAAGGUUCCAUCAUUCUUUUGAAGCUGCUCAGCGUUUUAGCACAGCCUAUCAAUUUUGGUAUUCACCAAGCUCUAUCAAAUGUGGUAAGAAUCUUUGUGUGUGAGUCGUCAAUGAAGUUUCCCAUUGCCUUAGCAACAGAGACUUGUGGAUUAAACUUGAGUAUUCCGUUAUUAAGAUAGCAAAUUUCAUAUUAGCUGAAGAUGAAAAUUACAGAGAUCUUAUCAUUUGCAAGCACAAGAACAGUGAUUUGGUGGUUCCAUAUCUUGACGAGAAUCUCGUAUUCAUUGAUGCUCAUGAUGCUCACCUUCACAGAGAAUCUUAUCUGUGUAGCCAAUAACUACAUGGGUUUGUGGGACCAUUAAAAUUCUGCCAUAGUUUCCUAUCAUCAAUUAUUGGGGUUCUUGCGAUACCCGGAUCUACUUUCCUGUCAUCAAUCAAUUCUUGGGGUUCUUGCCUGUUAAUAUAUAGAUACUAAAAUUAAAAUGCAAAAAGAUUGUGAGAAGUAGCUGCAAUGGAUUAUUUUUACUAGACGAUAUGCCAGUUGUGGGACGUCUAAUAGUUGCUAAUCCUGUUACUAACCAGCUCGUCGAAUUGCAUUCUUGUCCUCAAUGCACAAACAGUUAGAUAAUAUACAUGGAACCACCCUUCUACUAGUAGAAGGGCUGUAGGGAAUAUAAAUUAUAAAGUAGCUUCUCUUGUUUUCGACAAAACUUCCUUAGAGAUGUGAAAUAGUUACUCUUUAGGGUCAAUUUACCAAUACACCUCCUUUUUGUGUUACGUUUGGCCAAUACAUCCCAUUGGUUUAAAAUUUAUUUUUUCUACCUGUUUAACUGAUUGACUCUGUUACAAUAAACAGUCAACUGAGUUUGACUCAGUCAAACCUUUUAAUUGACUUAAUUACCCUUAAAUUUUAAAAUACCUAAAUUGCCCCGAAAUGAUCUAAGCCAUUGUUCUAAAUCUCGUGAGAUCUCGCGAGAUAUCUCGAAAAUGGGAGUGUUCGGCACGAGAUAUUUGUGAGAUCUCAAAUGGUAUGAUAUCCAUACCAACCUUGUUGAUAUCUUCGAGAUCUCGCGAGAAAUAGUGAGAUCUCACGAGAAAUUACGAGAUCUCGCGAGAAAUCAUAUUUUUAGUGUUGAGAUGCUCGAGAUAUAAUGAUUUUAUUUUUUAAAAAUGAUAAAUUUUUUAAAUUUUUUGUGGAGUUAAAUUAAAGGAUUGCUAUCAAAUUGCAAAUAUUAGUUUGUUCAAAAUGAAAUUUUGAAUUUGAAAUCGUGAAAUUCGUAGAAUUCAACUUAUAGAUCUUGUAAUUGACUUAAUAAGCUAAAAAUUAGUUGAAUUUAGGUUAUUGCCCAUAAUUUGUUUAAAUCAAGAAGAAAUCUAUUAAAAUUAAAUUUAAAAAGACUAAUUAGAUAUAAAUAUGUGUCGAAAUAUGCUAAAAAAACUUGUUCAUCUCAACAAAGACACCCGAGAUCUUAAACGAGAUCUCGAGUUUUAGACUUGUCGAGAUCUCGAGGAAUUCGAGAUUUUGAACAAUGAUCUAAACCAUCAAUCCAAUAUGUAUAUUAAGAUCUAAUCUAAGCCGUCGAUACUUAAAAGACUAAGUUGCUAAUUUCUUACAAUCUAAGCCGUCAAUUUAGUUUUUGAUAGAUCUAAUCAUAGAUUGUUACAACAAACAAUACGUUUUCUUCCUCGUUGUAAAACAUUAACAUCACUUGGAGGCUUAUUCCACAACAACAAAUUGAACCUAGCAAUGGUUGAUGUCGAAGUUUCUUCGUCAAAACUUAAGGUAAUUCGUUCUUGUAAGGUCAAUUCGAUGGUUAAUUUCUAAAAUUUCUGAAAUAUAAUUCGAAAAACUGGUUAUUCAAUUUUCUGAUUUCUCAGGUGAAUUCAAAGAGGUGCUAUUAUUGUGGGGAGCUAGGUCAUUGGAAGAAUGACUGUGAUUGGAAAGAUUACUUGUGUGUUCUCUGUAAAAAUCAUCCUAUGAAGCUUUUCACAAGCAAUCAAGAGAACACCAAAGGGGAUAAAGUUUUCAGGUGUGAGUCUUAACCAUUAUGUAAUGGAUGUGAAUGGUUUAGUGCAGCAAAAAAGAAGAAGGAAAAACAAGAGAAAAUCAAAUCAGAUGACCAAGAGAAGAUUACAAAGAAUGAAGGCAGUGUUAUAAAACUAAGGGUCAGUUUGAAAACGAAUUCCCGUUUUGUUAGGUUUUUAGACAAACCGGGCAAAAGUGCGGCAAAUGACACAUUUGCCGGUUCCAUUGGUUUUGAUAAAACUUUCGAUUUUGGCAAAACCUAGUAGGGUUAAGUAGCAAAGUUGAAGGUCCAUUGGGCUGGGUCAAAAAAAACAAGUCCAAACUUGAUUGGGCUGUGUAAAAGACCACGACAAUCCAUUUUUUUCGAACAUUUGUAUUCAAGUGACCACAUAUCACCCAAGUUAUGGUUGAGUCACCCUAGUAACUCAAUAACAUUUAGCAACCAAAAAAAAAAAAACUCAAUAAUAACAUUUGUUAUUUUUGCGUAUGUACAUGUAUUAAAAAAAACACCCAAAUUAACGAAACUAAACAAAAAAACUAUAUCAACAAUAACACACAUAAUAGAUAGAUAAUUAUAUACAUUGAUAUAAACAUAGUUAUAGGUUUCUAUAAAGUUUACAUAAAUAAGUUUUUGAAACUGUUAUCAACACGACCCAUAAGUCAGACUAGAAAAAAAAAACACAAUCAACCUUCUUGCUGAACACAUAACUAGACAACAUAUGGUGAAGCUAGAGUACCACAACCUUCCUCUGGUUCGGUCUGGUCUCUUGUUGGACAUGAUUCGGCUCUCUGAAACCCAGAAAGCCAAGUCCUUGUAGCCGGUACACGCCCACACCAAAGCUUGUCGGGUUAGUGCUCAUCGCAGUGCACAAUCUGAAUUCUCAUCCUCCCCAAUCCGUGUGUGUGACAAAGAGCCCAACACUCGAACAAAAUGGUGUCUCCGGCCUUGAGAUUGACGGCAUCAAUGAAACGCUUCCACCCAUUGUAGCAGAAGUACAAAGAAUCAUGGCCAUCAUGACUAACAUCAACCUUGAAGCUUUGUUCAUCGGGCAGGAUAAACAAGAGGCGCCUGCAUUGUUCGAACAAAUACUUGUUCGCAGCAGGAAUUUUCUGCCAUAUAUCAACAGUAUAUAUCAACAUUGCUAGCCAUAUAUAUCAAACAGUUUUGUCAAACAGUUCUGUCAUAUAUCAACAGUAUAUAUCAACAGUUCUGUCAUAUAUCAACAGUUCUUGCAAUGCACAUAUAUAUCAAACAGUUCUGUCAUAUAUCAACAUUUCUGGCCAUAUAUAUCAAACAGUUCUAGCAAGAGUUUUCUGCACAUGUAACAGCCCAUAUAUAUGUGCACAUUUCUGGCCAUAUAUAUCAACAUUACUAGCCCAUUACUGUGAGGUCCAACUAACAGCCCAAAGCCCAUCAUUUUAAGUAAGUCCAUACAUAAGUUUAGGAUUUUGCUUACCAUGACACAACAGUUGGUCACAUGGCCCUUGCUACACUUCUUGAUCCAGAAGGGAUUAUCUGUCUCAAUUGGCUUUAGUUUAUGUGCCAUUGGUUGGUUCUCUGCAACACAUAUUGCAAUACCCAUAAGUUUACAAAUUUAUUACUCAACAUACGUACACAAUGCUACACAUGAUGAGCAACAAUUUGUUCAAAUUAGACUAGCAAUGUUCCAUACAAAAUAUAAGCAACCAUUUGUGGCUCGACAAUGUUAAUCCGCAACGGCGUAAGUUAUACAAUAUGUUCCAUACACAAGAUAAUUAAUACAAAGCACUUUACGACCAUUACAUGAUACAUAUCAAGACAAAAGUUGUAAAAUUAAACCAUUAAAAAAGAUCUCUUUGGAAGAUAAUGAAUACAAAGCACUUUACGACCAUUACAUGAUACAUAUCAAAACGAAAGUUGCAAAAUUAAACGAUAAAAACCUCUUUGAAGAGGUGUUUGGACACUGGAUAGACAAGGAAGUUUUUGUCCUUAUACUUUGACUCAAAAACACGGAGUCUUGGAGUAGCGAAGCCCAACUGAAAUCGGUGGCUCUAAUUUUGCAUGACAUUGGACACCACUCAAACCCCGGAAGAUUACACAAAGUAUUUAUGUCCAUUGUCAUUUUUUUAAUUGUCUUUAUUCACGCCUUAACAUCAAAUUCGGUGACAUUAGAAGUUGUCGUUCCGGUUCGUAUAGUUUUCGCAACCUCAAUGAGUUCAUUGGUUACAAAUCGGCCAUCGGGUCGACGAAUUCUACCUGUCCUAUCGGAUAGCAAUAUGGUGCACAAAUUGAUAUCCAUAUACGUUGACCAAUGUGGGGGAUUGCCGUUGUUCAUACUUUUUAACAAUUCUGUGAAAGAAAAAUUACAAUACUAUUUUAAAAUGUGUCUUACACAUAACAUUAAAAAUGAAAAUAUGUCUUACAUAUAACAUAAAUGUCUAGUCACGACUACAACAAUCACAAUAAUUGGCACAAUCCCACAUACAUGGGUUGCCUAAGCAGUGCAAACAAACACCAUCAUCAGGUGGUGGGAAAGAAAUGUGCUUCCAAUAAUUUGCACAAUCACCAUGACAAGGGUUUUGAAGACAUUUCGCACAAAUUAUCUCAAGGUCUCCUCCGGAUGGUGGCGAUACAUGGAAUGGAUACAAGAAUCUAAUUCAUGGGCAUGUUUGAUUAGCGCAUUUUGCAAAGCAUACCCACUGCUUGUCAUUGUUCCCCAUUCUCUUGUGCAUUUUCAUCAAACCAUCGCACUCAAGGUUGUCACAAUGCAUGAAUGGUUCGAUUAUUGGCAAACAAGGGAGGAAUUCAAACUGCCCGUAUUGGUUAAUUUUGUAUAAAUUGCACGCUUCUCGGAUCCUUUCAUCUUCGUCAGUGAUAAUAGUUCGUUUUAGGCGGAUGAAGUCUAUUAAACUAACCAAAAGUUUUGUGCACUCCCAAAUGUCUUGAAAUCGACUAGCUAAGUGGCCUAGUUCCUUUCUUUCAACAACUCCCUCCAUCUCGUGAAAACGAGCCGAAAUAUCUGUCCAAUAACUUGUACCAGCAUCAUUAAUCGGAGGACAAGUGUGUAUCGAUACCCAUGCAAAACACAAGUUCUCGUCUUCCUUAGGAGUCCACCACACCAUUAUCUGAGUUUGAUUCUAGUCCUAACAUUGACAAUCCAAAGAUAAUAAAAAUUAUAAUAUUACCAAAACAUUAUACGAACAACAACCAAUAAAUCCACCUACUCAUAGAUAAUUAAUGAAGACAAUUACCACCUACAUAAAGUGUUUCAUAAAACACUUUUUAAACCUCACACAAACACUCGUUGCCUACAAACGAUAUUUUGCUGACAGUUCCAAGUACACCGGGUACGCUGGAACAUACAUGUUUCUAAUGUGUGUGUAAUACUCAGGUAUAUCUUCCUCUAGGGCAAUCCAGUCAUCGUCCGUUGCAAUCACCGUACUUCUUUCAUUGUCCCAAUGAAAUCCUGGAUGCUCCUCACACAACUCAGUGAUAAGUUUAGCCAAACGUUUCAAAUUGCGCAAACGAGCCCAGAUGUUUUCAGCACACAAAUCCAGCCUAGUGUGCUGAUUUAAAACAUCAGAAGCCUUUACCAUUCCUGAUCUAAGACGAACCAUAAGUGGACAUGGUGUAUCGUCUGCCAGCAUAGCAGUGCACAUCGUGUGGUCCGUAUCUGGAGUCCACGCGAACAAACGACGUCCUAAACGGGGAUUUUGGUUUGUGAAUAAUUUGCACCAUUCCCACUGACUAAAAUAAUCACAAUUAUAAUUAAACACAACGCAACCACAUUGACAACAAAAUAACAUGGACAUCCCAAGAAAUAUAACACGUAAAUUAUAGACAUUCAGAUUAAACCAUUCUGACAAUCCAAGUUAAAAGAAAUAGAUACAUAAAAGUUAUUGAAAACAAUGUUUAACCGUCACAUCUGACCAGACCCUUCAAAGUUAAAAUAAAGUUAAACCAGCGAACUGAAACAAGAUUACUAUUGUUUGAAGCCCACUCACUGAAACUGAAACAAGUUAACCAGCAAACUGAAACUGAAACAAGAUUACUAAAAUAAAGUCACAUCUGACCAGACACUACUCCGCAGCCCACUCACUCCCAUUAAAAGGCUUAACAUAAUUGAGCUUGCUAACCAACCAAUCAAGCCUCAGAUCAGUAUCUAUCCCAAGAAAUAUCUUCGCUUGCUUGUUUUCAACGCCAAGAAAGUCAAGACCCUUCAGAUACAAUACUCUGUCCCCAUUGCUUACCUCUUUUGAUUGCAUCACACAGCUCAUCGAUAUUAGGAUCAGCAAAUGCCACUGCCAAGGUCUUAACAGCUUCCAUGAUGCCCGCAGCAUAAUCAGAGUUACUUGGAUCUGAUGGUCCCAAACGUGAUUUCUUGCGCUUAUUCUGAAUGGGUUGCACUGGGGUGGAAUUGGGUGCGCACGAGGGGCAGAUUCAUUGCAGUUGCUAGAGCUCUCAUUGUUUGUUGCAGUAGCAGAUGCAGAUGUUUCAUAAGAUCCAAUACCAGCACCAACAUCAUCCCCCAAUUCAGUAUACGAAUCAGCCCCCACUACAUCUGUUUAUUGUGUAUAUUUCGUGAGUGAGUGUAUAGGUUUUAACCGAAAGCUUUGAAAAUACAUUUUUUAAAGGAUUUUAGCUUACCGGCUACUCCAGGAGACCCCUCAACUUGUUCUUCGUCAACUUCAUCACCAGCGCAUGCCCCUUCACCAUUUGCAUAGUCGUUACCGAUGAUGAGGCUCAAUUGUUCAAAAUAUGGAAAAUGCUUGCCACGAAGGUUACGGGCAUCAGGAUGUGAGAAACUACAAAUAGUGCUAGUAUAACAAAUGUGAAUUCAAACAAGCAAUCAAACAAUACGCAGAAAGUAAAUAACACACAGAGAUUUUUAACGUGGUAAAACCCAAACAGGGAAACGUCCACGGUUGUCCUCGCGACAACAAAAUAAUCCACUAGAUGAAAAGAGAUGUACAAACCUAUCAACUACCUGCACUCACUGCGAGUUGAUACUCCUGGUUAUCUCUAACACCUUGACUUCACCAGAGCACCUUGAUGUACGCACAAGACACUCGACUUCUUGAUGAACACACAAGAAGACUCGAAGCCGAAUUCACAAUAACUCUUGAAGAUCACAAAGAUAUGAAUUUAGAAAAGGGGGAAGAAAGGGAAUUGAGUUCAAUAGCCACAAACACUUUCAAUAUCAAAAACCUAACCAAAACACAUGAACUAGAAGAAGAAUGGACGGCCAAAGAACUAACUUGUUCUUUGGAAGAGAAACCCUUUUUAUACUUAGGGUUGGAAACCAAGGAAAAUGGGCCGAAACAGUGCAAACCGACUUUGGACGUUCGUACGUCGAUAUGACGUUCGAACGUCGCCACACAAAAAUAAGCCUGCUGCCUACCAUGACGUACGAACGCUCUAACUCGGUACGUACGUCUCCACACGAAACACGUCUGCUGCCUACUUGGAUGUACGAACGUCCUAACUGCGUACGUACGUCCUGACCAAAAGAUGUUUGCUGCUUCAGUGAACGUACGUACGUCCUAACUCGGUACGUACGUCCAGAACCCUAUAACUUUUACUGGACAGACCUAAGAGACACAAGGACACGAGACGACCAUGCGUACAUCUUGAUUUUCCUAACAAUGAUUUCAAGGCGAGAUAACCAAGGACACUUUGUCACAAAAUUGAUGUCAAACCACUUCGUGCCGGUUUCAGGAUGAGCCUGUAAAGCACCCAAAAAAGCUUUACCAUCCUAUAGCACAUCAUUUUACUAGCUAAUUGAUCAAAUUGAUAAAAGUUCGUGCCUUACCAGAAAGUAACGCUCCCAUACAUCCUCUUCGGCAGCAACAACAGUCUUGUUAUUAAAAUUAAAGGUAAAUCCAAAGCCCGACAAAUCCAGAAGUUUUUUACACAACUUGUAGUCCUUCCUAAGUGUCUUGACCCUAGUCCGUACAUGUUUAGAAGUGACACUCAUGCGUAGGGUUGUAUUGAUACUGUCUGCAGCUGCUUUCAAAGAUUCAGUCCUUAUUCCAUUAUCAGCUCUCUUGUCAUUCCUUAACACCUCUUCAUACAAGGUGUUUAGCAUGACCUCUUCUAUCUUUUUGGACCAUCUUAUAUGGGACUUAGUCGAUGGAGUUGGCUUGUCAGAUGGAAAGUAUUCUGGUGCCGGUGCAGCAUUGCCUUUCUUGGUCUUUCUAGACUUCCUAAAUUGUCCGCUCGACAUGGUUUUACCUGAUGAUAUCCAAAUUCACAACUAUUACAUACAUCAACCAACCAUUUAAUCCAAAAAAAUAUCAUCUUAAACAACAUACAUACAUCCAAACAUAUCAUCUUCAAACAACCAUACAUAACAUUGUUCAUAACAUCCAAGACAAAUUAUUCAAACUUAUUACAACCAAUAAAAUUAUUCCAAACAACUUCUCAAGUUGACAAAUACAACACCACCAAGCUCACUCAGCAACCCCUUCAUUGUAAUGAACAUAGUUACUCCACAUCUCAUUUUUUACCUCAUCACGCCAUUUAGUCCAAGCCCGUGAUGCAGUUAUGAGUAUGUCUCCACCUUGUUCAUUAGCACCAUCAUUCGCCUCGGGGGGAAUCGGUUCUUCUGGUUCCUCCAAGUCUGGCUCUAUUUCAUCGGUUGGAUCAUGAUCUUUGAGAAAGUUGUGGAUCGCACAACACGCCAAAACUAUCUUUGUGUGGGUCUUCACAUCAUGGAACGGUACGCGCUUUCCUCAAAUAAGCGAAUCGCUUCUUCAACACCCCUAUGAUCCUCUCAACAACGUUGUAGAAUGGAAUGCCGGCAGUUGUACAACUCUUUAUCAGUUUCUACGGCGCGAUGUCCUUGUUCUUUGACAUGGUAUCGGACGCCACGAUAAGGUGUGAGGAAGCCAGGACUUAAUACGAAGCCCGCAUCCGCAAGGUAAUAUUUACCCUUGGCCAAGGUUAACCGUCUUCCUUGGCGAGUAACCGCACAUCUCAACAACCGACCAUCAUGCGCUGAGCCUUCCCAUCCAACCAGAACAUAAGUGAAUCUCAUGUCGAACGUACACGCGACUAGAACAUUUUGAGAAAUCACUCCCUUCCGGUUACGAUACCUUGGCUGAUCAUUGGGGCACUAAGGUGGGAAAGUGGGUACCAUCGAUUGCACCGACAGCGUCCUAGUGAAGAUAUGACCUAGUUAGUAAUCGAAUAAUUUGAUUCUAGGGUGAUAAAACACACGAUAAUUUUUCUAACCUUGAAAUACUUAUGCCAAAAGACAUUGCCAGGACCAUCAGCGAAGGGCGAGUUCUGAUCAGUAGCAUUGACAACCACUUGCCUGUACAACUCUACGCAAGCAUUCAAGACCAAGUGGAAGUAAUGACUCACAGUCUGACCAGAACGCCUAAACUCGUGACGUGUUCUUCUACACCGAUUGUCGUGACCAACUAUAAGCAAAAACAUUGCAACUUGUUCUUCAACCGACACGUACCGAGAGUCGGUUAAACCUAUAGUCUUCAACCUAGCACAUAAGCGAUGGAAUGCAAAACGCCUCAUCCUCAAUUGGUUAUGGCAGUCAUUGUCAUUAUCGGUAUAGAAACGAGCUAAAGUUGCGCCUCGCGCUGAAUCCCUAUUGUAGGUAUAGGGAGCCCUAGGAACUCUAGGAAUGCGGUUACGUCUUGCGUUCGAGGCAAGAUAUUGCAAUAACCAGUCCACAGCUACAAUUACAACAGUAGCUGUAACCAGACGUUGAUCCUCACUGGACAUUCUACAUAACAAGCGGUCGGUAAGUAUAAUAAUAAGGUUAAUCAUUUAAGUAGUUAGAAGAAGGUUAAUCGUUAAUCGUUAAUCAUUAGAGUGGUUAGUAGCGAUUAUAUCAAUUCGUAAUUGCUUAGAACAUUCUAAUUCAUAAUUUAACAAGGUCAUAAUUGUUAAUAAUGCCUUUUUAAUCAAACAUUAUAAUAAAUGGUUAAUUUUUACAUCAUCAAAUUUAAUAAAUUCUUUACAUAGAAUCUCACAGUACGAAUAACAACUUAAUCAACAGUGCAAUUACAACAACUAGCAUCACCAACACCAACUUCUUGACAAACCACCAAAAGUCGUCCACCACCACAACAUUGUUUGUUCCACCAAUGUUUAAGGGUUGACCACCAACUAGUGGAGGUACAGGUGCCUGAGAUUGAGCGACAGAUUGGUAAGAUUGACCAGAUUGCUCGGGCAGUUGUGGCGCAUGAAUAAAAGGCUGGGACAAAAGAUGUUGGGGAUCACAUAUAGGACGAGAUGAUUGACAGAAUCCAUUCGUAAGUUGUUGCUGAAGCAAAUGUCUUACUUCAGCAAUAGUAUAAGCACCACGCCAAUCAGUGUUACUAAAUCCGUCUGUCUGUGCCUUGCACUCUUCCCAAGUAGUGUAGAUACCCGAACAAAACCCACGGCGCACAAUGUAAUAACAAUACUUACCCAUUAUCUGAAAAUUAUUAAUUAAAAUGUUUUUAACAGGAUGGGUUAUCAGAUUUCAAUUUAUGAAUUCAUAUUUCAUUUUGUUUUUUAAUUAUUAGAAUAUAAGAGGUUUAUUUUCAGGUAUAGUUGUCGCAAUCACAUAUACUAUGUGAUUGCGAACAGUUCUAAUAAAUAGUGUAAAUAGUGUGAUUCUAAACAAUUCUAAAUAGUGUGAUUUUAAACAGUUCUAAUUAUUCUGAUUCUAAAAAAAUUAAAUAACCAUGGCAACAAUAUAUUAGUCUAAAGAAUUGAUACUAAAAAUAUGGCAGCAAUAAAUAGUUAACAUUUAUAUGCUAAAACAAUUACAAUAUAACAAAAUCACAACAAAAAAUUGUGAUAAUAUAUCAGCAUUUAUUAUGUCAGAACGGAAAAACAACCAACCUUGAGCAGCUAAGCUAGACAGUAGCGAGACAACGAACGACGAGAGAAAGCGAGAGACUGGAAGGAUGAGAGAGCAAAGCUGGCAAAAAUUAUAUACAUUAAUACAUUGUUUAGAACCAUAUUCAAAACAUUGUUAAAAAACUCAUACCUGGUACUGAGAGUGAGGUAGAUGAAAAUGAAAGUCUGCAAAAAAUAAAAACGAUAUAUCAAUCGUUGUUGUACAACAAAUAUAAUUUGAAAAACAACGUCUAAAAAAAUAAAUAUAUAAAUAGUGUCAAACAAAUAGAGCCAACCUGACACAAAAGAAACCCGUCUGCAAAAUAAAAACAAGUAUCAACAAAUCAUUACAGUAAUGGAAUCCAAGUAAUGUAUUCAAUAGGGUUUCAAAAAAUUAUUAAAUUUAAUUAUGUUUGCAAUAUUAUACUCAUUUUUCAAACAUACAUUAAUAAUAUACUGCAUUAUACUUAAAACCCCCAAAAUAUAAUUUUUCAGACAGAUCCAAUAACAUAUCAAUUGAAGUGAAUUUGUGUGCAAAUUACAUUGAAACAAUGUUAUAUCAAAAAACCCCUAAAAUCUAGGGUUAGGGUUUGAAAAAAAAUUAAAAUUUUAACAAAUCAACACCUAAAACUUAAAAUUACAGUCCAUUGAAGUCAAUUUGUGUUCAAAUUACAUUGAAACAAUGUUGUAUAAAAAAAACCCCUAAAAUCUAGGGUUCGUGUUUGAAAAAAAAAAUUAAAAUUUUAACAAAUCAGCACCUAAAACAUAAAACUACAGUCAAUUGAAGUGAAUUUGUGUUCAAAUUACAUUGAAACAAUGUUGUAUAAAAAAACCCCUAAAAUCUAGGGUUAGGGUUUGAAAAAAAAAAUUAAAAUUUUAACAAAUCAGCACCUAAAACUUAAAAUUACAGUCAAUUGAAGUGAAUUUGUGUUCAAAUUACAUUGAAACAAUGUUGUAUAAAAAACUCCCUAAAAUCUAGGGUUAUGGUUUGAAAAAAAAAAUUAAAAUUUUAAUAAAUCAGCACCUAAAACUUAAAAUUACAGUCAAUUGAAGUGAAUUUGUGUUCAAAUUAUAUUGAAACAAUGUUGUAUAAAAAAAACCCUAAAAUCUAGGGUUAGGGUUUGAAAAAAUAAAAUAAAAUUUUAACAAAUCAGCACCUAAAACAUAAAACUACAGUCAAUUGAAGUGAAUUUAUGUUCAAAUAACAUUGAAAUAAUGUUGUAUUAAAAACCCUAAUAAAAUUCUAGGGUUAGGGUUUGAAAAAAAAUUCAAAUUUUAACAAUUCAGCACCUAAAACUUUAAUUCGAUGCAAUUGAAGUCAAUGUAUGUUAAAAUUAAACCGAAAUUAUUGUAUAUUUCAACAGUUCAUCAUCAAAAUUUCAAACAGUUCAAAUGAAGAAGUGAAAUGAAGAAGAAGAACUAAAGAAGUUGAAAUCUUUACCUUUUACGAAGAACUAGUAGAAAAAGAAGUGAAAUGAAGUUAAUCGCCUUCGUCUUCACAAUCGCCACCCUUGCGCCGCCAUGAAAGAGUUGUUCGCUGUUUAGAAGAAUAGGGUUUUUUUGUGUGGAAAAAUAAUAUUUAUACCUGGCAAAUUUUACCAGGUUAAGUGGCAAAGCAAAUUUUGCCUGGGGUUGAGUCAAACAAAAUUUGUCCGCCUUGAAGCGGGAAUUGGGGCAAAUUUGUGGUCACGUGCGGGUAUUGGGGCAAAUAAUGUCGGAUCACCCACGUGUGUUAUCAAACGGUGACAAACACCAAAAAAGCGGGCAAAACCCAAUUUGCCGCAGGAAAACGCUGUUAUCAAACACUACCUAAGAAUUGAAGGCAAGCUUGGAAUGACAGCUGAAGGGUCUGCAGAAGAUAUGGGUAUUUUAAAAUUUAGGGGUAAUUAGGUCAAUUAAAAGGUUUGACCGAGUCAAAAUCAGUUGAUUGUUUGUUGUAACAGAGUCAAACAGUUAAACAGGUGGAAAAAGCAAAUUUUAGACGAAUGGGAUGUAUUGGCCAAACGUGACACAAAAAGGGGGUGUAUUGGCAAAUUGACCCUACUUUUUAUCGAAAACUGGAUCCAGUUUUCAUGACAAAACUGGUAUGUAGUGAAAUAUGGCUCCCUUAGGCCUUACCAUCAAAGGACUUUCAUUUUAUUUGUUGUGGAACUUAUGAAAAUGAUAGGGCAGAGUCUCAAAGAUUGUUUCAUUUGAAACUGCUCGAUCGGUAGAAGUUUUACAAGUCAGAAGUCCCUAAAUGUUGUUACACUAGAGUGGAUUCGUUACAUGAUAUAGAAGGUUGUCCAUCUCUUGUGGUGCGAAAUAAGGAGGUACAAAGUCGUGAGUUAUGUCAAUGAAAUAUUUGGGUUCUAAAGGAACUAAACCGGGGAGAAUAGCAUUGGCACAAGCUAUACAGUGUGAACCUCAUAGCAUAUGGUAAUAGAUUUCCGCAGUGAUGGGAUUAUUCAGAUGUUCUUGCUACUCUAGAAAAAUGGUAGAUUCUUCAUCUUAUGAAGUUGGGAAGAAAAUAAAAAUGUAUAGUCUGUUCAUUAUGUUCAACUUCAGCAGUUAACAUCUUUAAAACUCGAUCAAGCCACAAGUGACAUAUGCUUUCCUACCUCAUGUUCAGAGCCUCAUUCCCUGCCCAAAUUCUUGAGGAUAUACGCCACUCUAUUACAGUAGUUAGUUCUUUUUUUCUUUUUUCUUUUUUGAUUAUUAUUAUUGGAAAAAAAAAGAGACUAUAUUGGUGUGAUGUUAGUAAUUUGUGAGACGUUGUCUUAAUUUCUUAGCUACAAACUAAUGUAAUUAAAUUGCACCCAGGAAACAAUUUAGAAGUUUCAAAAUGCUAUUAACAGAGAAAACAUAUGUAUUAUUAUCCAUAUGAACAAGUACCAGAGGAUGAUACUACAACAAAAACACACAUAUCUACGCGUAGUAUAGACCGAUGCAGAUCAAUCUUUUCCACUUCUAUCCAUAUUGAUCUCAUAGAGAAUAACAAUCAAAGCAACGAUGAAAGCAUAAUCGAUGUUUGGGUAGACAGUCACUCCGAAUGAAUCCUUCCCAAACAAUACACUCUGGAUAUUAUAUUUCUUGUGCAUCUGCAUCAACAACAUUAUGCCAUAAAAAAAAAUUGAGAAUUGAAACUAUAUAUAUUCCACGAACAACUCUAUAAGCCUAUAUAAAUUACACACGAAACAAAAACAAAUUAUGUAUGUCUUACUUGAGCUAGGAUGUUUUUAGUAUUUCCAUGAUAAACAACACAUGAUCUUUCACCCCAGCUUCCUUUGAUCUUGAAAUCGCAUACAUCCUUUGUGGUAUUUGAUGCAAGAAACACAUGUAAGUUUGUCGUAAACUGAAUUAUAGAAGACUUUUUCACACUAAACAAUAGCUCUGUACUCUCUCCCCUGUAAACUUCCCACCUUCUAUGCGCAGUUAACGUCUGAAACAUAAUCAAAGUGAAAUGAAACUAACCUUAUAACCAGAAAGAAUCACGCAAAAAGCAAGAAUCUAAUCUUCACACACGGUUAAUGAAAUCAGGUGAAAGACUUAGAUCCAUAUAACAUUGUCAAAUUUAAUUUCAGUCCACAAACAAUAGUUCUAACUUCUAAGAAUGCUGUUUGUGGGAAAUCUCUUUACAGAAAAUAAUGGUUUUAAGGUUGAUAAAUCACCUUUUGGCGUAAAGUGACGAGAGGGUUGCCUGCAACAUCGCGAAGCACACGCUUAUCGAAAAGGCUAAACAUAACGCCUUUUACCUGGAAGAUGAUGUUUCCAUUUACGUCAGUAACAGUAAAGUUACCUUCUCCAAUGGACAGAGAUUUCUCGGAAAUGGUAAGAUCUACUGGGUAUGGCGCGCAGAAUUGUUGUCCAAUUACGGUGACUGGACAGCUUGCUAAUGGAGGAGGGGGGGUUGGGUUAGGCAUAGGUUGACCUGGGAAUGGGGCAUACCCUGGUUGUUGAGGUUGGGGUGCCAUUGGCAUUGGGGGAUAGCCUGGUUGUUGGUGUUGGGGUGCCGAGGGGUCAUAGCUUGCUUGUUGUGGUUGAGGCGUGGAGGGGUCAUAACUUGGUUGUUGAGAGUAGGGAACCAAUGAAUAGUUUGGUUGUUGAGGAUGGGGCGUGGAUGCCAUGGAGGGGUCAUAACUUGGUUGAUGAGAGUAGGGAACCAAUGCGUAGUUUGGUUGUUGAGGAUGGGGCGCCAUGCCAAAUGCAAAUGGGGUAUGGUUUGGCCGUUCCAUAGCCAUGGCGCCCAAAAUUACUCUCUCCCCAAGAUUGUUUUUGGUUCACCGGAACUAUGGUGGGAUCUGAGGGAAGAGAGUGGAACUAUGUAUCCAAUAAACCAUGAAUGAAGAGCAAUUCAUAAAUAUAUAUCCUAUUCAUGUGGGAGGUUAGAGACUGUUUUUCCUAGCUAUUUUUGCAUGUUCCACCUGUGAGGUACGUACUCAAUACCGAUCUCAACUACUCCUGUUUUGUAGCACUGAACAAUAAGUUUAGUUAUUCUGGUGGAAUCACAUAUUAUGGUUCUGAUUUCUUAAUCAAAUAACCAAAUGUAAAGCAGUAAAGGCAUCAAGAAUAGUGGCUCUCUUCACUCUCUGUAUGACUGUAUCUUUCAGAACACACGGAUUACAAGUAAUUGAAUAACUUUUAUAAUUUAUACUACUAUCUGAAUGACUUCGGGAUUUCUUGGUGAAAGGAAGCAAAUGUGGUGUAUCAGGCUAGCAGCAUAAGAAUGCAAGAAAAGCACAAGGAAAGUGCCCUUCUACAGAGCAUUCAGACUCGAGAUUGUAGAGAAAGGUGAGGUAUUCCACUUGUCAACUGUAUUGAAAUGAAUAGCCAAUUGAUUGAGCCUUUUGCAUACAUGUCUCUCUAAGCAACUAAUUCCCUUGGUCUGAUUCCAGCCUAGAAAUCCAUCAUUCAUAAUAUUGGUAAAAACAAAUAGAGUAUGAAACACAAUUAUUGCUAUCUAAUGAAACCUGAAAGUUCGGAAGGCAUUUUGCAAACUUAGUUCUUGGCAUCAUGCAAAAAAUUGCAGAAUGCAGAGCAUGACAUAUCUCUGUAAUUGGAACAUCUGUACUCUUCUAAAAUGGACCUCUGUUAAAUUAGAGGCUUACCAGGUGACCAGAGUACAAGAAACUGGGUUGUGUGAAAAAACAAAUGAAACUUGAUCAGGAACUCGAUCUUCAAAUUCCAGUUAGUAUUGAAAACAUAGAUGCAACUCUUAGCACAUUGGUUAUUUUGACAAUGAAAUCAGAGCAUUUAAUUAUAAUUAUUAAGACUUUAUAUUUCUCAGUUUAUACUAAUUCGCUUAAUAUAAUCAUGGUAGGACAAUCAUCAUGAGAAAUUUUAUUAGUAUAAUUUAUAACAUCCGUUCUCUUGCCAACCGAAUGGCCUGCCUUCUCUUAGGGUCAUCUAAGUUAGCUGACUUUAUAUUCUGCGCAGGCACGCAGUCAUCUAAGUUUGUCUGGUGAAUACUGAGAAAUGUAAAGUCUGCUUCUUCAAACUUAGAUGACUGCAUGCCUGCGCAGAAUAUAAAGUCUGCUAACUUAGAUGACCCAAAGAGAAGGGAGGCCAUUCGGUUGGGUUACAUUCCAGGCUUGCAUGUUGGGUUCACAGAGUGAAGGCACACAUAGUGUAUGUAAAAUUCUUAUAAAACUGUUUCAUGUUCGCAAGACAUAAUUCAACAGUUCAUGUAAUCGGCUAUCAAAUUCAUUACAAACAAGUCUAACAAAAACCUUUACCAUCAAUAUAUCAAAUUCUUUCAAGAACAUUAUCUGUUAAGCAAAUAUGAUUGUGAAUUGCAAAAGAUACACAUGCAGUAGAACAAUCCGCUGUACAGAUCCCUAUGAAUAACCUUAAAUCUCGAUAAUUGCAAAAUUAAAAAAAAAAAAAAAAAGACUUGCCUCAAAGGAAGUCCAAUGCUUGUAUGCGAAAUCUAGGAGGGGUGUUGAUUAUUGUGACAAAGUAACACUGGAGCUGGUUAAAUGAAAAAGCUUGGGCUCAACAGAAAUCAAAAGCAGAUACAACGUUCGAGAAGGAAGGAUUUAACUUCCUACAAGUGCCUGAAGUAGAGUUUUUCUCUCUCCCUAAACCAAGAGCCAAUCUCCUUUUCUUCUUGUUUAUAGACCCUUCACUCCGUGAAUCCAACAUGCAAGCCUGGAAUUUCAUGGCCCGUGAAGAAGGCAUACUCCUUGUCAACCGAAUGGCCUCCCUUCUCUUAGCGUCUUCCAUUGCUUUGUCAACUACUUUAGCAGAUGGUGUCUGCUUCUUCAAACUUAGAUGACUGCGCGGAAUACUGUAACUGUCCUCUGUGAAUAUAGCAACACAUAUUGUUAAUUUUCUACUUCUGAGACAACAAUAACUAUGAAAAGGAAGUCAAGUAUUAUUAUAAAAUAAUAUCUUUACCGGGUGGAUCUUUAGCGUAAAUCUCUGGGCUAGGAGGCGGUGAGGGGCAAGCAGGCAUCUCAUUAUUUUUCUCCACUACUGACUCAUAUUUACUUCUUUUGGGUGGUGGUGGUGUUUGAGGACAGACCUCAACAUUUUUACUAGCUUUUUCAUGCUCAUUGCAGAAAGCAUUUACUGUAGCAGGGCUUUUCUCUGCAUCAUCUUCAACUCUAGUGAUAUUACUUGCUUCAACAGGGAGGGUAGAACAGGUGCGCACAUCAUCAAGGACAGAAUUUGGUGAAGUGACAACACACUGCUUCUGGAAUUCCAUUAAAGUUGAAAACCAUGGCGUACCCUUCUUCACAUAGAAUAAAAUGUAUGCCUCCUGGGAAAGAACAAACUCUUCUGAAACCAUCAUUACCUACAAAUAUGAAACUUCUAUUGGUUAGAUAUUCCUACCAUUCCAAUUUAUUGCUUUCAAACCAGUACAUUCUUCGAUAUUGCUUACUAGACGUGAGAAAAACAACAAACACCAAUUUCUAUUGUGAUAGUUACCUGAGAGUCAUCCAAUCUGUGCCACUUUUGCGGAGAAGAACGAAUGAAGCAGUAGUAAUGGCCAGAGUUAGAAGAAAGGCCAGUAUGGACUACAACCCCGUAUAAUUCAUACUUUAAAUCAACCUAAGAAAAAAAAAAGAAUCAACCUAUGUCAAUAUAUACAAAAUAUCAAAAUUUACAUCAAACAAAAUGCAGGCAACACAAAAGUCAACAAUGUCCACAUGGCAAACCAAAUAAACAUUGGAACACCUCUUCAAGCAUUACAGUUUCCAAUGCUGAGAAAACAGGUGAUAAAAAUUAUUGGUCAAGGACCUCGAAUCAGAACAUCUGAAGUAGACAGAUAAUUGUGAUUAUCUACUUAUGCCAUAAAAGGUAGUCCCCAACCUUUUUUAGUGUAGGCAUGUGUUUUUGCUAAUUUUGAAAACCCAAAUUCUACAUAUCCAGCUUUAUGAUUCAUUAUUGAAAGAAGGUAGGACUAUAACUCACUUCAGCGUUCUCUUGGUUGCUCCUGUAGGGAAGUAGGUCUAGUUCCAGUGGAAAGUCCACAUGCUUGUCAAUCUUGUCCACAUAAGAGCCAUAAUUUUUAAAUCUCUUUAAAUGUAAUGCCGCAACAGUAGGGGUCUUUUCCACUGUAAGCUGCUUCUCUACCAAUACUUCUUCCUUACAAUUUUCACAAGGACUCUUUUCUUCAAGUUUUUCAACUUUGGUGAAGGACUCGAGAGCAGUUGGAAGGCUAUCAACAUCCUCAAUUUCCAAGCUAAGAUCAAUCCACGGCUCAAAAGUGUCUGAACAAUGACCACAGCUACAACAUCGAAGCUGAAAAUCCAAACCAAGUAGGAUACACGUAUUAUAAAUUUAUAAGAAACACAUUAUGCAUAGGAAUACAAGGGAUGCUGGGAAGCAACAGUUUAUCCCCUGUGCAACCCAAAAAAAUAAUAUUGAAUACCAAUAUAGGUUAUCCUUACCAAGACUAAGUAUAAUUCAUAACCCUCAGAGAUUGCAUCUUUAUAAACUAAAACAUUUCGGAAAAUCAAAAUGGAUCCAUAGGGGAAUAAGGAAUUUUAAAUUUUAAGGCAGGUAUUGACGUAUGUAUAUUCAUACUGAUCUGGACAUGCAAGACUACAUUAAUUGAUGAAUAUAAGAUUGAUAGUACGCAAUUAGUUUCCCCCUAUAGAUAUUGUGCAACACAAGUUAGAUUUAAUGAAUGUCAUACCUGGCUUCUAAGACUACCACCAAAAAUUUUCUUUACAAUACUCUCCUCUUCAUCAGAGGAACUCUGCUCUUUCGCAGUCUCAUUUACACCAUAGCUAUCUAAUUUAUCCAACAAGCACUGCAGGAAUUCAUGGGCGUCUUCCUGCUGAUAUCUCCGAAAAGAUGACGAUAAUUCUGAUAGUAUCAUGGUCAAGAAAACACAAAAUUGGAAAUAAUUAAAAAAAACUAUUCAACAACAAAUCACAUAAUAAAUGAUAAAAAUAUCCCAAUUUUGAUAAUUAACAAAUGAAUUAAGAUUUACAUAAUUAGAAGUAAAAGAAUACCAUUUAAAUUAUAAACAAAUUUCUGCGGCUCAAUACUUCUUCCAGAUGAAGACAAGGAAAGCUCAAUAUGAUCCCUUAGAGCACAUAAAACACAAAAUCCUUCACUAUUACCUACAAACAAAUAAACAAACAAACCCCAAGUUAAAAAAAAAAACCCUCAAAACCAAUUAAAAAAAAAAAAUCCCAAAUUUCAUAAAAACAAAAAAACUUACGAUGACAAGGAGUGGGGUGAUGACAAGAACGAAGAAUCUGAACAAAAGGAACAGUAUGAGUGAAGCAUUGAAGAAUAGCAUUAAGAAAACAAGUGUUGCCCAUGUUAUUAAGACCAGCACCCAUUCCUGUUGGUUCAUCAUCAUAUCUUCUAUUAUUAAAAGAAGAAAACCAAGGUGAAUAGUAACAAGAAGACGAAGAAGAAUUGUUGGUUUUCAAGAAUAAAGGAGGAGAUGUUGGUGAUGAUGAUGAUGAUGAUGAUUUCUCAAAUUCGGGUGUGAAAUCAAAUGGGUCUUCAGGAAGUUUUAUUGGUGAUGUAAAACUUGGUAGAAAUGGAUCUUCUUCCAUUCUUGAUUACUUGUUUGUUUGUUUGUUUCUUCUUGUUUAAUUAAUUUAACAAAUCAAGAAGACGAAGAAGAAGGAAAAGGUUUCAAGCUUCUCUCUCUCUCUCUCUCUCUCUCUCUCUCUUUCUUCUAGGGUUUUUGUUGAUUUGGAAUUUUGGAAUUUUUAGGGAAAUGAGAGGGAAAAAAUUUUAGGGUUUUAAUUGGGGAAAAGUUUUUGGGAAAUUUGGGAAUAAGGAGGGAGACUGGAGAGGGAGAUUUCGUUUUUGUCGUUUUCGAUUUUGAAAAACGAGAGGGAAAAAUAUUCGUUUAGAUAAAAACUACUGCCACGCGGCAUAGUAUUACUUGCCGUUAAUAGGUGAGUGCAAUCAAGCAACCCAUUUAAAGAGGUGCACGCAUCAGCAACGUACCACCUCUGGGCCUCCACAAAUAAUGGACCCUAUCUAAGAUUCAGCCCAAAAUAUAAACACAUGUCAGAGUAUCAGAAUUAAAGGUCUGUUUGGGAACUUUAAAGUUGAGGAAAGGAAAAAAAAUUUAAUGGAAUGGAAGGAAUGAAAUCCUAUGUUGCUUUACAAAAAAAUCAUUCCUUUCCUUUCCUUAUUUUUCGGAGGGGAAGCUAGGAAGAAGAAAUUGGAUUAAAACUUUUUCCUAAGAAAAUCUUUCUAUUCCUUAGUUUUUCUUAACCACCUAAACAAACCAAGAAAUUAGGAGUGUAAAUUUGGAAUGGAUUAUUGUAGUUCCGAUUUUUAAUUUUUUCGAAAAAAGAUGGAAUAAAAUUGGAACUACUUCUGUGAAUCCGAUUCGAUUUUUCCGAUUGUUAAUCCGAUUUGAUUUUUUGAUAAAUAUUUCAAAAAUUUUGAUAAUUUAAGAGAUUUAACUAUUCUCAUUUUUGAAAAUAUAUGUACAUAUAGACAUAAAAAUAAUAUACCAAAUUUAAAAUCACAUGAGCACUCAAUAACAAAUUAUAAUUAUUAAUUAGUCUCAAAUCUUAAUGUAAUCAAAUAUUAAUAUAUGAUUCAAAAAAAAAAUGUAAUAGUAUAAUUAUGUUUUAUAAGGUACUAUACUCAAAAACUUUGAUCCAUCGUAUUAGGAUGGUAUGUUACUAUGUUAGAUAAAAACACCCCAAUAAGUAAAUCAACUCAGUAUAAAGAGUGGAUUUUCAAGUUUCCAAAACGGAUCAUGUCCACGAUUUUCGAUUUGGAAUUUCAAUCAAUUUCGAUAUAUUUUUAAGUUGGAAUUCCGAUUGAUCCGAAUUUAUUUUUUUUUCUAUUUUUUCCGAUAUUCCGAAUAUUUCCGAUAUUCCAAAAUUGGAAUAAAUUUUGUUGUUCCGAAAAAACAUGGAAUGGAAUUGGAAGAAAUUUUUUGAUUCCGAUUUAUUUUUUCUGAACAUGCCAUUUUCGAUCCGUUCCGUCCGAUUUCCACCCAUACAAGAAAUAGAUCGAAGUAGACCAUUCCUUAGUUUUUCUUUCCUUUCCCUUACUUCAUGAAUUCCCAAAAAGACACUAAGGCCAUGUUUAGUUUUCUAGAAAAUGUUUGGGAACUUUCAAGUUGAGGAAAGGAAUUUUUUAAUGGAAUGGAAGGAAUGAAAUCCUAUGUUGCUUCACAAAAAAUCAUUCCUUUCCUUUCCUUAUUUUUCCGAGGGGGAAGUUGUGAGAAGAAAUUGGAUUAAAACUUUUUCCUAAGAAAAUCUUUCUGGAUUCAAAGGUUUUUGAAUUCCGGGAAAGUAUGUAUAAUUACCUAUAUUUUUGGAGAAAAAUCUUGAAAGCAGAUUCCAUCCUAGUAUAGAAUUAAGGAAAGUGGUUUCCAUAUUAUAAAUAUGUAACCCUUUCUUCCCCGGCCAUCUCCCUUUCUUUCCUCCUCCACUUCUGAACUCUUCAAUCACAAUAUUACCCCCGAAUUCAAAUUCUGGGAACUAAACACAACCUCUAUUCCUUAGUUUUUCUUAACCGCCCAAACAAACCAAGAAAUAGAUUUAAGUAGACCAUUCCUUAGUUUUUCUUUUCUUUCCCUUAUUUCAUGAAUUCUCAAACAGACACUAAGCUUUUCAGUUUUUUUGUUUGUUGAGUUUCACUUAGUGCAAUAGAGUUAUACUUGGAGGCAUUUAUUUGGUUGGUCACGAGACACCAAUUUCUUAGGCAUUUAUUCUUUGUUACUCUCUCACGCCCCUCCCAUAUAGGAUGGUUUGUGUUUUUCACACAAAUUAAGAAAACAUAAUUAAUAGUGUGGAAGUAAUUAAUUUUGGUACUCCCUCUGUCCCUCUUUUAUAGGUUGAUGGGUGUUUUUCACGCAUAUUAAGAAAAUGGUGGAAAAUAAUUUAUUUGCAUUUAAUUAUAAUAUUAUUUUCAAAAAUACCCUUUUUCAUUUGGUGUGUACAUUUAAUGCUAUUGGCUAUAUUUAAGGAAAUUUUCACAACUAAUAAGGGGGUAAAUUUGUCACUUGCUUUAUUAACUGUUUUGAACUAUGUGAAAUGACUAUAUGGUGGGACAAUUUUUUUUUUCAAAUCAGCCUAUAAAAACGGGACGGAGGGAGUAUUGUAUUUUCUAAUUCAUCUAUUAAUUUUGUUUUAUUCUUUCCAUGUAUUUAAUAUCAUCUAUUAAUUUUGUUUUAUUCUUUCCAUGCAUUUAAUAUCACUAUGUUUAUUAAAUGACGGUAAAUAAGUAAACUGAGAUAUUUAAAGACUUUCAAAAUAGGAAAGUGGACUGUAUAAUUUGGGACUUAAAAAAUGGCCAAACCAGCCUAUAAAAAAUAAGAGUGCUGGUGAAAUCCAUCGGUGGGACUAUGGUUUUAAUAACCGGUUUUUUCAAUCGAAUCAGUUCUACUCACUGAGUCAAUAAAAAAUCAGAUGAUUAUUUGUUAAACUAAAAAUUAAUUUUUAAUAUUAAAAUAUAUUAAAAAUUAAUUUAAUAUUAAUUAUUAAUAUUUUUGAUGUGAAAAAAUGGUAAUUUUUUUGAAAUUAUUAGUUUGACUCGGCGAGUUUUCCGAUUCUAUAUAAAAAUCGGCCGAUUCAACCGGUUCUAACAUCGAUUCUGUGCUUGAUCCGAGUCAACAAAGAAUUUUUCACCCAGUUGUCUCUGAUCCCGAUUUGACUCAGCCGAUUCAAACAAAACUCGGCCAGUCAUAAAACCAUGAGUAGGACCCCUUGGUGAACAAAAUCAGACUCGUGUAUUACACAUACUGGUGUAAGAGACAGUAUUCCCAAAAACUACAAGUGUGAGGCUGUUUUUAACAUACAUACACAAACAAAAAUAUCUAGAUCGUAAAAACUUCCCAAGAUCUUCCAACAAGAAUAUUUUUGUUGCCAUGAUAUGUUACACCAACAAUUCUAUGCCUCAGGCAGCAGCAUUCUAUACUUUUGGUUGUUUAGUUUCGUAUGAGACCUUGAUCUGUUUUCUUCCAAGCGUUUUAAUGUGAACAUGGACAGCUGGGUUCUGGAGCAGAAGCCAACUUAUAGCUCUGUUCCCAAGUAUCUGUCGUCUCUGCCUCAGCAUGGGGGACAUGGCGGGGAUUCUUCUCUCUCUUAUCUCCCCUUAACUGCUUCAUUGCAUGUUUAAGUGCAGGCAUUAAAGCCGCCAUGCAUUCAGCAACUGCAUUUGGAUUACCAGGCAUGUUGAUGAUCUGAAUAUAUGUCGAGAAAACACUAAUCAGAUUCCACUUGUUAAUACCAACGGGCAAAAUUGGUAAAAGUAAAUAGGAGCACAGUUUGUGACACCCUCGGAGGAAACACAAGUUCUGCUGUAUUACAGGAGUAUUAAUAAUCACAAUGCAAGCAAUUGAUGUCAUCUCCACUGGGGCACAGCAGAAAUAUAUCUGUACCCAAAUGCACCAUAUUAUAGCAAUUCUACGUACGUACCAUCAGAACCUGGUUUCCUUAAUGUGUAUUCAUUGUGUGAUGGAAUCGUGGAAGGCUAAGCAAAUAAAUUAUAUUGGGACCUCUACAUAAUGGCCAUACCAGUGUUGAUCCUCUUAUUCCAGCUGCUGCACGUGAAAGUAUAGCAAAUGGUGUCACCUGUUUUACAUAUAAGAUUAGUUAGUACCAGAAAAAAGGCUAAACCAAUGCCCCCAUGCAAGCAUAAGGAAUUUCAUUUAAUGCUAAAGAUAAAUGGCAGUGUCAGGGCCAUGUUCAACUUCUACAAACCUAAGGGGAAGCACUCAAAAGCAUUGCACAUAAUUCUAGAGGAGAUAAAACAUAUGAAUAACCAUUAUGUAGAUCUGCACCUUGAGACUUUCUUGCAGCAUGACAUAUAGAAGACCAGGUGUUUCUUUCUCAAUCAAACCUUUUGUUGCUUCUGGGGUAACAUCCCUGGGAGUGAAUCCUGUGCCACCUAAUAUGGAUAUUUCAAUUGUGGUUAUAACGAAGUGUUUAGGCAUGCUAAACUAAAUUCACAUCAACCCAUGAAGGGUAAAGGGCAGAACCAAAAGGAUCCCGUCUGUAUCAAUUAGCAAAUUAAAAAAGCGGUCUUCAAAACAGUUUCUCACCCAAUGUCAGGAUGAGGUCAACUUUAUCGAUAUCACUCCAUCUUUGAAGCACAUCUUUAAUUUUUUCCACUUCAUCUGGAACUACAGCAGUUGCAACUACCCUUGCCCCUCCCAACUUUUCUGAUAAAGAGUUCACAACAGAAACUGCUCUUGGGCCACUGCAGACACAGGAAAAAAAAUCAAGAAAAGUAGUUGUAAGUUAUUACCUUAUGGUUACACAGUAGGAAACAUAUAUAGUAAAGAAUAAUUACAUUUUUGACAUUGUACAAGUAAUUAAUUUGAUUAUUCCAGAACUAAGAAAUGAUACAAAAGUCCCAUAAAAAAAUCAUUAAUGUAAGUUUUUUACAGUACAGGGUGAAAUCGGAAUCUUGUUGCAUGAUAACAGUGCUACCCUUCAGUCUCACUUGAGAAAGAGAAGCAUCAACUUUGUACCUUUCUCAAUGAGAUAUACCCUAUAAAACAAAGAUUUCAGAGAGGCAUAUGAAGAUUGCACGCAAUCAGCUCAUCAUUUAAAAUCACUGCCCAAACUAUUUUUUUUUUUCUGAAUAAUCCUUACAACCCUGCUUCAACACAUCACAUAUCGUACAAUGUGCCUUAAUUUAUUAAUCAAUAAUUCUGAUGGGGUUUUCCUACCACCAGCUUGCUUAAAACAGAAAGUUCAAAAUCUAACAAAGGCAAACUAAAAGAUAAAUAUUUUAAAGAGGAUGUGAAGCAAGAUUUGAGAUUUUCACACAAAGGUAGGCCUAUUGUCAAAAUUUCAAAAAUUAAACUGCUUAUCAAUAAAUAAAUUAGAUAUACACUGCCUUAAAGUAGGUAAAUUAAGUUUUGGUAUAUAUUUGAGAAGGCAAUACCAAGUAUGAUUCAGAAAUGCUAUUUUGAAAUACAUUUGAAAAUGGGCCACACUUAAAUUAGAUGCACUGCCAUCCACCCACCCACACUUUUCCAACAAAAAAAAAAAACCAUAGUUUUCUAUAUGCAAGUACUGCUCACUAGGAACUGGUAGUGGUGGCACGUAAUUAGCAAGGAUGAGCGUAAGUUUAGACAAUAAAUUUCAAACUAAGAGAAACAGCAUACCUCCUAUCGGGUCCUGACCCUGAUGCAACAGUAUCACUCACUGUAAGAAUGGCUACUCUAACAGCACUAUCUUGUGACUCAGCUGGAGCCUGUGUAUGUGCACUACCUCUAUUAUUAGCAGGAGUGCACUUUACAGAAUUCUGGUUUACUGGAAGGCCGCUUAAGUCAGAUAUUACAAUCGCAGACACAGACUUUCCAGCAGCUAAUACGCCGUCUUUCGGUGGCAACUCCAACAAUGCGUUUGCUAACUUCAUAUUCAGAAGCCGGCUGCUCAUUUGAUUCCCAGUGCUCUCAGCAACAAAACUGAAUAUAGAAGGUAGCAACAAAUAUUUAUAAAAGGUCAAGUUCCAUUAAACAUGUCUUGCGCGCAGUCUACCAGCCUUCACUUGUCUAGAUAUAAGGCACAACUCUUACCCUGAAUUACCAGAACCAUCAUUAAUUUCCCAUCUAAUAGUCGCCCGAUGAUAUUCUGGCCGAAAUGGGUCUGUUUUAAUGGGUUGUGCAAGGCGAGCAUUUAAUCUGGAGAAAAGGCAGCAGCCGUCAUUACAAAAAGAGAUACACAUGAAUCUUUAGUCCCGAUACUAAAAGUAUAGUUCUCAAGAAUUAGCUCAAAAGAUGUAGAGUAACAUACAGUGAGUAAAAAAAAUUAUCACCUCAAUAGGUGAGGGUUUGCCCAUCCAGAAAGAUGGCGAAUGGCAGGAACAGUGAAUAGAUGGAAACAAACUAAACAGCUCACAGGAUUUCCUGGUAAACCAAAUGCAAGAAUCUUCUUGGUAGGCUUUCCGUCUACUGAUGUGACAACAAUCUCUGCAAAUGUCGUUGGCUUUCCAGGUCUCAUGAGAACCUGAAGAGGGAUUGAAAUAAAGUACAACCCAGUUUAGGAUAUAUUGAUGCAAAUGACUAUGUUUCUCAUGGUUAUAAUUUAUCAUAACGAUGCCAGUAGAUAAAGAAUGAGCCCUUGCGAAUGCAAACCUGCCGAGCAUACUCUGACUUGGGCAAGUCCAUCUACAUGUUUAGCAGGGGAAUCUCGCUCUCAACUCCCCCUCCCCCUUCUCUCUCUCUCUAUUUCUUUCCCCUCUCCUCUAUAUAUCCCAUGUACAAACAAAACUUCGAGACAUGACAUCAAAAGUUGGACACAGUAAGAGACUGCAAUAAAUGGGCGGAGAGAAUGGCAUCUUGAUAAGUUUAUAGCAUCACACCCCUCCACAAGUACAUGAAUGAAGAAAAAAUGUAAAUUCAACUUCUCUUGUUCAUCUCUGUUCUUAAACUUGCCGAAUGCAGAUACCCCCCCCCCCCCCACCACACACACACGCACGCACCAAAACACCCCCUUUUCUCUCUCUUCCUCCUGCCAUUUUGCAACAUCCAUCACCUCCUCUAUUAUGUGUUUAUGUAUGACUCAAAAUGGAUCAAUCUAGUGUAGUUUCUGUUUUACAAGACGAUAGAAACUUGUUGACAUAGCCAAAUCAAAGCAGGCCAGGCAAUUUUUUUUUUAAUAUCACGAUAGUUCCAUCUUUUGCAUAUGAAUCAGUUCUCAUCCAAAUAUUACUUCAAGGAACUUUAAUUCUCGAAGAACAAACGAAAUUAUUCUUUGACAAUAAUAAAAAGAUGGCCAUCAGUGUACCUUACUGAAAUAUACAAUCCCUCGCUUUUGCAACAAAGGCUUAACAUAAUCUCUGUCGCCCAUAGAAACACCUCCAGAAGUUAAAAGAAUAUCUAUCCCAGAAGAAAUGGCACUGUCCACAACCCUUUCUAGCUGUUCUUCAUCAUCACGAACAAUACCCAGAUCAAGAACUUUGCAAUGCUGCUGUGCUGCAGCUGCCAGUAGCAUUGCACGGUUGGAGUCCCUGAUCUGCAUGAUACACCAUACAAGCAUCUAAGUUUAUUCAGGGAAGAAAAAGAGAACAUAAAUGCACAAAAUAAGUCUAUAAGAAUGGUGCUCCUAGAUACUCGAUCAUUGAUAGGGGUACAGGUAACAGUAACACAAACGGAAUCCCUGAUCUGCUUGAACAGCCAUACAAUCAUCAAUCUUAGCAAGUUCCACAAUUGAGAUAUGAAUAUUGAAAGCACCCAUUAUAGUUUAUAAUGACGUUGAAUCUAGGUACUAUUCAACUAAUAAAGUCACCACCCCCCACCCCCCACCCCACACUCAACCAUACAAAUAAAAGGCACCUUUUUUUAUUGUUUUAGAAACAUUUUACAUUAGGUAUGGUCAUCAGAAUCAGGUCAUGACCACAUUUGAUCAAUACCAUAUAAGUAUACAUGUGACAUUCAAGAAUUCGUAUAUUUUAAGCCUUGCGAUAUUUCAUUAGCAACCACAAAAAGUUCCUCAACAAGGCAUGCCUUUUCUUGUGAAUGGAUAUGUAAAUCCUCUUUCUACAUGAUUAUUCAAUUGCGACGAUUUUAUGUUUGUAAUAUACUAGAACAUUAAGAAGGAACAACUAUAUUCAGGAGCUCCAAUGGAUUUGCUGGAACUGCCUAUCUCAAACACCACAAGUGAUUUUCAUUCCAUGAAUUCAAAGGCUAUUCUUUUGAUAUUCAGUGCCUUAAGCAAGAAGAGCUGAUUUGAAAGACAUAUUUUCUUUGAAGAAGCUUUAUACAGAAAUAUUUUCAUAGUACUUUCCUCUUACUUUUGCUUUGUAACUUAUUUUCAUAGUACAGAUGUUUAUAACUUCUAUACAUAGUUUCAGCAAUCGUAAAUAAUAGGAUUGUCAUAGGCAUAGCUAAUCUUUUAAUGUGGACUCAUUCAAUAGCAUUGGUACAACCAGAUAACCCCCACUUGUACUGCUUCACCAUUACUACCUCUUAUUUUGGUAUACCAAAUAGGUAAGUGUUCAUAAGCCUUCCACAUAAAACCCAAUUGUUAAAAUUCAAAUUCGAAUAGUAUAUUUCAUAGUUAUUCCAAAAAAUUCAAAUUCAAUGGUGUCUUACACAUGUGUCAUACUGGUACCUGUCCACGACUUAGGUUCCCAGUUGUUGGCUCUACAAGCUCAUCUCCGGUGGAAAUCACAGCAAUGGUUGGACUAGGAAACACCUGCAACAAUAAAUGUAGAGGAUAAGUAUUAAUUAUCGAGUCAUACAGAUGUCUAAGCAUCAAUACACAUGUGCAUACAAAUUCUAAGAGAAAAGGCAUACCUUCACCAUCAUUACCCCCAUGGUGGCGAGUAGGCCGAUUUCAGAAGUGCUGACUCGUUCUCCAGAUCUUAAUACUAUGGCAUCUUUCUCAAUGUCACAUCCCUGAACAAUGGAUGCUGUAUUAGAUUUUAUAAAUUUUACUGAGGAGACACAGACAACUUAUUGAAAUUUUUGGUAAUAUUUGGACAGCUGAUGACAGAAGUUGGAAGCAACAUAUGUCUUAGUGAUAGUACAAAUCUAAUGGUAAUAGAAAAAAAUGUCUCUAGAUCAUUUUGGAAGGAUUCACUAUUAUAAUGAAGAUAUUUGAAAACAAAAUGUUUUAUUCUAUGAUUCUCAGGUGCCUCAACACACGAAUCCCCUAUUGGCAUGACAAAAGUUCAUCUAUCCUACUGCAUGACAAAAAAUGUUUUUGGUCAUUGGUAAAAUAAAAUUUUCCAUUGAUGUCAACAAGAUCACAAUUGACUCAUGGCCCAUCCUUCUUUCCUCCAUUAGCAAGAUAAUAAUGGAGAGAAGAAAGUACAUAUAACUUACAACAGAUUUCUCAAUUUCACACCACUAAGAGUCCCAAUUAUAUAAAUAUCAUGAAAGCUCACCCCUCCAAAUUCAAUAUUAGAGAAUGACUGUAUUUAAAUCCUUUUCAUCUUGUUCAAAAACCCUUCUACUUCUCUCCUUCCAAGUGGCCCAAAUUAUUUCUCAUGGAAAAGGUUUUAUACACCAGCUUUGACCAAGAGUGGGAAAAGCAUAAGGAUUCAUUAUUAUCAUCAAUUCUAAACUAGAAAGGACAAUCACUUGAAAGAAGAAAAACAUCAAUAACGCAAAUAGCCAAAUACACAAUACAAGAUAUUAAUAUUGACAUUCUUGUAACAUGUGCGUUCUAUUUGAGUGACGAUGAAUCAUAUUGCACACUUGUUGAUAUCCAUAACAUGGAUGCACAAUGGUGAAACUGAAAAGCACCAAGGCUUUUUUAGUUUUCAAGAAAACUCACAUGCAUAUCACUAUUUCAUGCACCCUAUAACACUGCUCUAUAGUGUACUACACCACAGAAGGUUGAUGUCUUCUCCUCUUCAAGUGAAAUUGCAAAUUACUGCUUAAAUUCACCAUUAGUAACCCAAGAGGUUCUAAACAAGAUUGUGGUGCCAUGUGUUAAGUUCAGGGGCAUCCAACUCAAAACAAAUUUGCACAAUGAAGGCAGACACUUUUUAGUAGGUGUCACUCACACGUAGACCUUCAUUGUUAGGAAGGUGAAACAUGAGGUGCACCUUAAGCCUUAAGGAGAUACGGUCAGUUACGGUACCGAAGUGUGUGCCUUCACGGUGCAAACUGAAGCUUACACCCCUCACAUACCAGACCUUAGGUACCCUGCCCUAAGCCUAUGUUAGGCAUCCGCCUCAUAAUUUCAGACUACAAUGGUGACCUGAAAAAUAAAACUAAUAUCUUUAUCUUUUUCUCCAUAUUUACCUCUCUUAAUUUUUUCUGAAACCCAAUAGACAUGUAUAGUUUUAUUUCACAUCCUAAACCUACUUAUUUAAGAGUUUGUUUUGUUUUCUAACCCUACUUUUUCAAGAAAGGGAUGAAUAAACAACUUUCCUACUUUUCCAAUAGAUCGACAAUUUUGCUUAAUAUCAAUUCAUUGAACUUUUUGUUAUUCAUUAGUAUAGUUAGCAAAGAUCAUGUACACAUGUACAAUAUUGGCGCUCACAUAGGCAAAUGCGACCCACAUGACUAUGAUAAUCGUUAUUUAUGCUAAAAGCUCUAACUUGCAGAGAGGGUGGAGUUUUAUUUACCAAGAGGAGACAUGGCAGAUAUCCCCUCCCGCCACCCAAAUGGAAAUGCGCAUUAAAGGUCUCAACAAAUGACAAAUCUUUAACUGAAGCUCUGAUGCCAUUUUAAAUCACCGAUUGCUUUACAAGUCAAACUUGUAGAAAGGGCAAACUUUUCAGAAUUUCAAGAGAUGCAGGGAACUACUCCUAAGGAGCGGAUAUAGUAAUUCUUAAUGCAGCAAUGUUUCUAUCAUUUAAUGAAUUUUUUGAACACUUUGUGAACCAGCAAGGCUUAGUCGCCCCAUUUUGAUCAUUCGAUUCCUAAAGAAUCAUGUUUUGAACAAUUGUGAGAAUCGCAUUUGAAAAAGAACACUAACUUAUUCCAAAUUAAGUUUUUUUCUAUAUAAAAGUUAGCAAAUAAGGAGUUAUACCACUGGCCUAAUAUCAAAACCUUGCCUAGCUUGCUUCAGUAUUCUGACUCGCCUUGAUUCACCCGAAGCUUCUUUUAUCUCUUCAGAAUCUUCAACUUGCACAACAGCAUCAGCCCCAUCUGGUAUUGGUCCUGGAAAAAUAAUUAGAAAAUGAUAUUAAGUUUGAUCCAAAGAAUUCUGCGCUAUCCAUUUCUUCAAUAAGGUUGAAAUAAAAACCAUUUUCAGUUAACAUAUUUAUAAAUAUAUUGUUUACAGAAAGAAUGUUCGGAUCAAUAACCUGAGAUACCAUUGCCUACCAAAAUAAAUAAAUAAAAAGCCUGAGAUACCAUUCUAAUUUGGUUCGAAACUAGUUCUGAACACCUGUUCAUAUGAUUUAGUUCAUGUAAUGUAAUCUUAGAGACGGAGGAAAGCAUCAAUCAAGAACACCAUUUUACUAUGUCAGAAAACAACCCGAAAGUGAAGAACAACUCGAUACAAAAUUUUAAUGUCUCAAAGCAUGCCUUCUUAAGUAACCAUUUUAAUUUGGCUCAAAACUAGUUCUGAACACCUGUUCAUAUGAUUUAAUCAUGCAAUGUAAUCUUAGAGACGGAGGAAAGCAUCAAUCAAGAACACCAUGUUACUAUGUAAGAAAACAACCCCAAAGUGAAGAACAACUUACUCGAUACAAAAAUGUCUCAAAACAUGCCUUCUUAAGUAACCAAACAACAGUUACACUUUAAGGCCUUUAUCCGUAAUUUUGAUUGGAAUCCAAAAAACAAACUUUUACAACCCUAUUGAAUGAGCAAAAAUCAAAUUAAUAAUAAACUAAUACAGUAAUAUAUACUCCGAGUCAGUCCAUUCCGAUGAUAUUGUUUUGACAUUAUACAUGACAUGGUAAAUUGUGGUCACUUACUUCAAUGAUCCUUGGUUCCUUUCCGUCCAAAUGCUCCAGCACACAACAUGUAUUACCUUACAGAAGUUUUGCCAAUUAAAGAAAGACAAUGGUGUCUUCAUCCUUGUAUUCAUCACUGACUCGUGAUUUGAGGCAUGAAUAUUUGUAAAGUAGCAUUCCCAGAAGCUUUUGGUUAGCUUCUCCUCAUAACCACACAUGACGGAAUGGUUGGGGGUGAUCUAUCCUCUUCCAAUUCAUUAAUUGGUGUAUAGUCAUUAAUUGGUGCAUAGUCUGAGUCCAAUCGUCCAUACUCGUUGAUUCAGAGUUAUAUCUAGGGUUCGGAUUUCUUGCUAGAGUUGAUAAUCUAUGUUUAGCUUCAUAAAUGACAUCCCUCAUGUAUAAUGAACUGCUGAAAAUAAUUAUAAUCAGACAUGCAAAAACACACACAAAAUGGGGUGUUGAUUUCUUACUGACAUUCUUUUGGCUAAAUAAUGUACUUGGUGACACAUCGAAGGAGGAAAAAAAACAGACACAGAACAAAACUCUUUUCACUGGCUAACGAGCCAGUCAUCAAAAUGAUGAUCAUUCCUUCCAGUUAGUUCCAAUCAAUCCUCUCUGUUUUUGGUUCUUGAUGAACAUUUUUUAGCUUUCCAAAUUACCAACAAUUAGAACCAGGAAAUAGCUUCCAGAGAUACACUCCCAAGCUUCUGAAACACCUUCAGGCCAUUCCAUAUUUAUAACUCUCAUUCUAAAGGUAGUUUAGCGAAAAAUUGAACUCUUUGUUGUUGACUGAACCAUCUGGUCUGACAGCUGGCGAGACCUAGACCAUUGGAGAAAAAGGUGGGAAAUUAACUAAAGUUUCUGGCUAUAAAACACACACCUCAGGUAGAAACAAAACCCUUCUUAAAAGACCCAAAGUCUGCAAUCUACCCCACUUCAAGCACCAAACAGAGUAUCAUAGUCUAGAUGAAACCUUCAAAUUCCAAAUCACCAGGCAAGAACAUAUUUUUGAGUCAAAUCCAGCUUGUGAAAUGACCUUAAAAUUGUUGUUCUUGCACCCACUGCUUAACAUUUAAUCUUCUUUCUGAUCGAUUUUCUCAUUGAGUAGUAAAAUAAGGUCAAUCAUUUAGGUCACCGACUAAUACCAAAAUGUGUUACUCAAAUGGAGGCUCCAAGUGGGCACCUGAACCAUCUUGGUUCCAGUGAUUUGCAACCGAGUCAUUUUUAGUCCUUGUCAUUGAAGCCUAUUCCUUAGCCGUUGGUCUUCCCAAUUUUUUUCAUGAGCUCAGCGGCAUGGCCUACUUAUCUUUCAUGAAAUCCCUAACACAAGCUGCACCCUGUUAGAGAUGCUAACUUUUUCUGUGUCCUCCCAUGAUCAAGCACUAACACUAUUGAUGCAAAUCUACAAAAGCAGGACGGAUAUCAUUUUAUGGGACAGAUAGACGACCCCCCCCCCCCCCCCCUCUCUCUCUCUCAAAAUAAAAACAUGGAGUCAUGGAUACUACACCCCCGGAAUGAUAAAUGUCGGAUGUCUAUUGACCAACAGUGAGAAUAAUAAGAGGCUGACAUUUGGAAAAAUAUAAUGUUCGUUAAAUUUAGUACAUAAGCAAAAACAACUGUAAUAUUUACAGCAAAGGACUCCUUCAACUUUGCUCCAAGCAUUGGCACAAAUACAAGGACACUCACUCGGGUCCUUUGCAUUUUUAAGGCAGAUGUUAAAAAGAAAAUCGUGGAUAUACUUGUCUGUUCUCUUUACUUUUCUUGGAACAUCUCACCUCAUCUUGUAGUUUGUACUUAUCUCUACUUUAGUAUUAUAACACAACUGAUAGUGAUGUAGGACAAGAAGGGGAAACUUUGGAAAAACUAAAUAGAACUGUUUUAUUGCUAAAAGCCUAAAACUAAAUGAGUACAAGGAGAGAAUUAUACAAGCAAGAUAAAACCACUAGCAUCACACUAGUAAGGAUGACGACUACUAGCAUCGCACUAGUAGCUACUAGCAUCACACUCGUAGGAUUUCCUAGGAAUCACUCCUAAGCACCUAGGCAUCACACCAAGGUUUGGAUUACAUCUCACAAUCCUUACAAUAGCAUAAUUGCUAGCAAUUUCUCCAACUUCAUUCCUCUCCAAAACAAAGACUUAACAACCCUUAUAUAGAGUUUAUAAGAACUCUCUAGACACUUGGGAAGACUAAAACUUAUUAAAUACAUUAUUGACCCUUUGACUACUAUUCAAAAUAAAGCAUUAAAUGACACUAAAGACUUCCAGAUCUUUCUAGGUUAUCUAUUCUUAUUUCCUGCUGCCACGUGUCCCCAUCAGAUAGUGUACCACUCAAAAUGAAAAAAAAGGCAAUAUAAGCAUCCCAACUACAUGCCUUAACUGUCUAGACAAGAACCAACAAAGUCACUCACGCUCCAUGUUGUGUUAGCUGGUGUACUUAGGCAUGUUUCUUUACUCCUUUUAUAACAUAUAAUUCCAGAUAUUCUCUUUCAUUUCACGGUAUACCAAUUCAGACAAACAGGGCAUCUAAAGUUCUAAACUCAAUCUAGUUCCCCUGGCAAAGCAAACUAUGAGUUGGUUUUCCCUAGGCACCAUAAAUUCAUACAGGUAUGUAUAGAACUCGGGGCACCUUAAUUUUGGCCCUAACAUGAACUCGGUCAUAAGUAAAUUUGCAAAUUUACUAUGAGAUAUGGCAACUAAAGUUCUAAACUCAAUCUAGUUCCCCUGGAAAAGCAAACUAUGAGUUGGUUUUCCCCAGGCACCCUAAAUUCAUAAAGGUAUAUAACUCGGGGCAUCUUAAUUUUGGCCCUAACAUGAACUCGGUCACAAUUAAAUUUGCAUUUUGUCCUGGAUUGAUAAAGCUCAUGUGACCUGAAUAUUGCACAUGACAUGAUGAUGAAUCAGGUCUGCUCAGUCAUCAUAACAAGUUUGCAUUUCAUCCUGCAGCCCAAAUCUGCUCAUUUAACUCAACCUCUAUGCCACAGUAAUUCAGGUCUGGAGUACCUAAUUUCGACUGACAGGGGCACUACCAGAUGGUUCAACUCCAAUUCUAAAACUUAACAUUAUAGCAGUCACAGAGCUGAAGAUGGCCUACAGAAUAAAAGGGGAAAAGAAAGAGGGAGGAUAAAAAGUUUUCUUAAUUUCAUUGUGAUAUCAUUUGCCUAAUAAUAACAAAAUAAGUAGUUCUCUGAUAUCGAGAAAAAUGUUUUCAGUUCAUUCAUCCUAAAACUAGAUUAUACGAGCUAAGGAUGGAGAUUCAGAACGAAAAUAUACUCACCUCCAGUGGUCACAUACGCAACAGUGCCAGGAGUAACUGUAACUCCAACUCCAUCAUUUCCAGCUCUUGAUUCAGUAAUUACAGGAUAUUCACCUGGCCCAUCUGAAGCAACUACUGCAAAACCAUCCUGCAGAAAUCAUCGGUACGACUUGAACAAAUACUGAAUAAAAUGAUAAAAAAAAAAUUAAGGCAUCAAUUACCAUCUCACUUCUUACAAAGACCAUAAAGUAGUGGUUGCUGGAUGAACCCAACAAACAAAAGGACCUACCAACAAGAUAUAAACUACCCACCCUAAGCUGCAAUGAUAUGCGCAGUUAUCUUCUUCCUUAUCUCUUUCACCAGCCACCACCACCAUCUCCAGGGAUGUCAAGAUCAGUACUACAGCCCACAGGUCUCCAAAUCAGCAGCACCUCUAAAAUGCAAAACUAAUACGUCCUUCUUGAUCCAUCCUCUUCCUUCACCUUUUCUACAUUUCUAUACUCAUUGUUUCAUCUUUACCAAACUAAACCAUCAUCCAUCACUUCUUAUACACAAGAUAUUAAAAACCACUUCUGAGGAGGUUGCUCAGAAACAUGUACAGCAUUAGAACUUGUAAGUUUGAUACAGCCAGCAUGGUUUCUCAGACUGUACAACAAACAUCUUGUAUAGUCUCGAGUUACCGCGGACACCCCCUGGGAACGUUAGUGGAAUGUAGCUUCGUCAAUCCCACGUGCGUAGAGCGCACUUCUGUUUUCUACAACCCCACAACCAAAAAACAGAAAAAGCACCUAGCGGCUGUGUGCAACAUAGACAAACUGGGUUGUUUUGUAAAUUCCUUUCUAAGGAUAAAUAUGUAGACAAUGAAGAAUGAUGUUAGCUUUGGGGACGUAUGGUUGGAUAGGUUGCUUAAUGAAAAGGAGGAGCAGGAUUAGGUUUGAGAUAGAUGAGUUUCCUUUAUGGGGCUGGAGGGCAUUUUAGCUUUUUCUAUGCUCUGGUAUUAGGUAACUCUUUAUAUUUUCUGGUGUACAUUUAUAAUUUAACCUGCCCCUUAACAAAUAAGAUACAGCCAUUGACAUCAUUUUAAAGAUCAAACCAAACACAAACAGGACUACAUAUUGAACAGCAAGCAGAAAAAGAAAUUGAUUAUAUUGGCACCAAAUGGGGUGAUAGCAGAGACAAGAUGACAUUUUUGAAAUUUAAUGAAUAUUUCUCACAUACAAAGGGGUUUAGUCUUCAAAUAUAGGCAAAUGGAAAUACUAACCAACAAUAAGUCAAUAACGUUGCUAUGACUGACAUGAAUCAGAAGGCCCCUACUGUUCAAAUUUUGCCACCCCAACCCCAGCAAUUAAACAACACAGACUCCACAUUGAUGACAACUCACAGACAAAGCAAUAUGAGGUAUUACCUGGGAUUCAUAUCGGCAUUUUAUGACAGUAUCUUAGACUUUUGUAGUAUACUGCCUCUAAGUUAUAUCAUAAACAACGUUACAAUGAUUUUGGAGUCUACACUGCAUACAAAUAUACCAUGAUAGUUUGCAACUGCAAGACCAGUUCUGCACCAUAUUCAUCCCACUCUGAAUUCCCACAAUAGCAAUAUCAAGCCUUUUGGGAUCGGAUAAUGAGCAAGAUUUCAUAAAGAUAAAAUGAGUGGAUUCUGAAAUGCCUUUCCAGAAGAAGUACCAUGUUGAAGUUUAACUUUAUGGAUCAAAGAUAAUAGAUUAAACUAAUAGCAGAGAAUGGCAUUAAGCACAGUGCCUUUAGCCAGCAACAAAAUACACCCCCGUCCUCCUCCUUUAAAUCAACUACUGCAUCCCAAUUUUAUACAAAUCCAUUAAAUUUCACCCAUUCUAAAUGCUACACAGGAACCCACCAAAUCAAACAAGGCUUCUUACACGUCAAGGGUGAUAUUAUGAAAAUUGCUCUGUGUUCAAAAAUCAUUUUACUCAUUUCCAAAUAACUGCUCGUGAAUAUAUUCCAUUAGUCGUUUUGCUUUGACCAAAAAUGACAGUACAAUAAUGUUUUUCUUUUAAGGCUUAAGAAAAGAGUUGAGAAUGUCACACACACACAUAACGAAUAACAAAUGGUCAGUGUAGGCAUGUUUGUUGUAAGGUUACAAACCCACUUGCUAUUGGCUCUCCUAGACGUCUUCAACACGCCAUAGGCAUCAUCUCAAUCUCCUUGAAUUGCCAAAAGUUUGGAAAAUGGGUUAUUUUAAUAAACUUGGAACCAUUGUUCUCAUUUGGGAAAUAAAAAGUUAGAAUAACUUAAUUUUAUCUUUCAUUCAACAACAUAAACUUAACUCCCUCCGCCACAAUUGGAAUUUUGCAUACUACACCAAAUCAAAUUUUACAACUAGUAAUUCAACAAGUAAUUAAUUUGAAGUGCUAUUGAUGUAAUUGGAGAAUUAAAAAAAACUUGUACUGUAAUUGAAAUGUUGUUGUUACUUGUUACCUUGGUAGAAGCUGGAUAAGGAGGUAAAGAGUCUGGUGCUCGGAUAUCUUCUGCCAAGAUUUUAUCAAACGACUCAUCAAGUGAGACCAUCAUUGGUUCAAGUCGUUGAGCAACUCUCAGUAUCGUUUCAACUGCUUCCUCCAUCGAAAUCAUUCCAACACUGCUUUCACUUCCACAAGAAACCAUUCUUUCUCUCUCUCUCUCUCUUCUUCUUUACUUGUGAAGUUGUGACUUUUAUUCACUUGUUCACUCAGAAGUAUUAUUUUGUUGGGUAGUCAAAACUGAUGUCCCUUGGUUGGGUCAGAUGGCCUGACGUUCAUCUUAUUUAUUGUCACUUCAAUGGUAUCAUCAUGUCCCCUCGUAGUUCUCAAAGGCUCAAACUCUUCAAGAAAUGGUCUCUUGGUCGGAUUUCCCUAUCAUUUUUUAGCAGUUCUAACUUCUAAGUUUCUAACUUUAGGACCUGAGUUUAACUAAACCAAGGGGGUUAAUCUCAGAAGAUUAUGGCAACAAAUUGAGGCAUUAUAUGUGUUGAAAAACUAUUAUGCUUUUUUCUUAGCUGCUUUGAUUUGCGUGACUUGGCAAGAUAGGUUAUGUUAUACAGACAUGCAGUGCUCUUUUGCAAAGUAUGCUACCUCCUAUCAGCUAAUAAUUUGAUGUGCUUAGAUACAAGGAAAACAACAAAUAGAGUGGAAAUGGACAUCCACUUAAACUCAAAUGUCUUCUACGUUUGUAUCAUUCAUUCAUUCAUUCAACAAAUCAAUCCCUGUUGAAGUGCUCACUUUUUUACAGUGUUCAAACCUGAAACAAUAUAUUGAUCAUGUCCAACUGUAAUGUUCAUUCUCAGGUACAAUCCACACACUAACCAAAUUUACAGGUAUACAUAAAAACUUAUGCCUGUGUAAUUCCUUUUGCUAUUUCAAUGUCCAUUUUCUGUGGCAAAAUGCAUGUGGGAGUUGUCUGAUACUUGAAACUCUGGAGAAACUUUGGAUUCAUUUCCAAUCUCAGGCAGCAUAACUUUGUCAGAGAAGACAAAAUGGUCAGUCACCCCAAAAAUAUUAGCUAUUUGCAAAACUGCAGAUUGAGAUGCCAUUGUGGCUGGAAGAACGGAUUCUGGAAGGUGAGGGAGGCACUCUGGAAGAAAUUCGCUCCUGUGAAAAGUUGGUGCAUAAAGUGCAAUCACAGCCCGACAAAAUAUGAACCUGUAAGGCAACACUGUUAGUGUGCAAAUUCCUAUGAAAAUAUCAGUUUUUCUCGAUCAUUCUUCUAUUCAAAGCAUGAAAGCUCCAACCAUCCAUGUCAAACAAAUGCUUAAGAUACAUAGAACAGCAGGGGUUGGUAAAUUACUCAUGAUAAACAUAUGUUGUUAUAAAAAUGGUUAGAGGUGGUGAACAUUAAACAGAAUUAGCGACUCGACAUUAAGGAAAAAAAAUGAAAACACAUAAAUGAAACCAUUUGUCCAUAGUAUGAUCUCUCUCCCCUAGUCAUUAAUAACAUAAAUCACUAGUUUUAAUUCCAGUUGUUGCUGCUGCUGUUUUACGUGUGUUGUAUGCCUAAAUUGCAAUAAUAAAGAUUUCAAGCUACUACAGAAUGAUACAAAGGCAAAUCUGCAUACACAGACCUGAGUAGUAUGCAGACAGAGAUAAAAAUAAUGAUCACAAAAACUGAAAAACAAGAUAAAAGUAAUUUAUACAUUAAGGUAGGUUUAUUGCUCAUUAAUAAGAUAAAAGUAAUUUAUACAUUAAGGUAGGUUUAUUGCUUAGUAAGCAAUAUAAAGUAGGGACAAUUCUAACUGUUAAACCUCCCCGAAACCUAAAGUGUUUAAUUAAUAAAAGGCACACACUUUGGUUGAUAAUUAUUCCUUGUAGUAGAAAUCUCUAAAGGUUUCUGAUGACUCUAUGUGCCUAAGUCAUGGAUAUCCUGCAAUUAGCGUACGAAAGAUUUACAACAUAGUUAUGGAGAAAGAGAGGGAAAAAAUCGAUGAUCACCUCAAAAUAAGUCUCCUUAAGAAAGGAUCACACAAGAUUUGUGCCCAAACCGGAUCAAGCAACUCUGAUGUUGCCAAGGUCAAUCCCCACUCAUUUAACAGUAACGAAAGCAACUUCUCCGCCUUGUUAUAUACAUCCUGCAAAAUUUGCUCUCGUGGUAAAGUUUUAAGUAUAAUGAAUAGUCCAGGAAUCAAACACCACAAUGGCUUCCUCUGCAGCCAAAAUAUAAGAGAAAGGAAAAUGCAUAUAGACCCUUGACUUACCAUUUCAAUAUUAGAACCUGACAAACCAAGUAAUAAGCAGAACGCCUGCAAUGGAGCUGUGAGGAACAUGGUAAAUUGACUUCCACUGGGGUGACGAGUGGAAUCAACAGAAGCGCCAACAGCUGGAGAGGGAAGGCUCGGAGAAAGGAGUAUCGCAGCAGGUUCUCCCUGUUCUGCCCCAUGUAUAGCCUGAAAAAGCUUCAAAAUUAAUUACUUCCAUAAAAUUCAAAGAAGAACCAGAAAGUGCACAAGUAAAAUGCACACUUGUUCUGUCAAGGCAGCGAAUCACAAGCUGUCAGUAAAUUCGCUAAAGCGAGAUGCUCCCCUCUUUUUCCCACUCCUCCCAUAUAUAUCAAUCAAAUGCAAAACAAAACAGAAAAGACAACAACAAUAUAAAGGAUAAAUAAAAUCAGAGCUUUAUCAGAUAAUCUAAUACAUUUUGGCACUAAGUAAUGUAGUGAAAAUAGGGGGAAAAUUACAAAAACCAACAUAUUUUUAAUUUGUGGAAUGAGAGAGGGAGACUAACUAUUUGUCAAAUCCAUUGACACUCACUAAAUUUAAAAAAUCGAAAACAAGAGAAGUAUGUUAAGCUUUCCCUUCUUGAAAAAAAAAUUCAAGAGCAAAAUGACGACUUCAAAUGAAAUAAAAUCGCACAAAAAAAAAAAAAAAAAAAAGGAAGAAGAAGAAGAAGAAGAUAAAAUGAACUCAAAUAAGGGUACCAAAUACAUUUUAGUACUACAUCGUAAAGAAAAAUAGUUGAAAGAAAAAAAACAUACAGAAAUCAAUAUGUUUUAAAUUUGUUGGGAGAGAUAAUUGGUAUUUGUAAAAACCAUAACUAGAAACUCACUACAAUAAACAAAUCAAAAACAAAAGAGAAAUAUCUGGAUCUUUCCCUUCUUGAUAAAAAAAUGCCAUGAGAUGUAAAUAGAAGUUAGUACAUGUGUUUUACGUUAGGAAAGGGGAAAGAGUGUGCUUCUCAAGUAACCCACAGACCGUGCAGUGUGCAACUGUCAGGCAUGCACCUGACACAGCCUGGACGCAUUCGUCUCGCACAGCCUAUAAGGUACGCCUCACAACUAGCCCUCUCUAACCAUAGAAGACAAUCAUCGAAGUGGCUUUUAAAUAUUUUCUUACGAAGCUUAUCUUACUACUGAUUGUGUAGAGGUAGUGAACUAGUGAUCGGGCCUGACACUAAAUCCAAUCAUUAUAAACCUGUCUGGAAUCUAAAACAAAGAAAGCAGAUGUUGAGCAACCAUUUGGGUACCUUUUAAAAAUCGUCUUUUUGGCUUGAAAUCACAAAAUGCAUCAUGAGGAACAUAGUACAAUGAACUGAUCUGAAUUACAAUUAGAUAUUUUAUGUUGUUUUUUUCCCUGUUUUUUUCUUUUGCUUCCACGAAAAGCACUUUGAUAAUAGUUUUACUUAGUACGCUCAUUCCCUUUCAAAAACUUCAUGUCUAUCAUAUAUAAGCAAUAUUGUAAUAUUGUUAAGCAAAAUAUAAAAAACAGAUCUAAAAUUCAGUUUAUCAUGGUGGCAAUAUUCUCACCCAUCCACCCCAAUCCAAUUUAAUACAUAUGAUGAUUUCUGAUACUUGGUUUAAAAUAUAACUAUGAAUACCAACUUAUAAUUUGCAUCCGCAAGUGUAAUUUAUAAGACAAAAGGAUCCAACAAACGAGAUUCAAGAGUUGACAAACCUGCCUUGAAUGCUUGACUGCAAUCACUAUUGAUAAUUAGAAAGAGAGGUCUUCUUGUGAAUGGGAUUAAGUCAGAUGGGUAAAGGCAGUUUAUACCUGAAAAAUAGAUGUGCAAUGAAUCAGAAUCUGCUAUAUAAGAGAAUAGAAAAUAAUAUCAGCAAGAAAGGAUAAAAAAAAUGUUAGUGUAUGGACCGAAAUUCCAGUAAACCAUAACUGAGCAUACCUCCAUUUCCACGAGAACCCAUCCAUAAGCAACCUGAGUUGUUUCUCGGGUUUCCUCUAGAAGAAUAGGUUGGGCUAUCAUUCCUGAAGCUGGAUGGAGAAGUGUUAUGCACAUCAGAGGUCAUGUCAUGCGAUUGGAUGUUCCCUACAAUGCUUUCUGUAGUCUUCAUGUAAGUUCCAGAACUUGAUGGCAACUGACCAACCUGUCCACCCUUUCCUGAGAAAGUGGCAACUUUACAAGGCUAAGAACUUGUUGAAUAAAACAAAAAUUGUAAAGUCAUAGAGUGAUGGAAAAUUGCAGGACCUGAAGCAGACAAAUAUAUUAAAAGAACCCCAUCAGAAGGAAGCUCCUCACAUAUGGUAGCCAGUACCUGUACAGAAAAAUAAGUUUGACGUUUCAUGAGUUCUUAUUGAACAUGUGUGAACGUUUAUAAUACUUUCAAAACAAUGUUUCUUUUUUCCUCUGUUGUUGUUGUUGUUGUCAUUCAUGAAGAGAACCCCUCUAUCAUUUGUGGCAGGGGCAUGGUUUCUUAUCUUAAAAGUUCAGAGACUAAAUGCCAACCAACAUAAAAAGCUGAAAAUUAACGCAUAGUUUUAAACAGUAAAUAAUAUACUCAUAUCCCAUUUAUGCCCUAGAGAUUAGGAAAUAAAGAUUCAUAGCCUAUUUCAAUUAGCUAUACUUGCGUCCUCAUUUUUGUCUGGCUAAGUAAGACUUUUAUUUUACAUGGAUAGUUUCAAAUAGCCUAGCGAGAAUGAGUGAGAGAGAACCACACACCAUCCUUAAAACAAAAACAAAAGCAACAAAUACACUAAAGAACUAUAUCUUGCUCCCAAUAUUCUACCCCACUUCAAAAUUAAAUCCCAAAAUCGAGCAACCGUUCUUUAAACAGACCUAAGAGCCAAAACCACAAAGUAGCCUUUGCUUUCAUCGCCAACUUCUCGACAGUCGGUCCCAACUCUUUAUAACAGAGCUCAUUCUUGACCUCCACAUAUUUCAUAUCACUUAAGCAGGUACGAAACCUCACAAUUUUGAGUCCAAGAUACUUGAAAUCAACCUUGGCCAAUUCUUCAACGCGGUGUUAAGAUUCAGAGAAUUAAUAACAGGUCAAAUUAUAAAGGUCUUCUUCCAGGCCAGAUGAUCCUAUACUUGCAUAACUGCAAUGAUUUAUUAAUCAAUUCAAUCAGAAAGCAAGUAUUUCAGUGUAAUAUAGCAAAUACCCACUUUUAUAUUCCCUACUUGCACGACCUAUUGGUAGGCAUACAUCAUCAGAAAGUAAACUGACCUCGUAUUUUCAAGUAUAUGUUUUUCUUCGUCAAAGCUUGCUUAUGAGGGUUAUUUGUAUCCAAAUUAGAUUGUUUCAUCUUCUUGAUCAACCAACUUCAAUCAAUCAGAAAAUUUAACAUUUUCAGUAGGCAUUGUUUCCUUAGCGCCACAAAUGACCACAUCAUCACUACUCCUCUACUCUCACAACAUUUACAAAUUUGAUGUUCUUCAACUUCAUCGUUAUCUUCAACAUUACGUAAGAUUUACUACUGCCCAACAGUAACUGGGCCUAGGUCUCCAUUGAAGGUAAAGUUAAAAAUAGGAAACAAAAACCCUUUAUAUUCUACUCGUACUCUGCCUCUUCUCUUCGUCUUCAGCCUUUAUCUUCUAACAGGUUAGUCCUUUUCUUUCUUUUUUCAUCUUCUCUUCCUUUCAUCUUCCUCCAUUGCUACUUCUUCUUCUUUUUACCACAACUGCACCUCCUCUUCUUCCUAUUUUUCAAAGUUCUCUUUAUUUUUUGUGUGUAUAUAUUAAUAAUUAUAGGUAUAUGCAUCAUUGCUAUUAUUUAUUACUGUUUAUUAAAUGUAGAAGCAUCUAUAUAAAAAAAACACAUUUUUAGUGAAUCAUUCGAAACUCGAGAUUAUUCACGACCAAAUACAUUAUUCGCUAUGCCGCCUAUUCGCUGCUAGACCAAGAAGGUACCAAAAACCGAAUAAACUGCUUAGUGCGAAAGAGACAACCUUCAUACUAACACGUUACCAUUUUGACAAAGGAACAAUAAUAAAAAUAAAUAAAUUUCAAACAGAUUAAGGAAAGCACCUGAACUAGGUUCAUGAAUCAAUUAUUGGUAACAAAUUGCCAAAGAAAUCAUGCACAAUGAUGAGGGAUGAGCUCUUAAAAGUAAACAAAAUCAGAAACAAAGACAAGAGCUCUUCUAUAGAACAAAUACAAUAAAAUAAAUAGAAGCUAAGCCAUCCAGACAAAAAGAUAUAUAUGUCCAAGAAGUGAUUUUCAACUCUAUACUACUGUAUCCACUACAUCCUAUAAACAUCAAUCCUUCUGAAAUGAAGACCAUAUUAAUCAACAAGCCAUGAUCAGGUAGGAUAACAUUGCAUUCUUACUGCUAUAAAAUGUGUAACAGCUGGGCGGUAUAGAAUGGCUUUCCGUGGAUUUGGUGGCAAAGUUGGAUCGAUAAGAUCUUGCGAGUGGUUGUUACGAUUAGGUCCAGGGGCACCACUCUGAGCAAUGGUACUACCAUUUCCGCUUGAAGCCUUAUUAGAUUGGUAAAACAAACCACUAGGUUCCCACUCUAGACAUUGAAGCAUCCUGAAAGUGUCCAGAGUUAACUCAGUAAACUUGACCUGAGAGAAAAGAAAGGAAAAGGCUCAUCAAUACUCCAAUUGAGUGUAAUUUGGAGAACCAUGCUAAUAAAAUUAUAUCAAACAGAUUAAGCGUAUUCAGUUUAGUCCCAUGAAUAAAAAUUCCUUCCUCAAGCACAGUAUGAAAAUAGGUAUCUCAAGUUCAGCUAGUCAAUACGUAUCACUGAACAAAGUCAACAAAGAAGAGUUCCCGGAAAAAAAUGGUAUGACUUUAUUCUAAUUGAGAUAUCAUGUACAAAUGUCAGUACAUAUCACAGGAUGAACUCUACCUAGAAGAUUUUUGUAGCAUCUAAUCAAAGAAAGUUUAGUAAGAUGCCGGCACUAGAACUUCUUUUAUGGAAGAGAGUUCAACUGGCGAUAACAAUUGUUGGCCCUGAUAUUCAAGGUGGAACUAAUCACCAUUAGACUAUUACAAUUUCAGUGUGCCAUCCCUGCAAACACUGGAAAUCCCUCUUCUAUUCUAUGAAAAUGUGACUUGUGCGGAAACUAAAUAGUAUGAUAUUUGGUGCUGAUAAUGUUAUGCAUGAAAUUGAGGUGGCAUAGACCAAGAAGAAGAUUGGUUUCUAUAAGUAACUUGUUUAGCAUUCCAAGUGUAUACUUUGCCUUCCAUUCCCUCAAAGACACUUGGUAACACUGAAGCGAAUAAUGUGUGCCUUUUGUGGAAUGAUAUGUAUAAUAUUAAUUAUUCUUUCAUUGUGACUUGUGUGUCUUUAAGAGUGAACUGCUUGAAUCCCUUUUCUGUUUCCAUAGGUAUGUCCCUCGGUUGUAAAACUAGUUUAUCUCGAUCUCCAUUUGUCAUUUUAUAAGAUAGUUUACGAUCACAGGGAGAAAAUAUAAAUAGUUUCAUUACAAAUAGAAUUGCAUCAAAAUACAAAUUACUGAGAAAAUUAGAAUUCAUAAAAUUGACAAAAGUAUUAAAAUCAACAAUAACAAAAAUGCAAUGAAAUACAAACCUCAUUAUGAUGGUAACUGCUCAAUAUUGCAUCACGUAAUCUUAAACCCCUCUUUGCAUCAAAUGAAAAAGGAUAUUGUAAUGUGUCUGGAUUAGAAUCCAGGACCAAACUAUAUCUCAAAGGUCGAAUAUUCAUAAAUGCAGUAUCAACUUUCAAAUAUCUAACAAUUUCCUGAACCACUUGCUUCCAAUCUCUGAAGUCUGCUUCCUACAAACAAAAUUCAUUUGAAAGUCAUUUACACUGCCCUUCACAUAACACAGGCUACAAUAAUGUAUGGUUUUACACUACCAUAGGGUACAUAGCUGACGAGAACAAUAUAAAUGGUGAUAUGUGCAUAGAUAUCAAAUACAUGGUACAUUACAUGAUUUCAAGUUUACAUUUCAGUCAUAACUGAAGAAAUAAUAUAGAUUAUAUAAAUCCUGAAACAAAUACCUGGAAAUUGCGCUUGCACUCAUCGACCAAGACCUUGAGAUGAUCAACAAGUUGGAAAACCAUAUCUCUUCUAUUCAAAACCAAACAAACAAUCAAGAACCUAGCAAGACACCUCAAUUGUUUGUUAGCAAGGUUAAGAUCCUGCGAUGACGAACCAUCCUUGAAAUACUCUCUACUUAAGAUAGCCUCAUAGAAAAUAUACGAUUCAGACAAAUAACUCGCUUCACUCGUUCUAAGAUACUGUCCAUAGUAAAGCUGAGCAAUUCGAGACGCAAUUUCUCCAAUCUCCCAUCUUUUCAAUCCAGCUUCAACUAGUUUUUGUCGAUUUUCUUGUUGGAAUUUCCAUAAUUGUGUAUAAAUCUUGAAUACUUUAUGGAAAUAAGAAUCAUACCUAAAUGAAAUAAUAAAGAAUUAUAAAUAAAUAAAUCUAUCUAUCUAGGGUUUCUAUUCAAUUGAAAAGUGUUAAAAAGAAUUACCUUGCUCUUCCAUAAUGAGGCAAAUCUCUAACCCUAGAAAACUUUCGAUCAGCUUUAUCAACUAAAGACCAAUAUAUUUCACUAAUUGGAAUGUUGUUUUGCGCCAUUUCUGAUCGAGUUAAGAGUGUGAGUGUUAUGGCAAACGCGCGAAAUGAAGAAAAUGGAUUGAAGAGAAUGAAACUUUCGAAAUCAAUUUAGGAAAUUUAAUGCGAUGGAACAUCUAAAGAAAAGAAACUUCGUAAAGUAUGAAAGUGUUUUCUUUGGGUCUCGUUUACAUACACCCAAAGAGAAUGCGAACGACGCACCCCAAAACUAUUGGGCCUUUGCCCUUGGGAGGGAUCCCAAAUUUAUCUUUGAACCUGAACGCGAUUGAAAAUUACUUUUAGUCCUUCUAUCUAGCUUAAAAAUUGUUUUUAGUCUUUUUUUUUUUAACAAGUAUUUCAUAAUUAGCCCUCGUCUCUAUCAGGGUUACUAAGGUUUUAUUGAAUCAUACCAACCAGUGUUGUUAGAUUUUAUUUACUAUUCUUAUCGAUGAUGGUAAAUUAAAAAUUACUUUUAAUAUUUUUCUCCGACUUUACAAUUGUCUAGGGUUAAUAACAAUUUGUCUAGGGUUUGAAGCAAAAAAGUCUGGGAGUGGUUUGUAAAAUGGAUAUUAACAAAGCUUAUAAUCAUGUUAAUUGGAACUUCUUAGUCUACGUGCUUGAAAUAAUGGAUUUUGGUUUGAAAUGGCGUAAGUGGGUGAAACCGGCACGAAGUGGUUUGACAUCAAUUUUGUGACAAAGUGUCUUUGGUUAUCUCGCCUUGAAUUCAUUGUUAGGAAAAUCAAGAUGUACGCAUGGUCGUCUCGUGUCCUUGUGUCUCUUAGGUCUGUCCAGGAAAAGUUAUUGGGUUCUGGACGUACGUACCGGGUUAGGACGUACGUACGUCCACUGAAGCAGCGAACUUCUUUUGGUCAGGACGUACGUACGCAGUUAGGACGUUCGUACGUCCAAGUAGGCAGCAGACGUGUUUUCGUAUGGAGACGUACGUACCGAGUUAGAGCGUUCGUACGUCAUGUUAGGCAGCAGGCUUAUUUUUGUGUGGCGACGUUCGAACGUCAUAUCGACGUACGAACGUCCAAAGUCGGUUUGCACAGUUUCGGCCCAUUUUCCUAAGUUUUCAACCCUAAGUAUAAAUAGGGUUUCUCUUCGAUAGAACAGUUAGUUCUUUGGCCGUCCAAUUCACCUCUCGUGUCUUGGAGUUUGUUUAGGUUUUGGUUUAGGUGGUUUUGGUGAUUGAACUCAUCUUCUUCUUCCCCAUUCAUCUUCUUCUUCAUUAUUGUUUAUAUUGAUUUAGCUUCGAGUCUUCUUGUGUGUUCAUCAAGAAGUCGAGUAUCCUUGUGUGUUCAUCAAGGAACUCUGGUGUAAGCUUGUUACAUAGAUCGGCUUCGAGUCUUCUUGUGUGUUCAUCAAGAAGUCGAGUGUCUUGUGCGUACAUCAAGGUGCUCUGGUGAAGUCAAGGUGUUAGAGAUAACCAGGAGUAUCAACUCGCAGUGAGUGCAGGUAGUUGAUAGGUUUGUACAUCUCUUUUCAUCUAGUGGAUUAUUUGUUGUCGAGAGGACAACCGUGGACGUUUCCCAUAUUGGGUUUUACCACGUUAAAAAUUUCUGUGUGUUAUUUACUUUCUGCAUAUUGUUUAAGUUGUUUGAAUAUUGAACUGUUAGAUUAGCACUAUUUGUAGUUUCUCAAUUGGUAUCAGUCGCUGGGGGCUGGUUAAGGAGCGUCAUGGCUCACGCUAACGAUCCUAUGAGUGCAAUAAUGGUUCAUGAGUCUGGUUAUAAUAAUUUUAAUGUUAAAUCGUCUAAAUCUACAAAACCAAAAUCUGUUUUUGAAAAGGAUGAUAAUUUGUAUGUUGUUAGCAAUAGUGAUUGGGCUCUUCUUUACAGACUUUCUGCAAAAGAAUGUGACAGAUUACAAAAAGCUAAUAUUGAUUUGCAAGAAAAAUUUAAAAAAGCUAAUUGUAAUGUGUCUACUAUUUCUGAUAAUGUUUGUUUUGAAGAUAAUGGUAUUUUGCAGACUAAGGUUGAUUCUCUAGAACAACGACUCAGACAUUGUGCAGAGGACUAUAUGCUUCAAGGGGAAGUUUAUGAAUCCAAAAUUGAACAUUUGGAAAAGGCUAAUCUCUCUUUGCAGGAUAAAAUUGAGAUUCUUGAAAAACAGAUUUCUUGUGCUGCAGAUGAUACAAUUUCUAUUUCUCAAUUAUUUGACAAAGAAAAACUUGACUUGUUAUGUAGAAUUGCAGCUUUAGAGAAGGCCAAUCAGGAGGUCGAUGAGAAAUACAAAUCUCUAUUGGUGGAGUAUGAGGUAACAAAGAACGGUUUAACGUCUACUCAACUCCAAUUGCAGGUUUUGGACAAAACUAGAUUUGAUUCUCCUAUUGAUAGUUCCACUAGUUCAUCUAGUGUGAUUACUCCUGUAAAAUCUACUAGUUUGCCUGCUCUUUUGCCUACCCCACCUAUUGAGACUAGACUUAAUGCUACUAAUUUUCAGCAUGUUUCUCAUAAGAAUUUUAAGUCUAAGGUUAAUGGUAAGGCUGUUUUUACUGAUAAGCCAUAUUGUUCUCAUAAUGGAGGUAUAGGUUUUGUUAAGGCACCAUGUCACAAAUACAAUGGUGACAUACAUGUUUCAUCUUCUACCACCACAUCUUCUUAUAAGAAUUCUUUGAGUAAGUCUAAUGUUUUUCAUUGUUCUUAUUGUGGUAGAGUUGGUCAUUUGGAUAGUUUUUGUUGGGAUUUUGAUCAACAUGUUUCAUCCUAUUCUCGUGUUCCUCAUCGUUAUAAUCAUGUUGAUUCUAAUGUUCCUUCUUGUGCAUUUUCUAGACCUUGGAAUUAUAAUGGUUCUCAUCACAGGUUUAAGAAAAACAGGUAUUCCAACAGAAGCAAGUCUAAGACUAAGGUGGAAUUAGUUAAGGACAAGUGUAUUGCAAAGCGUGUUAAGGGAAAAUCUCAUAUCUUUUCACCUCCCAAGGUGUGCACGCCUAGUGUUAAACAAGUAUGGGUAAGAAAGGAUAAGUUGAAGGUUUUUCUGGACUUGCAAAGGUCUGGUGGUGUCCCAUAAUUGGGAUGAUGUAGUUUGUUUCUAGCCUUGUGUUAUUUGCAUUGCAUAUUUCUCUAACCACAUCGGCUAUGUGUUUGGUGUUUCUACUUUUUAUGCUUUGUUUGUUUAGCUUGCAGAUCAUGUUGCAUGUCUGAAUACAUUGUUGGUUAUUCCUUCUAUUUUUAUUUAUUUAUUCCAUGUAUGUGUUGUUGGAUGCAUCUUUUCUGAGAUAUUGGUUUAAUUCAAUUGUCUUAAAUAAGUUGCAAUAUGUUUGGGUGUUUUCUCUUUCUGAACUCUUAAGUAUGUUUUGGUAUGUAUCAUGUAUUUUUCCUCGCUUGUUUGCACAGUGCACGACAUGCUUGCAUGAUGGGAGUUUUUGGAAACCACUUACAUAUUCUUUGAGCUCAUAGAACUUCUCUAUCUCUCGAGUAUUUAUGUGAACUUGAGCUAUCUCUCCUUUGUUUGGUUAAUGUUCAUCUUGUUGUUCGUAUUAUUGAGCAUUCUUAUCUUCCUAUUACAACUCUUGUUAGUGGUCAAUGACUCACUUUAUCCCCAGCCAUUUGAUUGUCUUUGAAGCAAUAUCAGUUGGCUAAGAACCCGUUGGGGUUGUGAGGGUCAUGCUCUGACGGAUGCACUCAAGAGAUGUUAGUUCUUGUGUUGCACGUUAUCAUGGUAUUGCACUUCUUGAGUUUGUGUUUGUCAAAAAGAUGUAGGCUACACCCUACCCUCGUGUAAUUGAAAAGAUGGAGGCAAAAGCCCCUCCCACAUGGGAAUGACAUUGAAAGAUGUAGACUAAACUCCACCACAUGCGGCAAAAUGAUAAUCCAAGCGCAUGUUCAUUUUUUUUGUAAGGCAUACAAAGUUUACAUUCCUUUGCCUUUUGGAUAUUUUUUUUUGAAAGUUCAUAUUUAUAUUUGUUUGUCUUCUACUCAUAUUGGUUGUUUCAAAGGGGAUUGAAGUUUGUUUCUUCUAAGCUCACUUGCUAAUCGUCUGUCUCUUGUUGAUGGUUAUAUAUUCUAGGUCUUCAAAGGGUGUGUUCUAGUGGUGAACUUUAUCUCUCUUUAUGCAUUGCAUUGCAUCCACACACCGAGGUUUAGUUUAUUAUGCAUUUCAAUUCUCUUAAUUGUUCAAUAUUUUGUUUAUCCCAACAUAUUGCCUCUUAUUUUUGUACGGAUUGGGAUUGGCUACUGUUUUUGGAAGUUCAUGAUGUGUUCCUCUUCACUUCUAUGGUACAUCGGUUAUUUUCCUUUUAUCUUCUUAUUAUGGUUUGUGUUGUUCGUCGGUUUGCUUUCUGGUCUUUAGUUGUUCUUUCAUUCGUUUAAAAAAAAAAAAAAAAAAAAAAAAAAGGGGGGUCGUACGAACGCUGUCAUGACGUUCGAACGUUGAGGUGGGCAGAUCCUUUUCCAACGUACGAACGUUAUUAGAACGUACGAACGUAGGGUCUGACAGAUGUUUUUUUUUGAGUCCCGACGUACGAACGUCUUUAGGACGUACGAACGUCCCUGAUACAGUCCGGCCCAUUUGCUGUUUAAAUUCAAAUUUUGGUUAAACCUUUUGCCCAAUUGUUUCAUUCAAAUCGUGCCAUCUCUCUCUUCGCACGAACAAGUGUGGUUCCUUCUUUCAAGGCUCUACACUCUACUUUCGAAAGAUCACAAAUCUUCUCUCUUUGUAUCUCUCUUAUUUCUCUCUUCCUCUCUUCGUUCUUCUAGCUUGUAUAAGCAAGUCCCUCCCUGCUGUGUUCUAAGUGUUCAAAAGAGUUUUGUGGUGUUUAUCUUCUCACUCUUUCGGCAAUAGUAAGUUCCUCCAUUCUCCUUUUCAUUGCUUGUUAAUGGUUAUUUGUGAUGGAAUUUUUUUUUGUUGUGAGUGAUUAUUCAUGGGGUAACAGAAUUUGAUUUUUAAAGAGUAAAUUCCUUGGUGUCGCUGGGAUUUUUUUUACUUGGCACUUCGUUCCUCCUCUAGUCUUAAUCAUCUGCCAUGUUUAGUGUGAAUGUGAUUGUUGGUUUGCUGUUUUACUAUUGGAUUUAGUUUCUGCGCACUAACUGUUUGACAAAAUGUCUACAUGACUCCAAUGGUUUGUUUAUCUUGUUUGGGAUUACAUUUCACUCACACUUUUCGUUUGUGUACUGGUGUGCUUGUGUAGGAAAUGGCUUCAAAGCGUGCACGCACCACCACGGCCUCCACAUCUAAGGGUGCGUCUUCUCGUGCUCCACGGGGUCGAAGCUCCACUCCGGCCUUGUCGCCUCCUCCCACAUCUCUUGGUGCUCAUCCUCGGGCAAAAGCUAUUGUUCCUGAGCGAUUCUUUGACUUGGCCGACAUUGCUGCUACCCCUCUUGGGACUACUCAACUUGGCAACAUAUCCAUCUUCUUUGAGACUCGGAAUUGGCUAAGGGUGGCUCAACCAAUCACCAAGUACUCGGUUGAGCAUACGAUAGCCUUCUAUGAGACAAAGACACCCUCGCAGAAUCGCUCGAGUUUCUCAGUCUUGAUUGAAGGUCGGCGAUACACCAUUACUCCUAAGGUGAUACGCGAGGCGUUGGGUAUUGAUGGUGACUUUGUUCCUGAAGAUGCUGUUUCGGUCAGAUGGCCCGUUCCGGAUACGAUUCAAAUUGACUUUGUCAAUCAGGUUCAGCAGAUGUUUAUUGAUGGUGUCACGGAAAGGUAUCAUGCCAAGCACUACAGCGCCAUCCUCUUACACAUGGUUGCCCAUUCCAACAUCUACCCCUCCAAGGGCAACAAGAUUAUCAUGACCGAUGACAUGGUCAAAUUGGUGGUCUGUAUGUCGGUGCACCAUCUUCAUCUCUUUGAGGUCAUCUACACUCGAAUGCUUCAGAUCGAUGCAGCUAAGGAAUCCUCUAUGGCAGAAUAUGAACUUCAUGGAAUUUUUGUUCCGACUGUUGGUUAUGUGUCGUUCAUGGUGAUGGAGUACAAAAACAAUGCUAAGGUUUGUCGUCUAUGUCGCGUUCCCCAUGGAUAUGACUAUAUUCAUCGACCUUUUCUUAAUCCUUGUUUGGUUCGUGUCAAUCAUUGGGAGAGAUUACCGGGACAUCUUCAAAAUCACAUCUUGGAGUUGGUUGGUUAUCCGAAGGUUCCAGGACUUGCUGCUCCACUUACCGACUGUGGCUUGGACAGCAGAAUUGAGGAGUUGUUUUGUAAGAGUGAAUGGCUGGAGGAUUAUGAUGAUCAUGUGAUUGCUAGGUGGAAUCGACCUUCGGCUCGUGCGGAAGCUUACUUCUCCAAGCUUCCUCUAGGUCAUUGGGAACGGGUUUUUCGAAUUCGUUAACUCAAGCUUUAUGUUUUUGUCGUUUUGUCUUUUCUGUUUAUGGAUUCCUAUGUUUGGUUAUUAGUUGAUUUUCUGAACUUUUAACAGUUGGGUUCGGUUUAUAUUUUUAUCUGUUUUGUAUUCUUUGUUUGGUAUUGAUUUCUUUUUCUUGAUUAUUGGGUUAUUGUUGUUCUUUUCCUUUGUUGGUUGGUUAUUUUGUUCACUUGUUGUGACAAAAAGGGGGAGAUUUAUGACUCUAAUUACUAACAAUCGUCUUCUUGUUGUUAGGUUAUUCUUGGGUCAUGUUUCAGGUAUGCUAUACGUAUGGGGGAGUGAACGUGUUGAUGAUUUUAGACGUUAUAUUGUUAUGGGGGAGUUCGAGUGUCAAAAAUAUUAUGGAGCUCAUGAAGUAUGGGGGAGUUGCUCGAAGGAACUUCGGUUGAAUCCUUGAUUGCCUCGGAAAUUUCUAGUUGCUUUCGUUCGAUCUCUGAUGGUGACUUGUUAAAGCUGGAUAACAAGAAUUGGUGACUUGUUAUGUGUUUCUAUUUUGAGUGAUUUUGUAGGCAUGUUUUAUAAAUGCCAUGGUUUGGGAUUGUAAGCACGUUUUAUAAGUGCUAUUAGAGUCAUAGGUUUUUGUCACAAAAUCAAUGUCAAAGGGGGAGAUUGAAACCGACACGAAGUGGUUUGACAUCAAUUUUGUGACAAAGUGUCUUUGGUUAUCUCGCCUUGAAUUCAUUGUUAGGAAAAUCAAGAUGUACGCAUGGUCGUCUCGUGUCCUUGUGUCUCUUAGGUCUGUCCAGGAAAAGUUAUUGGGUUCUGGACGUACGUACCGGGUUAGGACGUACGUACGUCCACUGAAGCAGCGAACUUCUUUUGGUCAGGACGUACGUACGCAGUUAGGACGUUCGUACGUCCAAGUAGGCAACAGACGUGUUUUCGUAUGGAGACGUACGUACCGAGUUAGAGCGUUCGUACGUCAUGUUAGGCAGCAGGCUUAUUUUUGUGUGGCGACGUUCGAACGUCAUAUCGACGUACGAACGUCCAAAGUCGGUUUGCACAGUUUCGGCCCAUUUUCCUAGGUUUUCAACCCUAAGUAUAAAUAGGGUUUCUCUUCGAUAGAACAGUUAGUUCUUUGGCCGUCCAAUUCACCUCUCGUGUCUUGGAGUUUGUUUAGGUUUUGGUUUAGGUGGUUUUGGUGAUUGAACUCAUCUUCUUCUUCCCCAUUCAUCUUCUUCUUCAUUAUUGUUUAUAUUGAUUUAGCUUCGAGUCUUCUUGUGUGUUCAUCAAGAAGUCGAGUAUCCUUGUGUGUUCAUCAAGGAACUCUGGUGUAAGCUUGUUACAUAGAUCGGCUUCGAGUCUUCUUGUGUGUUCAUCAAGAAGUCGAGUGUCUUGUGCGUACAUCAAGGUGCUCUGGUGAAGUCAAGGUGUUAGAGAUAACCAGGAGUAUCAACUCGCAGUGAGUGCAGGUAGUUGAUAGGUUUGUACAUCUCUUUUCAUCUAGUGGAUUAUUUGUUGUCGAGAGGACAACCGUGGACGUUUCCCAUAUUGGGUUUUACCACGUUAAAAAUUUCUGUGUGUUAUUUACUUUCUGCAUAUUGUUUAAGUUGUUUGAAUAUUGAACUGUUAGAUUAGCACUAUUUGUAGUUUCUCAGUGGGUCCAUACAUGUUUGGCUACUUCACAAUUUUCAGUCAUGAUUGAUGGUGCACCCGAGGGCAACUUUAAAGCACAAAGGGGUUUAGACAAGGUGACCUUUAUCACCUUUUCUUUUCCUCAUUGUCAUGUUGGCACUAGCUUGACUUAUGGCUAAGUGCAUACACAUGGGGUGGAUUGAGAGUUUUCAUGUUGGUAACGGUGACAAUGAGGUGAAAGUGGGUAUCUUUUAAUUUGCGGACGAUACCAUCUUUCUCACCAAUUAAUGCAAGCUUCCCUUCCCUCUCCACUAUCAAGUUGGUUUUGUUUGUGUUUGAAGGCAUCUCAGGUUUGAAACUAAACUUUGUCAAGUCAUCCAUCGUCGAAGUGGGAUCAGUUACAAAUGUCGUUGAGGCAUCGUUUUUGGGAUGUGAAGUAUUUAAGCUCCCAUUUAAAUACCUUGGCCUCCCCUUUUGAACCAAGUAUAAGAAUGUGGAGGUUUGGACGUCGGUAACCGUGUAGUUCCAAAAAACAAAAAAAAAAGUUUGAUGGUUGGAAAAGAAGAUUACUAUCCAAAAGAGUUUGCCUUCUUUUGGCCAAAAGCACUCUCGCUAGCCUUGAUAUUUACCACCUCUUUAUACUUAAUAUCCCCACAAGCAUAGCUAACAAGCUUGAGAAAAUUACGAGAGAUUUCAUUUGGGACUCAAAUGAAGAAAAUAGGAAGAUCCAUUUGUUGGCAUGGGAUAUUGUAUAUACUCUAAUGAAAGAAUGGGACUUGGAUUCUGUCGCUUGAAAACCAUGAAUCAAGCUCUUUUAUCUAAACGGAUUUGGAGGUUUAAUAAUGAGCAUGAGGCUCUUUGGAGAAGAGUAAUAGUAGCAAAAUAUGGUAAAAACAAAGAGGGAGGAAGACAUCCGAGAACCAAAUAACUGUAUGGUUGUAGUUUAUGGAGAGGUAUACAAGUAGCACAAGAGUUUUUUUUUACCAACAUCAAUCAUGUGGUGCACAAUGGUGAAAAAACCUCGGUUUUGGCAUGAUAUAUAGCUAGGUAACUAUAUUCUUGCUCAUAGAUUCUCUCGAAUCUAUAAGUACGCCACCUUAAAACAUGGUUCGUUGAAGGAACACUUUAAAGCGAACCACUCUUGGAAUCUCCAUUGGAGAAGGUUACGAUAUAGGGAAAGUGAAAGAACGCAACUUGUUCUUCUAAAUGGGCUAUUUGAUGACCUACAUUUGGAAGAUAAGAAUGACACUUGGGAAUGGAAGUGUAAGAAGAACAAAGAAUUUUUAGUAAAGACUGGUUACUUCAAUCUUAUGGGAUCAAGGAACAAUAGAGUGGAGCGAGUAUCACAAUUUCCAUAUAAGAUUGUUUGAGAUAUGAAAAUCCCGAUAAAUGUCAAAUUCUUUUGUUGGGGUUUAUUUUGGGAUCAUGUGUUUACUCAGGAUAAGCUAUAGAGAGGGGGAAUGGUGUUGGCAAAUAGAUGUGCACUGUGUAAGGAGGCUGAAGAAUCUAUACCUCAUCUCUUUAUUCAUUGCAGGUUCACUAAAGAGAUGUGAAGUAGUCUGGUCUUUGUCAACUUUAGUUUUGUUGCAUCCCCGCAGACAUUGACUCAGUAAAAGAGUUGGUGGAAAAGUGGCCAUCAAUGAAUAAUAGAGGCAUUUUUGAAUGUAAAUGGUAUAUAUUGCCAUACAUUUUGUUGUGGUGUAUAUGGAAGGUUUGUAAUCUAUAUUAUAAUCUACAAAGGGUACAUAAAAUAGAUAAGUUUGGGUUAUAAGUAACGAUCUGGAUUCUCUCGAGUUUGAAGUUGUAGAUUAGAUCUGCGGCUGUGAUUGGAUUGGAGACAAAUUCAUUUAUUAAUCGUUAGAGUGGAUGGUUGGGAUCACAUUUAGAUUGGGUCCAAACUUAAGUUGUGUUAGAUGGUUGGGCCCAUUUUAUUUAGGGUUUGCUACUUCGUGGAUACAUCAGGUGGUCCAAUUUGAUCUCAAUUUUUCGGCCCAAUUUAGUCUUUCUUCUCCGUUCUCUAACCAAACCAAUUUAGUCUUUCUUCUCUCUCUCUCUCUCUCUCUCUCUCUCUCUCUCUCUCUCUCUCUCUCUCUCUCUCUCUCUCUCUCUCUCUCUCUCUCUCUCUCUCUCUCUCUCUCUCUCUCGAUUGAAGAAAUAUCAACAAACAGUUCACUUUAUUUGUUAAUGUAUCUCGAGCAGUUUUCAGGGGUCCAAUAGCUAUUAAAGGUAACAUGCCUUUUCAAGUUUUAAUUUUCUUUGAUUCAAUUGAUAUGUAGCAGAUUUUUUAAACCUACAAUUUUCAGAAAUUUUAAUUUCAGCAAAUUUUUUACUAGGAUUAAUUUCGGCAAGUUGUAAGUUUUAUCUCUAGAAGGAAAAGAUAUUUGUUUACUAGGACUUAUCCUUUAGGUUUGUAGCAAUAAUUUAGAAGUUGCAAGUAAGAUAAAAUUUGCUCCACUCACGAUUACCUGUUUAAUGUGCAAAUGUAAUUAUAUGAUGUAUAUGAAUGAGUUCAAUUUGUUACUAAUUAAAGUCACAAUCCUUCGUAUGUUUCGCAAAAGGAAUAAAACCAAUUAGAGAUUAUUCAAUUUUUAUUGUAUUUAGAAAUUUGUACCGAUAUCAGAAUACUCCUCAUCUAGACAACCAGAGUAAUUGUGAAUUUUUCAUAUCUUCCUAAGGAUUGUUGAUGAAUACUCUGAGAAAUUGUGAAAUGCUCUUUUCUUUAUAAGCAUUGUUUAUGGUUCCACUUACUUGAAUCUUGGUUCCACUUACUGAAUCUUAUCAUUUCUAGAUAUAUUUCUUUUAGUUUUUGGUACCAAGGGUUUAAAAGCGAUUGCAAGUAGAUAUACAUUUCAACAUGGUACAAUGCAUUAUUUCAGUAGUCUUUCUCUAUAGACAACAUUAUUUUGUUAUUGUGUUUUAAUAGAAAGAUAUCUUUUUUCUAAUCUUUUUUUCACUGCUUUGACAUUGUAUUCAAUUACGUAGAAGUUUUGUGCGGCUCAAACUUACCUGAACUCCGAAAGAAAGAAAAUCUAUCUAAGUAAUAUUUCUUUUUGCGAGAUUGAUAUUCUCUUUGUCAGUUAGUUCUCUUCCUAUACUUCUAUGCAUAUUGUAUAUAUUGUUUCUAUGCAUAUUGAAACCAGUAUAGGGUGCAUAGUUCGACUAGAAUUGAUUAGUAUGAUGUGCAUAGAUUUCGUUAAACCUUAAAAAUUUACCUACUCCAUAUCUGUCAUCAUCAUCAUAUAAAUUGAUUAGUUCAAUAAAAACUCUAUCAUUCUCGAAAAAAUUGAGAAGUGAGCUACUCCAACAAUUUUAUAGGAAUUGAUGGCAUUCUCUGCACCAUUGAAAUUAUGAGGAACCUUUCAGUUAUAAUCAUUUUUUUCACUCCAACCCAUUAGGCCUUUGGGAGCAAGGACCCACAUUUUAUUGGCAAUGGCACUCGGUCUCUAAAUAUGGUAGGUGUGCUAAGAAGAGUGUAAAAGUAGCAUGCCAUGUAAUUCAACCAGUCCAAUCAUAAAGAUUGCCAUAACAUGUAUAGAUCCUAAGGUUAAUUACCAUCUUAGCCUAGCUGCAUAAGUUGCAUUUUAUGUGAGUUGGAGCGGACCAAGAGUAGAUGAUGACUCUGACAGUGUGAAGUUCAGUAGUAUGUCAUGGAGGCAGAGAUCAUUCGACGCAAGGUAACUUUUAACAGUUUUUGUUUCAAGAUUCCCCUUUCAGUAAAUGAAUGUUAAAAUAUAAUGUUAUAAGAUUAAAUUUUAAUAUGAAUCAAUCACUAAAAUAAUGUACAGGUUCUUUUAUACUGUAUGCAUCUAUGACAACUGAAGUAGAACAAACAAAAUAACAAAAUAAUUGUAGGUGAAAGUUAAUUAGGGAGUUCAUCAAUCCCACGAGUCAGAAAGUUUUUCUUAUUUUAAAAGGGAAACUUGAGAAGAUCCAAUAGGUAGCUAGGAAAUCAAAUAUGAAUCAUGGAUUGUGAAUAUCUAUAGCCUUAUAAGUCACAAUAACCUGCAGCUUUGUCUAUACAGUGUUUGGAAAUAAAUUUUAAUGUCUAAAUCAAAUCUAAAAGACAACAUAUUAAAAUUCUUGAAUUAAUUUUAUUUGAUUUUUUGGAAUUUAACUGAUUUGAGAAGGCUUACACAAGACCGAGUUAAUAGAUGACAUAUUAGAUUUUACAUAGCACCGAGGCCUUUGUUUAUAAAACACUCAACACUCUAAGAGGAAUCUGAAACUGAGCUAUCCAGUAGGAUGGUUAACCUAUAUUGAGUUUUGAUUCUUAGUUGUUAAAGAAUGACAAUCACUCUUCUUUUCAAUAUAUCGUCGAGUACUAUGUGGUGUUGAUCACACUGUAACUCUCUUUGAAAUUUUCAAUUUCGUAGGUGUAUCCACUUUUUGCAGCAGUUGGUAUUUGCGGCUAUCAACUCAUAAAGUGAGGUACUUUUUUUUUAUUAUUAAAUCCCUUUUUAUUUGCAAAAUAACAAGCCAAUAAUCAGUUGCCAAUACAUUUAAAACAAAUUAUCCUUAAUUACAACUAAAGUCUUAGGGUAAUACUUAACCAUAUCGGCUAAAAUGUUCAAUGUCAUUACUAAUAAGCGUUUGGUUUAGUUGAACUGUUUUAAUGAUCAUUUGUGACUCUUCUUAAUCAGGAUGGAUUUCUAUGUUAAUCUUUCGAUGCCAUAUAUUCUAUAUUAUCGUGCUCUAACAUACAUCCCUUAUAUAUUUAUUUAUUUUUGGAUGAAUCAAAGUUCUAUGGAUUCAGUACUGUCCCCUCUAUUAUCCUAGGAUCGUUUGGGUUUGCUUUCUGUGUUUUCAUUCAAAUCUCCAUGCACAACUCUGAUUAAAUUUAACUGAAAAUGGUAUAGUUAUUUUUGUCCAUUCCUCUGGUAUUGGGUAUAGAGGAGGGCUGAAAGCAAAGGACAUAGAUUGCAAGAGGGGUUGAACAUUGUAAUGUAUAAGGGGACAAUUCAGAUGGCUUUUCUUUUGCAAAAAGUGAAAAACUUAUACCAAUAUGCAGAGCAAUUUAUAGCAUCUAUAUAUACAUAGUCUAUGAAAAUUUUGAUUUGCUAUUUUUCCAAAAUAAAUUUGCCAAAUAGGUUCAUACCCAGAUGGUCAUGAGACCUUUUCUGAUCCUGGUUUUCUUUUGCCAUCCGUUAAACACUAAACCAAUAUGCAGAGCAAUUUAUAGCAUCUAUAUAUACAUAGUCUAUGAAAAUUUCGAUUUGUUAUUUUUCCAAGUGACAUUGAUAGACAAAAAUGUAUGUAAGGGCAUACCUAUAUAAGAGUCAUUAUAUAGUUAGAAAUACCUAUUAUACUAAGAAUAAUAAAGCAAUAUGUGAUUAGAGACUCAUAGAUUGAAUCAAGUGUAUGAUAGUUAUAAUGAGAAGAUGUAUGAAUGACGUUUAAGAUCAGAUAGUCACUAAACAUUAAAAUUGAAUACAAAAUAGUAAGAUAUUAGCCUUCUGUAAUAUCUGGGUAUCUUAUAAAAGCGUUGAACAUACACUAUCUAAACCACCCGUUAGAUAAUCAUAGCUGGAAUUUGAAAUUUUACCCAAUUAGAUAAUCAUACCCAAUUAGACAUCAUGAUCGAUGCAAAAUUGAAAUUUUCAUAAACUGUAGGAUGAGUAAAAACUAAUCUUUUGUUUAUAUGUGAUCGCUUUCUGUUUGGCUCUAUUGGAUAUAAGUUCUUCAGAGCUGUAAGGAAGCAGAUUGGUUUAACUUUAUAAUCAGUUACUUUCUUCCACUUAGAGUCAUUUUUAAAUUUCUAUAUUCUGUGUUUAGUAAAUGUGUCUUACAUUAUACAUCAUCGUUUGUAACAAGAAGGUGAUGAUUAUGGGGAAACUCUGAACCCAAUAUAUAGUUUUAUCACAUCUCUUUCUUUUACAAAAUAAAUUGAACAAGAAGAAAUAUAACAGUCCUCCUCAACCAUAGAUAAAUAUUGGUAAGAAAUUUGUUUUACAAAAAUAUCUAAAUAUUCAGCAAUAACUAAUUCAGUACAUGGGCCUGAUAGAACUAGGUUUAGACUCUUUAAAGUUUUAAAGAGAGUUACUACUGGUAAGAAAUUUGUUUUACAAAAACAUCUAAACAUUCAGCAAUAAGUAGUUCAGUAAAUGAGCCUGAUAGAACUAGUUUUAGUCUCUUUAAAGUUUCGAAGAGGGUUAAUACUGAUAAGAAAUUUGUUUUACAAAAACAUCUAAACAUUCAACAAUAAGUAGUUUAGUGCAUGAACUCGAUAGAACUAGGUUUAAACUCUUUAAAGUUUUUGAUAAGAAGAUCAUAGUGAUAAGAAGAUCAUAGUGAUAGUCGUCAUAUAUAGCCAAACUGUUAAUUAUUUGAUGUACACACCUGCCUACAAUGAAAACUUUAUAAGUACUUAUCAAAGCUAUUGAGCAUUAGAAUUAUUUUUUAUCAACUUUAAUUAAUGGAUGGAGUUUUCUCUACCGUUUGAUAACUGGAGAUCUUGAUUUGUGGCUGUGAUUUGUUUGAGGCCGGGUUAAUUAGAAUUAGGUUAAAAGAAACUAAAAAGAAAAAUAUAUAACCUGCAGAUUUUCUUCUCUUUCUAUCCCCCUUCGUCUCUAACCACUCUUUCUCUUCGUCUUUCUCAUUCUUCCUGCUAAAUCUAAACCAUUGAAUAUAAAGUCUUCUUUCAAAUCACCCAGCCAUAAACUUCUUGGAAAAUUUUCAUUUGUUGUUUGCUCUCCAAGUCUCCAGUACUUGGAUUUGAAUUUGACAUGUAGGGUUAGUAUUGUUGUUUUUGUAUAAAAAUGGUUAGUAUUAUGAUUUGGUUGCUGCAAUUUCAAAUAUUCUUUGCAUCAACUAUUGAAUAUACAUGUACGAAAACUGUUUUGGAAUUACAUCAAAUUUAAGACCAAAAUGAAUGGUAAAUUGUACAUAUUGUUGUUGAUUAGGGAAGAUUGACACAUGGAAAAUAGUUAUUUGAAAUGUUUUUAUUUAUUAGAUUAAAUACGUAAAUUGAGUACAAUAUAAUCUACUAGGAGUAUAGGUAUUUGUUAGUUUGCGUUCUGGGUCUGUCAUUUUCAGAACCAGAACUGAAAGGUCAUAUACGAUAGGUCCCAAUUAUGCAAUAGUAUGGAAAUUAAUAAAAUAUGUGAUUAUAUUGGACAUUCAUUCCUAGGUUUUUUCAUCAACAUUUGGUUUUGAAUUUAGGAGAUCUCACUAAUGAAUCUAAUGACAUCUUUGGGACUAAGUCAUCUCGAAUUUGGUUUUAUGGAAGGUCAUUUGGUCAAAUGGGAUAGAGUCACACAAUUAAGGUAUGAACUUAUAUAGGUAUGAACUUGCUAUUCACCGCAUAUUUGUCAUUAGCCAAUCUCUUAUACUUUUAUUGGUAAAAAAUAUACUUUGUUCUUACUAUGGCAAAUUAAAUUAACAAUAGGAUGUCUGGGGCUGACUGAAAGGAUUCGAUUAUAUUGAAAAACCCAGCCCUCCCACCCAACUUAAAGUCAUUUCCCCAAUUCCAUUUUCUCAAAUGGCUACCCAAGAGGUAACGAUCCAGGAAUUGAGAGACCAACUCAAUCGUCUCCAGGAAGAAAAUGCCCGUUUAAAAGCUGCACAAGUUGCAGAAACAAACCCAGAACAGGGGGCUGUCAUCGCUGACGACAGCAAUCGAAAAUAUGAAGAACUCAGUCAGCAACUCGCUGAGUUCAAAGCUUCUCAGGCCGCUAUACAGUUGAGUAAAGGGCACACAGCCGAACAGCUCGCUGUCCAGUCUCUACAACAUUUCCAGGAAUCUCCUUUCACCACGGAGAUCCUCGAGCAAGAGUUGCCUAACAAACUCAAUGCUCCUAAGUUCGAUCAAUACGCAGGGAUAGGAGAUCCAACAGACCAUAUCAAGGGUUUCCGCAAAUCACUUCCACUCAUCAAGGAAGAUCAUUUGUUAUGUUUACUAUUCUAGUCCAGCUUCACCGGACCUGCUCUUGAUUGGUUCCAUCGCUUGAAGCCGGGCUCAAUCAGCUCGUUUGCUGAUCUAGAGAAGCAGUUCGUUAUAUUCUACAUCCACAACAAAAAACGUCCAGUCACCAUCGACGCUAUGUUCAAAGUGAAGCAACGAGACGGUAAACUUUUGAGCAAUUUCUUUGCUCGAUUCAAAACAGAACUGCACUCUAUUCAAGAUUUUGCAAAAGAGGACGAGCCUUUCGCAACAAUCGCGUUCUCUCACGGUCUGAUCCAGGGAUCAGAUCUGCAUAAGUCUUUGGCCAUGAAACGGCCAUAAUCUCUAGACGAGCUCUACUUCAAGGUAGAUCGUUACAUCAAGCUCGAAGAAGCCCUAGUUGGUAGGGAAAAAACUCAUGUCAUUUCAAACGUGGAAGGAGGUUCCACUAAAAAACCUCGAUCAGACAACAAGAGAUUCAAAGCUAAGGUGUUACCCACAGAGCAACGUGAGUACCACCGAUUCACAAGACCAGCAGGGUAUAUCUAUGAGCGCAUCAAGCACAACCAUUGGUGCAAGAUUCUAGACUUCACACAUUUGGAGGACACAUCUGGUUGUCCAUAUUGCAAGGUCCACAAGGUCAUAUGCCAUCAAACUGAUGAUUGCCGUAUACUGAAGCGAGCUCUUCAGACAUGGGCCGAUGAAAAAAGGCUCAACAACUGGAUCUACGACAGGCAAGAAGAAUCCAGCGAGAAAAGAACAAAGAAGAGAUCAAGAACGCCUACACGUUCAGCAAGGCGAUCUCUGAGUAAGGUCAGAACGGCCUCCACAAGCCCGGCCCGCAGCAGAGGGCGUAGCCUCUCUAGAAGACUAGGUCCAACAGGCGACCUACGCGACCAAAUCAACAAGCAGGUCGCGAACAAGAUAGAUGAUGGUAGUGAAACAAAGAGUCAUGUCGUAUACAUGAUCUAUGAAUCCAACUCCACCCCAGUAUCCAGAGAAAAGAAGAGACGAGUAGAACGUCUCCACCACGUCUACUCAAUCACAGACCGAGCAGCUCGAACCAACCUCCCAGCUCGGCAGGAGACAAAUCUAAGCUUUAUUGAGGACGACCUAAACAAGGUCGUUACACCAGACAACGACGCUCUGGUCGUUGAGUUAAGAAUUGCUGACUACAUAGUCAAGAGGGUCCUCAUUGACCCAGGUGCAUCCUGAACAUACUGAUGUACAGGACUUUCAAGGAUAUGAGGCUUCCCGAUUCAGUUCUCAUUCCUGAUUUCACUCCAAUCUUGGGUUUCAAUAGCUCGAGAGAGGAUCCAAAAGGAGAAAUACUCCUGCCCGUCAUUGUGGGAAGAAAAGAAGACAAGGUCAUCGUGACCACAAAGUUCAGCGUCCUCAACAUCGCAAGUAAGUAUAAUACAGUCGCAAAUGGAUCCAUGCCAUGAGAGGUGUACCAUCAACGUACCAUCAGGUGUUCCGUUAUCCUGGCCCCAAUGGGUAAUGAAGCUUCGAGGCAAUCAGAACGCUGCCCAAGAAUGCCAUGGAAUCAUUGAAGCUGUGGCAUCUGAUAAGCCAUCCACCUCAGAAUCCAAGAACGCUGAGCAGCAGAUAAAGAGUCCACCGACCUCAGAAGCCAAGGAGGUCGAGAAGCAAACAAAGAGCCCGUCUAAAGGAAAGGCUGAAGCAGCCAAAUAGCAAUUAGAGCAGGAGCAAGCGAGCUCCCCCUAGCUGUCACUUGGAAGCACAGAUCCAGGAGUGCGAGUGAACUUAGGGUCAGAAGACGACCCGAGAUAUGUUUAUGUGGGCUCAGAAUUAAUGGAAGAUAAGUAUAACGAUUUUGAACACUUUCUUUCUUUAAAUAAAGAUGUUUUUGCUUGGUCGUACAUCGAUAUGCCUAGAAUAGACCCAUCAAUAGUAUGCCAUAAACUACGUGUCAAUCCAAAGUAUCGACCUGUCAAGCAAAAAUCAAAAGACUUGCCCCAAAAUUUCAUCAAGCAGUCAAUGAUGAAAUCAGUAGACUCAAACAGGUCGGGUUCAUCAAGGAAGUUGACACAUCAGAUUGGUUGGCCAACAUAGUUCCAGUCUUAAAGAAGAACGGGAAAACAAGAGUUUGCAUCGACUUCACAAGCUUGAAUAAAGCUUGCCCUAAAGAUUCAUUCCUACUCCCACGAAUCGAUAGGUUAGUCGAUCAGACCUGUGGUUUCAAGCUACUGUCAUUCAUGGACGCGUACUUAGGCUACAACCAGAUCCCAAUGUACGAGCCAGAUCAAGAAAAGACUUCAUUCACAACGGAGCAAGGAAUCUUUUGUUACAAGGUUAUGCCUUUUGGCUUAAGAAACGCUGGAGCGACCUACCAGCGACUCGUUACCAAAAUGUUCGACGACCUGCUAGGUCAAACAAUGGAGGUCUAUAUCGACGACAUGUUGGCCAAGAGCAGCCUCGAGCAAGAUCAUUUGGCUAAUCUCGACCAGACAUUCCAAAGGUUAAGGCAAUUUAGAAUGAGACUUAACCCAGAAAAGUGUCUAUUCGGAGUAACAUCAGGGAGAUUUCUUGGCUACCUAUUUACAAAGAGGGGUAUUGAAGCAAACCCUGACCAGAUCAGAGCCCUGGUCGAUAUGCCCAGCCCGAAGACAAAGAAGCAAAUCCAAAAGCUCAACGGCAUGGUAUCAGCUCUUAAUAGAUUCAUUUCUAGAGCAUCCGAUAAGUGUCGACCAAUGCUUCAUAUUCUUAGAAGGGGGGCUGCAUAUCAAUGGAUAGAAGAAUGCGAAAAAGUCUUUACCGAGCUGAAGGCAUACUUAUCCACUCCACCAGUCCUCACAAAGCCUAAUAAUGGAGAUGUGCUUGGGAUCUACCUCGCCACUUCAGAUUUUGCGAUCAGCGCAAUACUGUUCAAGGAGGAAAAUCAGGUCGAGUGACCAAUCUACUUCACAAGCAAGGUGUUGCAACAAGCAGAAAUAAAGUACACACCUCUGGAAAAGUUAGCAUUAGCUCUUCUUUACGUUGCAUGCAAAUUUAGACCUUAUUUCUAAGCACACACCGUUAAAGUAAUCACCGACCAGCCACUACGGCACGUACUAGAGAAGAAGAACAAACCAGGUCGUAUGGCUCGAUGGGCAGCCGAGAUCGGUGAUUACACAUUUGAGUUCGUGCCCCGCCAGGCCGUCAAGGGCCAGGUCGUAGCUGAUUUCUUAGCAGACUAGCCUAUCGAAGAUUUUAGCUGGGAACCAGAACCAGAAACCAGACAAGUCCAAGUCGAUCCACCAGACACUUGGCAACUCUACGUUGAUGGUUCACACAACUCGAAUGUAAGUGGCAUCGGUGCCGUACUCAUCUCACCUGAGGGCUCACAACUCGAAAGGUCAACUCGAUUAGACUUCUCGACCUCUAAUAAUGAGGCCGAAUAUGAAGCUCUAAUCCAAGGUCUACAAAUGGCUAUCGACCUACAAGCAGUUCGACUCAAAGUGUUUAGCGAUUCGCAACUGGUAGUAAAUCAGAUUACAAACAACUACCAAAUACAUGGAGUCAAUUUGAUAAGAUAUGCAAACAAGGCAAAAGAGUUAAUCAACAAAUUCAGUUUCUUCAUCAUCGACCACAUUCCAAGAGAUAAUAACCGACAUGCUGAUUCACUGGCAUUCCUUGCAUCCAAGGUCGAAUCAGAGCGACCUCGAGCUCUAACCAUAGCAGUAAAUACGCUACCUGCGUAUCUACUAAAGGAGGAAGUGGUCAACCAAAUAAGCGACCUGCUAGCCACAACCUCAGAAGAUAUCAAGGGAACCUGGAUGGAACCCUUCAUCAGUUAUUUGCAAACUGGCGAGCUCCCACCUAACAAGAAGGAGGCCAGCCAAUUAUUGCACAAGGUCACUAUGUACAGGCUACAUGAGGGAAAGUUAUUUCGAAAAUCAGUAACUAGCCUGCUCCUAAGAUGUCUAAUUCCCAAGCAUGGACAAAUCAUCUUCCAAGAGAUUCACGAAGGAGAAUGUGGAAAUCAUUCAGGAGGUCGCACACUUGCUCAUAAAGCGAUCUCACAAGGAUAUUUAUGGCCAAGAAUGAAGGAGGAUGCUAAGAAAUUUGUGCUAAAGUGUAAGGAGUGUCAACGUUUUGCUGAUCACGCUCAUCAGCAUCCCAACGAACUCAUCAACAUCACUGCCCCCUGGACAUUUCACAUGUGGGGGCUCGACAUCAUGGGUCCACUGAUCAAAGAAAAGAAAUAUGAGAAGAGAUAUGUUCUAGUCGCGGUCGAUUACUUCACCAAAUGGGUAGAGGCCGUCGCCCUCACUAACAUCACUCAAGCAGAUGUGCAAAGAUUUAUGUGGGAAAACAUAAUCACAAGAUUUGGUUUACCCAAGAGAAUUGUUACAGACAACAGAACCCAGUUUGUCGGGAAAAACAUUAAGGCUUUCUAUGCACUAUGGAAAAUCGAGCACUCUAGAUCGACUCCUCGAUAUCCACAAAGCAAUGGCCAGGUCGAAGCUGCGAAUAGGCAAAUUCUAUCUAACUUGAAGAAAAAGCUUGAAGAUCAGGAAGACCAAUGGCCACAACAGCUGGAAAACAUCCUCUGGGCCUACCGAAUAACUCCUAGAACAUCAACAAGAAUGUCUCCAUUUAGCCUUUGCUAUGGAGUUGAAGCUGUCAUUCCAACCGGGCUGACAUUUGGCACGACCAAGUCACUACUGGUCGAUACCGAGCUCAAUAACCAAGCCUGGUCGUUUGGAAUAGAUCUGGCCGAAGAAAGAAGGAACCACGCCACCAUUAAGCUCGAGCAAUACCAACAAAGGCUCAAACGAGCUUAUAACAAAGGCGUCCGACCUCGAUCUUUCCAACCUGGCGAGCUCGUGUUAAGGACAAUGUUCCACAACAAAAGAAAAGCAAAUGUUGGAAAGCUCAAUGCCAACUGGGAAGGUCCUUACAUCAUCAAAAAGGUUCAAAGCAAUGGAUCUUAUCGUCUUCAAACUCCAGAAGGGGAAGAUGUGAAGAAUCCUUGGAAUGCUUAUCAUUUGAAGAAGUUUUACCAGUAAAAUGUAAGCAUGCAUUCUCAUAUUUCAAUAACGAGCUCAAUUUUGCCUUCAUUUCAUUUCAAACAUGAAUGGCUUGACUAGGUUUAACUCAAUCCCCAGACCUCCAAAUUAUCAAUACUCUAGUCCCUUCGAUAAUUUUUAAAGUGUUAAGUUGACAUCUGUAAUCCAACUAACAUUCUUUACUUAGGUCAUUACUAUCCCACGACCUAAGUAAAAUCGAGCUCAUACUCAAUCGACCAAAUCCUAGAACAGCUCGAGUUUUUGACUUACUAUAUGUUUGUGAAUCCAUACAAGCAGACAAUCCAAGAAAAAUAAGGGCCAGCAAGGUAAACAAAUGAAAUUUAAUUUUAUUCAUUUUCUUCAAAAGCCUAACUAUUAUAGGAAAAAUGAUCUGCUACAUCGACCUAAACUACUUGGGGGCUAGGCCAACAUUCCACAUAUCCAACUCGCAAGAAGGAGGUCACCUGCAAAUAUAAGGCAAAACUACAACGACGAGAAGGAAAAAAACAAAUUCAUUUAACUAAGGCAUACAAGAGGAAACAUUUCAGUCCGCCCUGCUUGCACCCAUUCAUCUCGUCUACCUGCCUUCUGAACGAGCUACCAGGACUCCCUGGAAACUAGUCGCCCAGAUAGACAACUUACAUUAUCCACAACAAGGAACACAAAUGCAGAAGUAAAGGCGUAAUUGACCUGCCGAAGCAGAUCGAUCGCUAUUGUUUACGGUUACAACUCAUCAAAACAAUAUUCAAGAACAUGAAAAACCUCACAACCACUUAAGCUGAAGACUGAACGUGAGACGAAGAAGACUGAACGUGAGAAGAAGAAAGACAUGUACUUCACAGCAGUGAGGAAUGCAUACAAGAACAAGAAACACCAGGAAUCACUGAAGACAGAGAAGAGGUCACUGCUGCGGAGCCUGGUCGUCUGGGUCCACCAACUCGUUCUGGACAACUCCUAUAGCAUCACCAGGGCCCAUCGAGGCGUCCUGCACUGGGACCAGUUCACUCUGGUCACCAACUAGCGUCUCCUCUCCUUCGGGCGAUCCCAGCAGCUACUUCUUGAGGUCCUCACAGUACGCCUGCCAUGCAGCACCAUUCUUUUGGCACGCGCUCGCCCAGUACGCCGCGGAAUCCUUGGCAGCAUCAACCUCACCUCUAACGCCAUCUAUCACCUCCUUCAACGCCAUAAUCUCCACAUCCCUAUCCCUCACCUUCAUCUCAGCAACGACAACAAUGUUCUUAGCCUGCUCGAGCUUCUCGUCCAGAUGCUUCAGCUCGAUCUCAGCCCUCGCACCAACCUCAGCGACCAGACGUACUUCCUGGAAGCUAGCGUUGAGCUGCACAAAAACAAUGAUUAAGGGAUGCAAUUUCCAAAGAUUAGGCUCAAAAAAUAAAUCUAAACUUAACUUACCAGAGAAAGAACAGAAUUUAUCUUGGAGCAAGUCACAAGAAGACUCUGCGAAUUCACCAUGCGAGCGUCAGCAUCAAGAACAACGCCCUCAUUAACAGCUCGGGCAACACAGGGGUCAUCUAUAGCACUAUCGUUAUCAUAAACGACGUGCUUACCUCCCCGGCCGUCCAGAUAGUCAAAAGGGCCAGGUCGGAAUUCAGAUGAAACCCCCUUGCCCUUGCUCGAGGGACGAACAACAGUCUUCUUAGACAAAAGGGUAGGGUCAGGAGCUCGCAUGGCUUUCAGAGGAGCAGGAGAAGGCAUGCUUGGUGGAGGCUCCAUCAACUUCAGGUUCCCAGAAAACGACCUCUUCCUGUUCGAGCCGGAAGGUAGCUUAGGUAGGAACGAUCUAGGGGCUCGCAGCUGGAUCAUUCUGUUUCGAGCUCGCACCAGAUCGGGACUUCUCAGCUUUCUGCACCGCAACCAUAAAGUUCUUCUUCAACACUUUCCUUCUCUCCAGCUCGUCCGCAACAGUCUUGGGACCACCCUUGGGAAGAAAAUAAUCCUUCAGAUGUGGAAGAAACUUUAUCUUCCGGUCGUCAGUCCAAGACCCAAAAACAUUCAAGGAAGAUCUCAGGUCGUUCUUCUUCACAAGAUGGUCGUCCCUGAUCGCUGCAAAAAAAAAAAAAACAAACAAGGUCAAUGACUAGAAAACAACAAAAUUAGAUCACCCACACAACGAUCUAAGACAAACGACCAGGAACUUACGAUUAUCAUUCACAUUCCUAGUGACAUGAACUAAAUGAAGAUUCCCUUCAGUUAUCAAACGAGUAAGCAUCAUGGGAUCCUUCCACCAUGGCUCACUACUCACAGGAUAAAUCAAGGGUAAACGGUCUAGCCUGACCUGCAUAUUAUAGCCCGCCAACUCCAGCUUUGCAGAUCGCUUGAAGAAGAAAUGACCUAACAUAUCUUCUACACUAAUAUUCCACCUAUGCAGUCUGUUAAGGUCAUCUAUAACCCUCAUGUUCUUCCAAAAGUUACCGUUCAUCUGGCAAGGAGCUCGUCUGAUAGCAUUCAACAGGUCGACUACCAAAUGAGAGAGGGGUAACCUGAGCCCAGUUCGGAAUUGGGCCAAAGUCAAAACAGUGGAAAAGGGGUUGUUAGGUCGAUACUCCUCGGUAAGUAAGCGAUCUCCCAAAAACCUAAUUUCAAAAUGCUUAAUGGAGUCCAACCCAUAGCUCUUCUUAAAGGCGAUGUGUCUAUUCACAUACGAGGGGGGUUAACUACACGGCAUAACGAUUUGUCAUCGCCCUCCACCAUUUCAUCAUCAGAUGAAUCCUCCCCAUGCGGACCACUACUUCCAGGGCUACCCUCAUCUAAACACUCCUCCUCUCGAUCAGGAGAGCAAACAUCGUCACCAGAAUGAGUCCGUUCAUCUUCAGACUCAUACUCACCAGCAUCAUCACCACUCAAGUGGUCAUUUUGGGAAUCACUACUGUAACGCCCCUGAAAUCCAAUCCUAGUUGGCCAGGCCAAAACCGGAUAACAGAGCCAUAAUGAUCACCAUAUGUCCUCCAUGGACCGUAGGGUCACACUACUGUCACGUGACAUCACACCUCUAGACCAUAGGAGAACAUAAUAAAAUAAACACAAACAAUAAACUAACAGCGGAAGACUAAACUAAAUACAAACUAUAUAAAUAUAAACCAGAGUCAUGCCCGAAGGUUACAACUCAUCAAAACUCCAACUAGACAUAUGAGCAACUCAAGACAACCUCCACCAGACAUCUCAACGAACACUCCAACAAUAAAAUAGCUACUACCCGAAAAGGAGAAAGGGUUAGACAUAAAGUCUAAGCAAGCUAUAGAACUUGGGUCUCGAUCUUAAUUCCAGGAAUAGAAUCAGCGCACCCAAUAUAUAAUAACAAUAUAUAAUCAAUAACAAUAAGAUGAACAAUAUAUAAGCAUAAAUUAAUAUCUGUGUCCAACAUAAUUAGUUCAUACUAAAUCAAAAACUUGUGCUACGCAUCUGAGAGUUUAUCAAAUAACAUUCUAGCAAAUCAAAUCUUAUAUCAUAUCACACAUCAUACAUAUAUAUAUAAAGAAAUAUAUAUUACCACAACCAACACAUAACCAAACUAAUCAUAACUUAUCAAUCUUGUGCCACUUGCACCAAUAUUGCUGUCCAACCAGCUAUGUGCCACUUGCACUAUGUGUCCGUCGACACCAACAGGCCAAGAGAAUGAACAUGCCAUAUCUCUACCCAAAUGCUGACCAACUAGCUAUGUGCUCUUCACACCCGUGUCCUUACGACACCAACAAGCCAAGAGAAUGAACAUGUCAUAUCUCUACCCAAUACUCAUAGAGUUUCAACAUCAUAUCCAUUGAUACAUGUCCUCACAAAGUUCCAACAUCAUACCCUUUGAUAUACACCCUCAUAGAGCUUCAGCAUCAUAUCUUAAGAUAUAUGUCCUCUAGAGUUUCAGUAUCAUAUCUCCCAGGUAUAUGUCCCACAAACAAACCAAUACACAAUUCAACAUAUUACAUCAUGUUCAUUAAUUAAUGAAUACAUGCAAAUCCAUUUUCAAUAUAUAUGUAUAUUAAAUAAUUGCUUUAAGGUCUCGGUCUGUAACAUGUCCAGUAAAUAUAGGGUUCAGUCGACUGGACUCCAGCUGACUGGACUUCAGUUUCUGUUUAAGAGAACAAAUUCAAUCCGUAACAUAUAAUACACACUAACAUGAUGACCUAAUCAUUCAAACACGAAUAUCAAAACAUAUAAACAUAUCUAAAUCUGAAUUCCACAUGUAAAUCAUCUCUAAACAUAUUUCCAUAUCAUAUAUCAUUAUUAUUUACAAUUAAAAUUCAUUAUCAUGUUUUUAAUUAACUUAACAUGCUUUCAAAGUAGAUAUUACAACAAUACCAAUAUUCUCAAUUCAGCAAGAUAUCAUCUUUAUAAAUUAACUAUCAACGCACAACAAUAUCUAUCAUGGCAAAAGAUUAUGUAUAUAAUUAUUAACAUAUUAAUACACAAACUAAGUUCAUCUAAACCUACAAUCAAGAUGGAAACGCAAGUUAGAUAACUUGUCUCAAUCCAAGCAAUGGAAUCAACUUCGAAUUCUAUAUAAUCCAAUUUCAAUGCCAAGCAAUCCAACCAAGCAAGCCAAAUCAAACCUAGAUGAUGAUUAAUCUUCUUUUUCUUUUUGCGCCUCCUUUUUAAAGUUAAACAAGAUGAUUUUUGUGAUAAAACCCUAACUAUUGUUAUCAUACUUUAUAUAUAAACAUUAUGGGCCGGUUUCCGAAACAACAUAAAAUUUAACCCGUCUGUGUACAGAUGCCCAGUCGACUGGACCUCAGUCAACUGAACACUAAGAAAACUAUACAUAAGAAAAUGCCAGGUAUUACAAUCCUCCCCCCUAAAAAAAGGAAUCUCAUCCCCGAAAUUUGCACUAAAACACAAAAAAAGGAUAGCAAGGAUCAACCAAGCAAUAUCCAUCCGGUAUGCUCUAAACAUAUCAUAAAUUUCCCCAACAAAGUGACUAGUGCUUUAGUCCAUACAUACAAAAUUACCAUAUAACGAUCACAUCAUCAUUAAAUAUAUGCAUCCACAAUGCCAUAAAGAUCCACAUGAUCAAAUGUAUUGCUAUCAAUACCAAUAUCCAUCAUUAAUCCAUACAUGUAAAUUAUAACGUUAUACAUGCUUAAUAAAGGUCUCCAUAAAAGCACGCUAGCAUAAAUGAGACAUAUCCUAAAAAUCAAACACCACAAUCCAAAAGCAAAACAUAAAUGCAAAACGAAACAUUCUCAUAACAACCAUUCACCAAUGUGAAAUCAUUAUCACAGCUAUGAGCUUAGUCGAUACACGACUCCAAGCCUUACAUGUGUCCUGGGGUACUCAACCCUCUCACACCAAAUAGCUACGCGUAGCCAACAACUCCACAGAGUAUCCAAAAUCAUAUAUAUCAUAAUAGGAUCACAAUCCACACUAUCCCAAUACACAAGGUAUAGGCAUCCACACAUGCUAGAGUAUCACUCCUAGCCAAAACAUGUAGUUCCAUAAAGAAACGAACAUCAAGAUAAAAAAUCUCUACCACCACAAGGAUCUAACUCUACCAAUCACAAGUGAAUACCAAAAUAUCACACCAAAAGGUAAUAACAACCUCAUUAUCAUAAUCCCAAAGGAAUUGAACACGCAUCAAAGAGCGUACCACACCACAAUCGUCAUGAAAACAAAACAAUAAUCAUGAUGCAACCUCAAUGUAAACUUCAGAAAUAUGUGAUAGAAACACAUCAAAUAAAUCAGAAGUUCUACCAUAACGUAUAAGAAUACACUUAUGGAACCUCCACUCAAGAACAUGAUACCAAUAAAGCAACAAAACAUGGAAAGAAAAUAAUCAUUUCAACAUGUAAGAACUUUUCUUGUAAUUUUACAUUACCUACAACAAAUAUCAUUGUCAAUUCCAAAUUGAUUAUCUUAAAAUAAUCAUGCAUCCAUUCAUAUAUAUAACUUCCUCAUUUUAUUUACUCGAAUAAAUAUAAUCCCAAAAGGAUGAGUUAAAACAUAUUUUUCAUAUGCUAUUACUCCACAUACCAAUUACUAAGAUUUCAAAACCUCAUAUUUUAUAUCCAUUAUAUAGGCCGGACUGCCUUCCAAUAAAUCAAUAAGCUUUUUAAGCAUAAAGAAAUUUUUUUUCCUCCUGAAUAUAUCAAAAUUUUAUCCAAAACUAACGCAUAGUAUUAUCUCAUGCCAUCCAACUAAAAACCGUUUAUCCAUUUUCCUUCAAAGAUAUAUUGAACACAUCCAUUUAGGCAUACAAAAUACAAAUUACUACUUGAGAACUUUCAAUAAUUCAUACAUAUGAUGAAACAUUGUUAAAAUCGUCCAAUUAGCUUAAACUAACCAAAUUAGCCAAAUUAUUCAAAUUAGGCAAAUUAGCGAAAUUAGCCUAUAGGCACCAUUAAUUCCUCAACACUGCAAAUCAAAAAUAUAUUUUAUUUGCACAUAAAAAUUAUCAAGGUUCAAGAUUUAUGAAAACAUUUGUUUUUCUCCAAGUCAAACCUCUCAAUAUAUAGAAUAAGUUAUAAAAUAACUUCUAUCACAUGAUUUCAAUCUAUCUCAUCAAAAUAAAACGAUAUCAUGAAUAUAAUCAAACUAUACUCAUGCUUCUACACAAAACAUUGAAUAUGUUAUCCAAAACAAUAAUCCGCAAUUAUCAUAAUUUCUACAUAUGCAUAGGGAUAUAUAAUGCAAUGCGAAAUCAAAACUAACCAACAAGGGAAAUAAAAUUAUUAACCCGUUCAAACUAUAUCAUUCAAUGUAUAACCCAACAUUAAUUUAACCCUAUGCCAUAACUACAACAUUUUAUAUAACUCAAAAAUCAUGUUAUGAAUUGACGAAAUUAUUAUAAAUAAAUAAAGUAAACAAUGAUUUAUACCCUUACAGUUUUAUUAUCAUGAAUAAAACAAGAUUCUAAUAACCACAAACUCAUUGAUGCUGUAACAUGCAUAUUACCAAUUUUAUUUUAAACAUAGCAUAAUAUUCAAAAAUACAUAACUCACUAACCAAGAUUUUAAAUAAGGCAUAUUAUAUGUCCAAUUGAUCGUAGUAAAUAACUCUACACUUUAUAUGAAAAACAUUUCUGAAAAUUUCUGACAGUUUCGAGUAGAAAAGUUAAAAUACUCGAAUUACAUUAGAUUUAUACAAUGAAAUUCAUAUAUUUUUACUGACUGAUCCAAACAAGUUAUGCAUUAGAUCAAAAUGUCCAUAACUCAAUAUUCUACAGUUUAUCAGAAGAAAGCUUUCCCAAAACAGUGACGGAUAUUUCUAACAUAAGCAAUAACUAAAAUCUGACCUAACUCACUCAAAAAUUCGUAUCUUAACAACCGCUAAUCCAAACGACAUGCAUAAUAUGUCAAAAUCUUUGUAAAAAUAAAUACUACAUUUUGUCAGAAGAAACUUUUCCGAAAUUCAUAACAAAUAUUAUAGAAAAUCACGAUCAGUAAAAUCUGUAUAAAUUUUACGAGAAAACUCAUAACUUUCUAAUCAAAUAUUGAAACGAUGCAUACUAUAUAUCAAAACGACCGUAUUCGAAUUAUCUACAAAUCACCAGAAGAAAGUUUUCAAAAAUUCCUGAUGUAAAACUCUGAAACAAGCAUGAAUAGUAACAUAACAUGCACAAUGAAUACUUUUCUCAUACUUUCUACCAAAAAUAUAUAUAUCACAAUUAAUAUAUACUAGCAUGCUUUAUAGAUUUAACUUUACCUUAUCCAAAUCGUACAACAUACAAUCAAAACUUAAUCCUCUUCAAAUUUUCAUCUUUACUUUUACAUAACCAAGCCAUUUUAAAUAAUACAAUAAACAUAACUUGCAAAUCUAAUUAAUCUUUAUUGUUAAUUCAGAAUGCAAUACAACAUAUAUCUUUAAACUAAGAUAUUUAAUCAUCCUCAACAAUGUUGUCAAUAACAUAAGCAACUUAUAUCAUUAUGUUUAAUCUUCUCAAGAAUAUAUUUAUUCAAAAAAAUCCUUAUGCAAAGAAUUAUACAAUCAAAUCAACUCGUGUAUGCUACACAUAUCUCAUCAAUAAACAUGAUCUCAUAAACAAUAUUUAUCAUGCUUCUAUCUUCCAAAUUCAAGUAUAAUUUGUUUAUCAAAAAAAAAAUAUACCUGUAUUUUCAUAUAACAUAUAACAAUCCAUGCUUUAAAAAAAUCAAGCAACAAAUUUGGAAUAUUUUAAAAAAACAUUACGCUUACCAAAUAAAAACUUAUCUUUUAAGUUUAAAAAUUUUGUUUUUCCCAAAACAAAUAAUUAUCAAGUAUUUUCCAUUCCAAAGAAAGAAAUACACACUUAAAUAUGCACUUAACCAAUCAUAUCAAAAGUGAUAUAAAGCUCAUGCAAAUAUCUCAUAAUGUUUAAUGCAUCAACAUGCUCUAAUCAUGCUUAAACAAAUAUAAGCAACAAUAUCAAUUAAAUUUCUCAACCAUGUUCGCCAACACGAUUGCAACCAAUUCUCAUUCCCUCUGGAAUACCAUCCCAAACAACAUGGGCAUCAUCAAAACUAUCCUCGCAAGGAUCCAGUUCAACCAUUCUUUCCAGAAGAUAACUAUCCACACUGCAUAUAUCCAAACAUAUGUUUCACGAAGAAACAUUAAAUAAGGCAAACAUGCACAUAAUAAUGAUGCAAAAAUAUCUAGAAGCACCUCAUCACAACAAACAAUAUCUAUACAUAUAGAAACUCAACCAAAACAAUCCUUACUCAAGCAGAGUCUAAAGUAAACUCUACCAUUGGUUGCUCAUACUCCUAAAGACUCAACUGGACUCCACAGGUACUCCAUAAAGGUCAAAUAAACUCUAAGCUCUGAUACCAACUGUAACGCCCCUGAAAUCCAAUCUUGGCUGGCCAGGCCAAAACCUGACAACAGAGCCAUAAUGAUCACCAUAUGUCCUCCAUGGACCGUAGGGUCACACUACUGUCACGUGACAUCACACCUCUAGACCAUAGAAGAACAUAAUAAAAUAAACACAAACAAUAAACUAACAGCGGAAGACUAAACUAAAUACAAACUAUAUAAAUAUAAACCAGAGUCAUGCCCGAAGGUUACAACUCAUCAAAACUCCAACUAGACAUAUGAGCAACUCAAGACAACCUCCUAUGAUAUGGAAAUAUGUUUAGAGAUGAUUUACAUGUCGAAUUUAGAUUUAGAUAUGUUUAUAUGUUUUGAUAUUCGUGUUUGGAUGAUUAAGUCAUCAUGUUAGUGUGUAUUAUAUGUUAUGGAUUGAAUUUGUUCUCUUAAACAGAAACUGGAGUCCAGUCAGCUGGAGUCCAGUCGACUGAACCCUAUAUUUACUGGACAUGUUACAGACCGAGACCUUAAAACAAUUAUUUAAUAUACAUAUAUAUUGAAAAUGGAUUUGCAUGUAUUCAUUAAUUAAUGAACAUGAUGUAAUAUGUUGAAUUGUGUAUUGGUUUGUUUGUGGGACAUAUACCUGGGAGAUAUGAUACUGAAACUCUAGAGGACAUAUAUCUUAAGAUAUGAUGUUGAAGCUCUAUGAGGGUGUAUAUCAAAGGGUAUGAUGUUGUAACUUUGUGAGGACAUGUAUCAAUGGAUAUGAUGUUGAAACUUUAUGAGUAUUGGGUAGAGAUAUGACAUGUUCAUUCUCUUGGCCUGUUGCUGUCGUAAGGACACGGGUGUGAAGAACACAUAGCUGGUUGGUCAGCAUUUGGGUAGAGAUAUGGCAUGUUCAUUCUCUUGGUCUGUUGGUGUCGACGGACAUAUAGUGCAAGUGGCACAUAGCUGGUUGGACAGCAAUAUUGGUGCAAGUGGCACAUAGCUGGUUGGACAACAAUAUUGGUGCAAGUGGCAUAAGAUUGAUAAGUUAUGAUUAGUUUGGUUAUGUGUUGGUUGUGGUAAUAUAUAUUUUUUUAUAUAUAUGUAUGAUGUGUGAUAUGAUAUAAGAUUUGAUUUGCUAGAAUGUUAUUUGAUAAACUCUCAGGUGCGUAGCACAAGUUUUUGAUUUAGUAUGAACUAAUUAUGUUGGACAUAGAUAUUAAUUUAUGCUUAUAUAUUGUUCACCUUAUUGUUAUUGAUUAUAUAUUGUUAUUAUAUAUUGGGUGCGCUGAUUCUAUUCCUGGAAUUAAGAUCGAGACCCAAGUUCUAUAGCUUGCUUAGACUUUAUGUCUAACCCUUUCUCCUUUUCAGGUAGUAGCUGUUUUAUUGUUGGAGUGUUCGUUGAGAUGUCUGGUGGAGGUUGUCUUGAGUUGCUCAUAUGUCUUGUUGGAGUUUUGAUGAGUUGUAACCUUCGGGUAUGACUCUGGUUUAUAUUUAGGGGUAUUUUGUAUUUAGUCCCUCUAGAAGAUUGCUAAUUAGCAAAUGGUCCCGAGUUUUUCGUUUAUUUGUAAAUAAUCAUUUUUCUGUCAAUUGACUGUUAGUCAACUCAGUUGACCAAAGUCAACACAUCCAAUUUUUUUUAAUGUCUAAACUACCCAUGCACGUGUUUUCCAUUAAAACCAUUAAAACCAUUUUUUGGUUUUGUAUUAUCUACGUGUCAAGAUUUCAUUGGUUAUCAGAAUCUAUGGUUAGAUAUUACGCCAUGUGUUUAAUACAAUAGUCAAGGAUCUGGAUUCAAUCAAAGCAUAUCCUAAAAGGACUAAGUCCCAAAACCCUAACUUUUUAUUCUUUCUCUUCUACCUUACACUAAACAGCCACUGCUGCUUUCAAGGUGGUGGUUGAAAGCGGACUGAGAACCCCAGAUUGGGUAAUCCUGUUGCACUCUUCCAGCUGUAGACUCUCAAGCGAUGCCACUGUUUUUGCAAAAGCUACCAUCCCAUUAUCUGACAGAAAAGAACACUUACGAAAGCACAGUUGCUUUAGAUUUGGGCAACCCUUUCCAACUGCUUCAAGAGUUAGAUCUGUUACCCCUCGGCAAGAGGUAAUAGUAAAUACUUUCAGCUUUUGCAACCCCUGAGCAUUACCCAUGACCCAAAAGCCCUUCUCACUCACUUUCUGGAGAUCGGUGAGGACUAGAUCAUUAAUAGCCCUUCCAUAGUGCCCAACAACAGCAAGAGAGACAUCUGUGAUGUCCAGUGCUUGCAACUUAACCCUUUUCAAGGUGUAUGAUGCUGAAGAGAGAAGAGACGCAAUUCCUUGAACGCCAACAAGUGGACAAUCCUUUAUAGAGAUGGACUGAAGGUUCAGGCAACAUUUUCCAACUGCUUGCAAGCCCUCGUUUCCAAUCCUAGGACAACUCUCAAUUGUGAUUUGAUUCAAAUUUGGGCAAUUAUUAGCAAUAACAAUCAAACUCUUGUCAGAAAUAAGACACUGGCUGAGGUCAAGCUUCUCUAGUUUGUUGCAACCUUUAACAAUCUCAAUUAGUCCCUCAUCCCCAAUAGAUGGAACAUUCCAAAGGGAAAGUGCCCUGAGGGAAGGACAACCGCGGGCAAUUGCUGAAAGUCCAACGUUAGUAACCCCACGAGUAGAAUUGCUACCUCGAAUUAUUAGCUUGUCGAGCCCACCACAGCUACCAGUUCCAACAGUAAUGGAAGCAAGUCUGAUGUCUGUGGCUUUCUUCCCUUCCAAGCACCUGGUAAGGUAGCCAUCACUCUCAAUUUCCUGAGUAUCUUCCCGAAUCAUCAUUUCACUGUCCUUAGAAUCUAAUCCGGACUGUUUAUUAAGUUUGGAAGACUCGUUUACCUUAUUUGGAACUACUUCAUUAAUUUUCAACUGUGCAGAUUCGUUGCUACAGACUUCAUCCUUGGCUUGCUAAUACUGCUUAAGUAGUGUCACGUGGAAAACACGUGCAUGGGUAGUUUAGACAUUAAAAAAAAUUGGAUGGGUUGACUUUGGUCAACUAAUUGACUAACAGUCAAUUGACAGAAAAGGAUUAUUUACAAAUAAACGAAAAACUCGGGACCAUUUGCUAAUUAGCAAUCUUCUAGAGGGACUAAAUACAAAAUAACCCUUAUAUUUAUAUAGUUUGUAUUUAGUUUAGUCUUCCGCUGUUAGUUUAUUGUUUGUGUUUAUUUUAUUAUGUUCUUCUAUGGUCUAGAGGUGUGAUGUCACGUGACAGUAGUGUGACCCUACGGUCCAUGGAGGUCAUAUGGUGAUCAUUAUGGCUCUGUUGUCUGGUUUUGGCCUGGCCAGCUAGGAUUGGAUUUCAGGGGCGUUACAACUACCCUCAGACAUCUCUCAAGAUUACAAAACAAGCAAAUGGAAACGAAGAAAGAAAGUAAAGAGUCAAGCAGAAGGAACUCACCUCAAAAGCUCUCAAGAUCUUCAGGUCGCAACGAUAAAGCAGCAGCAUGUUUCUGUCAAAUUUAAUGUCAUUUUUUUUAACUUUCCAAAAUGUCCUCGAUUGUUGCUUUAGACUUAACCCCCCUAAAAAAUAUAAGAGAAGGGUAUUUUAGGAAGAAAAAAUAAAAAUAGAUGUUCAAUUUGACAGAAGUAGACGGGGAGGGGGUAAAGUCCAAACUUGGACAAAUGGGGGGUUUACUCAAAACGUGACCAUAAAGGGGGGGGGGGGGGGGGGGUUAAGUCUAAAAAUCCCCCCCCCCAUCCCCCCCCCAAAAAAAUCUAACCUAUUUUAAAAUAACGUAUAAUAAUAUAUAUAUAUUCUCGGUUAGGUUCGGUUCAAACCAAAAUAUUAGAAUAGGAACUGGAACUGGACUAUAUAUACUCGGUUCGGUUCCAGUUCGGUUUGAUUUGUUCUUGGUCAACACAGUUUUGACCGGUUUUGACCCGGUUCGGUUCCGGUUCUAAUUCGGUUUUCCGGUNNNNNNNNNNNNNNNNNNNNNNNNNNNNNNNNNNNNNNNNNNNNNNNNNNNNNNNNNNNNNNNNNNNNNNNNNNNNNNNNNNNNNNNNNNNNNNNNNNNNNNNNNNNNNNNNNNNNNNNNNNNNNNNNNNNNNNNNNNNNNNNNNNNNNNNNNNNNNNNNNNNNNNNNNNNNNNNNNNNNNNNNNNNNNNNNNNNNNNNNNNNNNNNNNNNNNNNNNNNNNNNNNNNNNNNNNNNNNNNNNNNNNNNNNNNNNNNNNNNNNNNNNNNNNNNNNNNNNNNNNNNNNNNNNNNNNNNNNNNNNNNNNNNNNNNNNNNNNNNNNNNNNNNNNNNNNNNNNNNNNNNNNNNNNNNNNNNNNNNNNNNNNNNNNNNNNNNNNNNNNNNNNNNNNNNNNNNNNNNNNNNNNNNNNNNNNNNNNNNNNNNNNNNNNNNNNNNNNNNNNNNNNNNUCAAAAAUUGGGCUGUGACAAUCUUGGUAUAUUUCCUUCAUUGUCUUUAAAGAAAAGAGUAUCUAAACCUAAAUGUGCUCUGUAUCUGUUAAAUUUUCGCAAAAAAAAAAAAAAAAAAAAAAAAUGCUAUUGUAAUUUGGGUUUUUGAUAUAAUUUCAUUAAGUUGAUUGUUUUAUCCGUGAUUUGAUUUUCUUUCCAUAACAGAGGUAAUGGGUAAAUUACCAUCUAGUAGCGACGACAUAGUUGUUAAACCUUCAUUUUCGAAGAAAGUAGUAUACUAGUCUAAAACUACAUUCUCUUAACCAUAGGUGAAAAUAUCGAAUAAUUCCGAAUAUCCGAUUUGUGAAAAACCGGAUUAUUCCACGAAUAUCCCAAAAUUGGUGUCGAAAUGGGGAGGUUUGGCAAAUAUGCUUCUCGCGAAAUAUUGCCCGAAUAUUCACGAAUAUUCCGAAAAAUUCGGCAGAAUGGGGAGGUUUUCUAUUAAUAUCAUGUUUUUCUUCUUUUUUCAAUGUUUAAACUUUUAAUUCAACAAUAGAAUAUAUAAACACACCCCCUUUUUAUUAUAUGACCAUUAUCAUCCAAAGAAAGGCAUGCGUUUUAAUUUAAACACACACAGGGACGGAUCCAAGAAUCUGAGUUGGGGGGUGCAGAAUUGCAUGUAACCUAUAUGCUAAGAUUUUGGGGGGUGCGAAUCUAUAUAUUUUAACUAAAAUUUUUAUAUAUGUAAAAAAAACAUGGGAAAAAUAAUGAAAAAUUUGAAUUUUGGGGGGUGCGACACCCCCCUGGAUCCGUCCUCGAACACACCCCUUUUUAUUAUAUGGGUUAUGCAUUUAUAGAUGAAUUUGGGUAUUGAAAUUUGAAAUUGCAAGUAUAGAGAAAACUCGAUAAGUUAUAAAACACUGUAAGAAUCAUUGAAACUUGGAGACAAAAGGUAUGGUGGUUUUUGCAGACCUUGAAACUUGGGGAAGACAACCCAUAGAUUCCGAAUUUUUCAUAAAUUUUGAAUUUUUCAUUAAUAUCCGAAUUUAUCGGGUCGAAAUGAGGAGGUUUUUGUUUCGUAAUAUAUCCGUAUGUCGUACCGCUCCGAAUUCCCAAAAAACGAAAAAAUUCGUGAAUAUCCGCCCGAAUUUUUUGAUUUUUUCACCUAUCAUUUUAACUAAUAUCCAUAUUGUAUUUUAUUCAAUUAGGUCUAGUUGUUUGUUGAAUUUGUAAUUUGACUCAUUCAUUACGAGAAUGAGUAGAAGUCCAAUUUGUAGUGACGACAUACCUGAUACACCAUCUUCUUCGAAGAAAAAAGUACAAGAGCUUAAAGGUACUAUAUGUUAACCUAAAAUUGUAUUUUUGAGUAUAAAUGAUUAGUACAAUUAUGGGGUUUUGUUUAUUACAUUAUAUAUGAUAUCUGUUUGAUAUAUAGUGUAAUUAUAUUUUUGAAUAUAGUAGUUGAUUAAUACGAAUAUGAGGUUUAUACAUCACAUUCUAAGAUAUUUGUUUGAUAUGUAAUUUGAUUUGAGAUAACUUUCUCAUUCUUUACAUUUGAAAAAAAAAAUAACGUAAAACGAUCUCAGAACAACAAUAUACUUGCUCAACAUUAGUCUUCAAAAAGAACAAAAUUAGAGUCAAUUGAUCCCAUUGAUUCCGAUCCUGACGAUGAAUACCUUGGUGAUAUUUUUCUGAUGAUGAAGAGAAGGUCAUUCAAGAUAAUGCUUAUACCCUUAUUAAACAUAUAAGUGCCUAGUGUAAGAGUAUAAUAAGACAUAUGAUCAAGCAAGGACAUCUAGUGUAAGAGUUCUGACUUAGGUAGUGUGUGUUUCAUCCAGUGUUAAGCAUUAAAUGCUUUUAAAGUGGUGGACCAGGCAUUAAUUCAGACAUAAGUGGUUUUUAAUUGGGGGAUUUAGAGAUACCCCUCAAAAUAAUAGGAACUCUUUGAGAUACCCCCCAGAUUUAGAAACUCUUAGAGAUACCCCCCAUUUUUCCAUUUGAAGCCGGUCAACCAAGCCGUUGACCAUGGUCUGACCAGUCUUCAUAAUUUUUAGACAAUUUUACCCUCCCACCAUUUAAACCCACAUCCUAGUCAUUUUGCCUAGUCAUCAAUUUUAGACAAUUUUACCCUCCAACCAAAUCUAAUCUAAUCACAUCUAACCUAACUUAUCAAACUAACUAAUUAAAAUCAAAACUAACCUAACUUCUUAUCUUCUUUCCGCCAUUAACAGAACAAACCAGCGGGAAAGUGCACUACAAGUGAAGGUUGAUCACAUACCUUGAUUUUCAACCAAAAUUUCUUUUUUCUUCUUCAAAACUCUCCCAUUUUCUUCCAUUCUUCUAAAUCUUCUGUUGUUAUACUCUAAUUUUCAACAAUGGCCGCUCCUCGAUCACGAUUUUUUCUAGUAUCUUCUGAUUCUUCUGAGUCAUCUGAUUCUAGUGAUGAAUCCAUGUUCAACUACCAGGAUUCAAGCGAAGAAAGCGAAGAAAUCUAUGAUCCUGCUAGGAUUCGGCGUCGAGAAUACUUGUAAGUCCAUUUUCUUCUUGAUUUUUGAAUGUGGUUGAGUAUUGUUUUGCGAUGGCGGUUAUUAGUUUUGAAGUUAGGUUUCCCUUUUUAUUUUAUUGAAUAUUGUGUCGAUUUGGAUGGGGAUCUUAGGUUUUUCAAAAUUUUGAGGGCUUUUGGGUUUAUUUGAGGUUUGUUCAUCACUGCCCUCUUGAUAUUGUUAGAAGACAAUGACUUUACUGCUUAUGUUUUAAAUAGCUGAAACGUAACUGGGGUGUAUCUCAAAUGAAAAUAUAAUAAUGGGGGGUAUCUCAAAUGAAAAUAUUGAUUGUUGAAUGUGAAAUACUGAAUGCUCACUCCAUGUUGAUAACCAAUAACAAUGUCUUAACAACUGCUUUAACAAUGUUGUAUGUUCACUCUAUGUUGAUAACAAAUAACAAAUAACAAAUAACAAAUAACAAAUAACAAAUAACAAAUAACAAAUAACAAAUAACAAAUAACAAAUAACAAAUAACAAAUAACAAAUAACAAAUAACAAAUAACAAAUAACAAAUAACAAAUAACAAAUAACAAAUAACAAUGUCUUAACAAACCAUUUAACAAUGUUGUAUGCAGCAAAUGCUUGAAUUUUUGUCCAUCACUAGGGUUCAAUUGCAUAAGACUUCACUUUAGAGGUAAAUGGAAUGAGAGAAGCAUGGAAAAAGCCAAUUGGAAGACACGAGAUUAUGCAGGAGGUCAAUAUAUUGAUUUUCCCAAUGUUGAUGGAGAUUGUGUGUGUUUGUUGGACAUUGAUGAAAUGUUAUGUAAAACUUUGGAAGAGAGGAACAUGCUCAAUUACAAUGUGGAGAAAUUUCCUAUGUAUUUGGAAGGGGGUAUUAGGAUGGAGUUAAUGGAAGAUUAUGAUUGCAUUCAAUGGUGGAAGUAUGGUGAUCAGGAUGAAGAAGGGAAUUUGCCUUUGUUUUAUGAAUUGGAAGAGCUACAACCUUUAGCCGAAGAAGCUCCUGAAGUCAUUAGUACACCAUGUAACACUGAUGUUGACAUGGAACAAUCUCAACCUACCCAGGAUGCAGGUAUUAAUGAAGCUCAACCAUCCAGCCAAGCUCCUAAGACCAAACUUGCUAGGCCAAAGAGGAAGGGUACAAAAAACAAGUCUAAGAAUUUUAACAAGCAGCUCCAAAGAAACAAGGCUUGGAAAAGAAAGAAAUCUACCUAUGAACAACUUUCUGAGGAGGAGUUAGAUGAAAUGCCUGAUAUGAAUGUCAAGGAUACAAUGUUUCCUCCAUCUGAAUCCCAUGUCCCACCUCCUUCUGGUUCUCAUGUCCCACCUCCAUCUGAAUCCCAUGUCCCACCUCCAUCUGAAUCUCAUGUUCCACCUCCAUCUGAAUCCUAUGUCCCACCUCCAUCUGAAUCCCAUGCCCCACCUCCAUCUGAAUCUCAUCCCCCACCUCCACAUGCUCCACCUUCAACUUCAGCUCCACCUUCAACUUCAGCUCCACCUUCACCUUCAGCUUCACCUAUGGAUAUCCAAUCUGAUUCUGACCCUGAUUUUGAUCCAAUCGAUAAUAUUGAGGCUGAAGAGGCAUACCAUAGCUAUGAUUCAUCUUCAGAAGGAUCCAUUGGAUUUGAACCUACAGAAGAAGACUUGGAAGGAUAUGCUGACUUUGAAAAGGAAACCGAAGAAUUGUAUGACUUUGAUGAUAUGGGUGAACAAGCUCCCUACUUUGAUGAUCUGCCAGAACCAGAGGUGAAUAUGUCAUGGCCAACAAUUGCUGCCUGCAGAGAGUACAUAAGAGAUUAUACAAUCAAGAAGAAAUUUAUUUGGAAAAUGCCGAAGAAUGAUGGCGACAGAUUUAUAGCAGUUUGUGUGAAUGAGGAUAAAGGAUGUCAAUGGAAGUUUGUAGCUAGGGUCAGUAAAGCUACGAGAGGUGAUAGGCACACUUGUAAGAUCAGAACCUUACAUAAUGAGCAUAGUGCUGGUUGUAUUGGUAAUAAAGAGUUCAAGAAUAGUUUGGUUGAUUCCAACUGGGUUGCAGCAAAGCUAGAGGAUGAUGUCAGGGAUCAUGUGAUUGUUUUCAAGGCAAGGGAACUUGUGAAAGCAAUUUGGAGGAGGUAUGCACAAAAUAUCACAUACUUCAUUGGAUGGCAUGCAAGGCAGAAAAUAAUGGAAAAACUCCAUGGUAACUAUGAAGAGAGUUACAGAAUUGCAGCUGAAUGUUGUAUGCAAGUGUUGAAGAGAAAUCCUGGCAGUUUAGCUAUAUGCAGAAGAGGUGAGGAUCAAAGGAUCAAAGGUAUGGGUGUUAGUUUUGCUUCAUGCUUGAAAGGUUUUAGGGAAGGUGUAGGCCUAUUCUAGGCUUAGAUGGUUGUUUUCUGAAGGGGAAAUAUGGGGGAAUGUGCUUGAGUAUCACUGCACUGGAUGGCAACAAUGGAUUAUUUCCCAUUGCCAUUUACUUGUGUAGAAAUGAAUGUAGUGACACUUGGUUUGAUUUUCUAGAAAUGAUGGAACCUCAGUUGACUAGAAGAGAAGAGAAGUUGGUAUUCAUGUCAGAUCAACAAAAAGGGUUGAAAGAGAUCUAGUAAUGGAGUAUCAUUCUUUCACCAGAUCUAGUAAUGGAGUAAUAAAUGAGAGAUGAUAAUGGCUAGAUCUGUUAAUGAAGAAGGAAGAAAAAUGAAGGUGAAAGAAGAAUGGUUUGAUGAAGAAGAAGCAAGAUAGAUAGGUAGAUAGGAUGGAGAAGAAGGAAGAAAGAAAAGNNNNNNNNNNNNNNNNNNNNNNNNNNNNNNNNNNNNNNNNNNNNNNNNNNNNNNNNNNNNNNNNNNNNNNNNNNNNNNNNNNNNNNNNNNNNNNNNNNNNAAGAAGGAGGAGGAAGAAGAAGGUGGAGUUUGAUGAUGUAACAGCCACAUAACGGUUACUUAAUUCUACCCAUAGGAUUAGAUCUAGAUCUAGAUCUAUUUUGAACGGUUAGGAUAAGAAGUGGUAGUUGUAAGUGGGUUUGCUGACAUGGCAUUAUUGAUGACUAGGCAAAAUGACUAGGAUGUGGGUUUAAAUGGUGGGAGGGUAAAAUUGUCUAAAAAUUAUGAAGACUGGUCAGACCAUGGUCAACGGCUUGGUUGACCGGCUUCAAAUGGAAAAAUGGGGGGUAUCUCUAAGAGUUUCUAAAUCUGGGGGGUAUCUCUAAGAGUUCCUAUUAUUUUGGGGGGUAUCUCUAAAUCCCCCUUUUUAAUUUGUUUGGUUACAAUAAGUAACCAAAACAUGAUUGGACUAUUUCAGCGAUUUUCAUCUAGCCAAAAUUGCACGCUUAUUUCUACUUCUUAAUGUUGUUUGUAUUUUCAUUACAAUUGUACCCACAUACAAUAUAUGUUAUUACCAUACAUAUCAUAUUCUAUAAACACACAUGUCUUAUUAUACAAUUUGGUUGUUACUCUUCUUCCUUUCAUCUCUAACAAAGACAUCCAAUUAUGUGGCCAUGUCAUCUCUCUACUAACCGUGUAUACUUCUUCCAUUAAUCAAUACCAAUAUAUUUUGUAUUACAAAUACAACAAAAUUAUAUCAUGGAAGUUUGAUCAAAUCCAUAGUGUUUAUUUAUUUUUUUGUAGUAAAUUUAUAGUGUUUAUUUUUAUAGUAGUAAUAAAGGUGUUUACAAUUUUUUUUUCUUAAUAUUUGUUACGAUGUAUAUUUUUUCCUUGAGUUAGAAAUAUAAAAAGGACAAAAUUGUCGAAAUUGUUAUUAGAAUAAUAUACAAAAUUUUAAACAUAGGUUUUUAAAAAUGUUAACCAAACAACUUUUUUCAACAUUCAGUCUUCAUCAUUCAACAAUCAAUAUCCAGCAAUCAACAACCAAUAUUCAACAUUGUAAACAAAUAUACCCUUAGUUUUUGACAUGUGCAAACUAUUUAUGUUUUAAUAUCAAAAGGGAUUUUUAUAUUCUUGCAGUUAUUAUAAGCACCUAGAAAAACAGAUGAGAAAGUGCCUGGUGGAGUCAGGAAUGUCAUAUAUAAAGGUAAGUUACAUGUUACUAUGUCUUUUGAUGAUUAUGAUGGUAAUUGACACUGUGAGGGAGAUGGUAAUUUAGUUUUUUAUGUAAACAUGUCAGGUAUGAAGUCUGGAUAGUGGUACAAACUAGGGGAUUGUACAGGUGGUCCAAGAUCUAACAAGGAUGGGAAUAACCAAGCUAGGAAGUCCAACCAAGUUAUUGAAGAUUUGGGGGGGGGGGGGGGGGGGGGGCNNNNNNNNNNNNNNNNNNNNNNNNNNNNNNNNNNNNNNNNNNNNNNNNNNNNNNNNNNNNNNNNNNNNNNNNNNNNNNNNNNNNNNNNNNNNNNNNNNNNAAUGUCACAAUAAUUUAUAGAGAAUUAUAGUAAACUAAUUAAACUAAUUCUAAUCUAAAUAUCAUUACUAAAAUGGAAUACGAUUAAUAAAGGGAAUAGGGGACAUGUUCACCUCAUGAAUCCACCACAAUCAUAACCUAAUUAAUAUGCAUGUUCUUAGCUACUCACCUCUUAGCUAUUGUAGCUCUCUAGCUCACCUCUCAGCUAUUGCUAGGAUAGAUAAACGCUCACCUUUUAGCUAUUGAAUUUAACUAUUUUACUUGAGAUACAUGAAUGGAGUGGAUGUUGCCCAAAGUAACACUUACUAUUAAGUAAUCAAUCAUAUAGUUCCACCCAUGAAAGCGUAUGUAUGUCAUCAUAUAAGUAAUCCAAGUCUAUAUUGAAACCCUAUUAUGUACUCACCUUUCGGGUAUUAUAAGUAUUAAGCAUGUAGGCAUGGUAGACAUACAAAAACAAAAAUGAUAAACUAAUAAUAUUAUUUCUUUCUCGAUACGACAAUAUAAAAGUAUUGUUAUUACCUCUUGUAUGAAAACAAUUCAACAAGAACAAGCAUAAAAACUAAGCUACAACCAUGGUUUCAUCAAUGGAGGUUACUUAUCCCCUAAGGGUUUUAGCCUUCAUCCAUUGAUGAAGAAAACAUCAUCAAUAAAAAGAACAUACCUUUAUUACUCUUAAACCUUUCAUCAAUUCCAAAACUCUAUACAAGAUGGUACCUCUAGAAGAGAGUUGAAGGAAAAUAUAAUAAAACCCUAGUUUACAAUAGUAUAUAUACUGAUCAUGGAUGUAGACAUGCUAAUAUAUCAAGUCGGCAAUAAGAUAAAAGUAGAUCGAUCUAGAGUCUAUGGGCUCAAGUCGGCACAUCGCCCAACCGCCAGUUCCUUGACCAACUCGCUAGAUGGCGAGUUUGACUCGUUGGGUAGCGAGUUGACUGUUAACUUUUGAUAUUCUGCCACUUGGUGUCUGCUCUGCAUGCUGUGUAGAUUAGGGUACUUUUGUUCUAUUGGACUUUCGUUCGGUGGAAAUACUCCUCUAAGCUUUAUACAGUUGUGGCUUCAUUUUUUGCUUCAAAGUCUUCUUUCUCCUGGACUUGGACUUCUACUUUCUUGUAAGAAUCUUGAGGAGGUGGACUUGGAGUUUUAAUUCACUUUGAUUCAUAAACCAUCAACUUAUGCCCAAUACUUAGUACUUUAGGCCUUAAUUCAAGUUAGUGAGAGUUUAAGCCUAUGAAAUAUAAUAAACCUGAAAAUAAGACUAAAAGAGAUAUUAAAUCACAUAGGAGUAAGUAAGAAACUAUUCGAAAAGUAUUAAGGAAUAAGUCUUUUGUGCUCUUAUCAACCAACCACACAACCCUCUCAAGACAGCCUACCUAAAUCACAUAGGAGUAAGUAAAAAGCUAUUCGGAAAGUAUUAAGGAAUAAGUCUUUUGUGGUCUUAUCAACCAACCACACAACCCUCUCAAGGUAGCCUACUCAGGUUUAUCAUAAAGUUUAGCUGGGAAUUCAAUAGUAGUUGCAACAACCACACAUGUAAGAUUACCUGCAACAUCACCAUCUAGAGUUACCAGAAGUUCAGUAUCAAAUGCAGCUCCACCUGUUUGCCAUAUUGCAACAACUCCAACAAUCUCUUAAAUGGCCAAAGUUGUGAGCAGGCUUGGAAAACCAUCAUUGGGACCUAAAAAGGCUAAGGCGGUGGAUUGGCUGAAGAUACAAACUUUAGAGUUUUGAUGGUUGGUGGUUGUGGAUUUUCUUUUGUGUUUUUGUCAAGUGAAUUGAAAUCCAGACAAGUGCAAGGGGUAUUUUGCAACACUUAUUUGUAUUUUUGUGCGGUUUUUUGGGGUUUACAUUUUAGACAAGUGCAAGUUUUAUUUUGUAGCACUUGUUUACAAUUUGGUGAAGUUUUUUGGGGUUUACAAUUUAGACAAGUGCAACUAGUAUUUUGCAGCAACAGUUGUUUACAUUUCUACAGGUUAUGUAGUGAUGGUUUUUUUUUUUUUUUUUUGUUGUUGUUGUUGUUGUCUAGCACAAUGUAAAACUUCAAUGAAGUUAUUAAAAUUUAGAAACGGUUCUAGUUAUGUUGUUGUUUUAUUUUAAUGUUUUGCUUUCUUUUUCUGUUAUGUUAUGUGCAUUAUUUUUAGGGCCAAGCUUUCAUGAGAUAUGCCUCACGUUAUAUCACGUGAAGUCAGUAAUCCCACAGUUGGAUACUUAAGGAUCUCAAAUCUUGAGGGUAUGAGUUGGCUGCUAAUUUUAAUUAUAAUGGAUUGAUGUUCCUCAUUUUAUAAUCUUCUUACUAUCGCAUCUUCUUUGUAAUAUGUAUUCAUUUUUCUUCAUCUAACGCAACAUGUAAAGAUAAUCCUCAUUAUUUUUUGCAUAAUCUUAAAACUUCUUUUAACUACAACAUUGUAUAAUUUUAAUAAAAAAAACUAGGGUUUCUUUUUCCAUUUCUCCUUGAUUCUCCAUUAAUUAAGAAUACAUAAGCUUUUUGUAUAAAUCACUUAAUGUUUACUUAAAAAAUAUUUUUCACAAGAAAUAAUACUUUUUCUUUUCAGAAUCAAAGAUGACUUUUUGAACUCUUUCAGAAACUAGAGAACUGAGAAAAAAAAAACCCGACUUUCAUCGUCACAAUUUUUAAACCCAAUUGUAUUAAAUAAAUUUUAGUAAGUUUUUAGUAAGAUUAGACUUUAGUUAACACCAUAUGAUGAGUAGAUGAGAAGACAAAGAAGAAGAAGAGAGGUUGUUUUUUUAGAUUUUUUCUUUUCCUCAAAGCCAAUACCACCUCAGCGAAUUUGUGUGGUAUCCCGUGAGACGUAACUCGGGAUAGCCACGCUCUUAGUUUUAGCCCUUUAGUUACAGUUGGAUUGUAAGGAAAGUACAUGCCAGUUUAUCUUAUGUUUGAUUUUCAUCAUUUUGUAUAAUCUAUUAUACUCUAUUAAAGCAGAAAAUACCCCCAAGAAAAUAUCUCUUCAAUUAGGCUAUCAAUUAGAUUGAAAUUAAUAGUCUAAUCGAAGAGAAUUUUGAUUAAGUGGGUAUAUUUGUAAUUACACAAAAGUGGACCACCAUGGACAUAAUUAAGCCCAAUAGAAAAAAAAUUAAAGGUAUACCCAAUCCCAAGUAUAAUCAAGUCCAACCCGUACCCAAUUGGACCAAAUCACAAGCAUAAAUAAGCCCAAUAAAAGAAAUUAAAAGUAUACGGUAUACAAAAUCCCAAGUAUAAUCAAAUUCAGCCCGUAUCCCAAAGAAUAUUAAUCAAUGACCUUUCAGGCUUCCACGAAAAUAUAAAAUAGUAUAUUUACAUAAUUAGUAUCCCAACUAAGAUAUUAAUUCAUAAAUCAAUUAAUAAACUAUUAAUUUACAUAAUUAAUAGUAUAUUUUCAUGUGUAUAUAUAUAUAUAUAUAUAUAUAUAUAUAUAUAUAUUUUUAUUUUUAUUUUUUUUGGGGGGGGAGGGGGGGCUAACAUGAUGAAGCUGGACAAUCGUUCUAUUUUAGAACCCGUUCCACGAAAAGAAGCAUUAAAAUCGAUAAUGAUAAUGGAAUAAUUUCUUCUUGCAAUACAAAAUACAACACCUGAUCAACUCAUCACACUACAAAAAUUCAGAGACAAGGUUCAAACCAACAUCAAUUUUGAGAAAAAAAAAAGCAACGAUUAACUUUUAUUAUAAAAAAUAUAUUUGUAUAUCAAAAAAUAUUAAUUUAUAUAUUAGUUGGGCCUUCAAGGAUUUUUCUAAAAUAUAUUAUCUAAUAAAUUUAGGGAAAUAUUAAUUUAUCAACCUAUGCCCAAGUUCGGACCAGCCCAAAAUACUAUUUAAGGGAGAUAAACUAUUAAUUUACAUAAUUAAUAAUAUAUAUAUAUAUAUAUAUGGGGGCUAACAUGAUGUUUAUGGACAAUCGUUUUAUUUUAGAAACCGUUUCACGAAAAGAAGCAUUAAAAUCGAUAAUGAUGAAUAAUUUCUUCUUGCAAUACAAAAUACAACACCAGAUCAACUCAUAUGUUUAUAUUUGAUCCAUGUAUAUUUGAUGCUUCCUGAAGAUCUCUCGACGACAUAGAAAUCAAAACUCACCAAUAUUCUAAGUCAAAUGGGCAGGUAUGCAAGUUUAUUAAUAAGAUCAUUAAUAGUAUUAAUAUAAUAUCAUUGUGGACACACAUCAAACAUGUUUGUGAUGGCCAUUUUCAUAUUUUCAAGUACAUUCUCAACUUGACAAAAAGUAUAUUUUGCAGGAAUUUUGAGUACCAGUAAUCUAUUUCCUUUCCUUGCACUUAGUAGACAUUGACAAAAGGUAAAUGAAAAUAAAAAAUACACUCCAGUAAAGAUGAUGAUAUAAUCAUCAAUACAUUUCAAUGGUGGGGAUAUGAAAGGGGACUCAAGUAGUAGUAAGACCUACUUACUGCAAUUUAAUGAAAUUUGAGUCCCUUAAUUUGUGAUCUAAUGUAUGUAAAUGUGUUGCAGAUGAGACUAUAUCAAAGAAGGUCGCACGAUUCACACAAACAUGGAUCGUAUGGUUGCCUUCCGGAAAUGCUUAACUACAUGGGCCAAAGAGGAUCUCUUCGUCACAUUACAAGUAAGCCAUCUUUUUAAUAAAUUCGAAAUACUAGAAUUUUUGAAUUUUGAACACAAGCCAAUUAAGAGACGCUCGACUGCUAAGUGCUAAUGGACUACUGUGCAAAGAUUAUUUCCUAAAGUGAUGAAUCCUCAACAACUGAGCCAUACCAAAUUCUAAUUGAGACUUUAAGAGUGCUGCAGAAUCCCACUCUCUUGGAUAUCUUCAACUGCUUUGGGUUUAAUUUCCACGUAUAUAUAACAAUCAUUCAAUUUCAAUACACAAAGAUUUAUAAUAAUUCUAAAUGAAAUCAUACCAGAUCAUAAACUUUUGAAACGGACUAAACAAAAUAUUACAAGUUACAAACCAAAAACAACACAAAACCCCCCAAACCAACUCUAAAACAAUCAGAUCUACCCGUGGAUUACACGGGCUUAAGGACUAGUUAUAUAUUAAAACGGUGGGGUUUCGUUUACACAAAAUUUAUACACAUGAUUAUACUCAAUUUCUAAACCGUCCAUAUCUAUUAAUCUAACGGUUUUAAUUCACAGAGCUGGCCACGUAUUAAUACCGUUAGAUUGAAGAGUUAAUUAAAACAAAUAAAAAAAUUAAUAUAUUUUGAAUUUAGCAUGCCACGCAUUACUGUUAACUGGCACUAGGAUAGAUUAUUAAAUGCUCAAAAUUGGAGAAUUAAUUAAUGACCAAAAUGCCAACAGAAUGCAUCUUUAAUGACUAAACUGACUGUUUUGAACUUUGAUGACUGAACUGGAAAUUUGGACAAGUACAAUGACCAAAUUAAGUGAACAACAUCUGUUACAAGAUCAAAUGUUACAAAAAUUGGUAUAACAUCAUCUUCUAAAGAUGAAAUUAGAGUUGGGGUUUCAAUUCAAGUGUUAUGGGAUUUUUUUUUAAUUGAUUGUCUUAAAUUGAGAUGAUGAGCAUAUUGUGUUUAUUUUCAAAUUUGAACAAAGUUGAAUUAGAAAUAGAAUGGGGAAAUGGUUUGCUAGUAACAACAAAAACAUCAACAAGGGUGGGUACUUGAAGAUGAUUGGAUUUGAGAAAGAAAAAAAAAUUAAAAAGAAAUUCUUUUAGAACAAGGAGUUCAUCUUCUUCUAUAAUAUCUUCAGCUUCAUCUGGGAGUAGUUCUUCACUGAUGGAAUGAGGGGAAGUAAAGAAGAGAAUGAGUUGUGGAGACCAUCUGGAUUUUCUUUAUUAGUUUCAACACAUAACAGGGUUAGAAUCGGUAUUAAGACCUUAACAUUAUCUCUUCUUUUCUCUAUCCUAAUCAGCUAACUUUUUUUAUAACAGAUUUGUUAACAGAGUAGUGUAAUCUCAAAUUAAGAACUUUGAAUGUGGUUUAUGCAAAUUACGCAAUGUUCAAGUGUGGUUUUGACAAAUUCCCUCUUAAAUCAAAGAAUACAUGUAGAUUCAGAAUGAUAUUCAUGCACGAAUUUUGUGAGAGCACACUUUCUUGUGUGUUUGUCCUCCAUUUUUGUAUAGUUCAUUUAUAGUAGUUAAUACAUAAAAAUGUAAAAUUUAGAAUGUCUAAUUUAUUUGAAAAACUAAAAAUUGCAAUGCUUUGUAAUACACAUUAUUUCCUUGAUUUCAUCCUCUUCAGAUUUCAGUAUUUGAGAAUGUAAAAACUAUAUCAUAGAGUGUUCCUAAAUUACUGCAUGUUGAUUUCUUUUUAGGGUUAUUUUGUAUUUGGUCCCUCUAGAAUAUUUAUAUUUAGCAAGUGGUAUAAAGUUUUUCAAUUAUUAGCAGUUAGUCCUUUUUCCGUUAUUUGACUGGCAGUCAACUCUGUUGACUAUAGUCAAACCAUCCAAGUUUUUAAAAUACCUAAACUACCCAUGCACAUGUUAAUCAUGUGCAUUUUUAUGAACAACAAAUAUCAUUCUAUGCUUCAUCCAAUGAUCCAAAAUAAACCAAUAAAUAGAAAUAAACUAAACAAAAUAAUAGAAAUAAAAAAACAAGGGGGAUUUAGAGAUACCCCCAAAAUAAUAUGAACUCUUUGAGAUACCCCCUAGAUUUAGAAACUCUUAGAGAUACCCCCCAUUUUUCCAUUUGAAGCCGGUCAACCAAGCCUUUGACCAUGGUCUGACCAAUCUUCAUAUUUUCUAGACAAUUUUACCGUCCCACCAUUUAAACCCACAUCCUAGUCAUUUUGCCCAGUCAACAAGUAUGCCAUGUCAGCAAACAACUUAAAGUUACUACUUGUUAUUCACACCCAGAAAACCCUAUCCUAACCCACCUAGUUUUUACUUGAUCUAAUCACAACCGUCCAUAUAUAAUCUAACCAAACUUAAAAAAAAAACCCCAAGUAUUCAAAUUUCAUCUUUCCACCAUUAAGAAACAGAACCGAGCGGGAAAGUGCAACUCAAACUUAGGGUUUGUGAUCUACUCUUGAUUUCAAACAAAAAUUGUUGUUUCUUCUUCAAAAUUCUUCCAUUUUCUUAGAAAUCAAUUUCAUGCUUUAGAUUUGUUGCUGAAAAUUGUUUUAAACUCAAAUGAUGGCGGCUCCACCACCAAUUUAUGAAAUAUCUUCUGAUUCUAGUGAUGAAUCCAUGUUCAACUAUGAGAAUUCAAGUGCAGAAAACGAAGAAAUCUAUUAUCUUGGUGUCGAGAAUACUUUUCAUUAGAGAUACCCCCCAAAAUACAAGUUUCAUUUGAGAUACCCCCCAAAAUUGCAGAGAAAGGUAAUUUGAGGAAGAUGAUGAACCAAAUCUCAAAAACUACCAAAAUAUACAAUACAAACUACACAAAGGUGACAAAACCACCAAAACUAUCAUUUACCUUCAUCUCAACUUUUCAACUAAGUAGACAAAAUGUGUUAAUUUGAAAUUUGCCUUUCUUUAGAUCUUCUUCAAGAUAUGUUAAUGGGGUAUCAUCUUUUCACUAGAUCUAGUAAAGGAGUGAUAAAAGAAUGGAAACGAGAGACGAUAAUGGCCAGAUCUGUAAUGAAGAAGGAGGAUAAAGGGAUGGGGAUAAAAAAAAAAUUGAAGGUGAAGAAUGGUUGGAUGAAGAAAAAACAAGAUAGGAUGGAGAAGAAGGAAGAAGGAACAAAAAUGAUGGUGAAGAAGAAAAAGUAAGAGAUGGAGUUUGGGUUAAGUGAAGGAGGAAGAAGAAGAAGGAGGAGGAGGAGUUUGAUGAUGAUAAUGGUCACAUAACAAUUAGUUAAUUCUACCCGUAGGAUUAGAUCUAGAUCUAGAUCUAAGUUGAACGGUUAGGAUCAAAGUGGUAGCUUUAAGUUGUUUGCUGACAUGGCAUACUUGUUGACUGGGCAAAAUGACUAGGAUGUGGGUUUAAAUGGUGGGAGGGUAAAAUUGUCUAGAAAAUAUGAAGACUGGUCAGACCAUGGUCAAAGGCUUGGUUGACCGGCUUCAAAUGGGAAAAUGGGGGGUAUCUCUAAGAGUUUUCAAAUCUGGGGGGUAUCUCAAAGUGUUCAUAUUUUUUGGGGGGGUAUCUCUAAAUCCCCUAAAAAACAAAGAUAGUGAUAAACAACAAUAACAAAAUCUUGCAAAGUAAUAUCCCAUCAAUCUAACAACCGUUAAUACAAAAUCAGAAAACCAACCCCAAAAUUAUUAGAUGAAACCCAAUUUUCUUUUAAGCAAUUGAAAUUGAAAAGUCAUUCUUUUUNNNNNNNNNNNNNNNNNNNNNNNNNNNNNNNNNNNNNNNNNNNNNNNNNNNNNNNNNNNNNNNNNNNNNNNNNNNNNNNNNNNNNNNNNNNNNNNNNNNNNNNNNNNNNNNNNNNNNNNNNNNNNNNNNNNNNNNNNNNNNNNNNNNNNNNNNNNNNNNNNNNNNNNNNNNNNNNNNNNNNNNNNNNNNNNNNNNNNNNNNNNNNNNNNNNNNNNNNNNNNNNNNNNNNNNNNNNNNNNNNNNNNNNNNNNNNNNNNNNNNNNNNNNNNNNNNNNNNNNNNNNNNNNNNNNNNNNNNNNNNNNNNNNNNNNNNNNNNNNNNNNNNNNNNNNNNNNNNNNNNNNNNNNNNNNNNNNNNNNNNNNNNNNNNNNNNNNNNNNNNNNNNNNNNNNNNNNNNNNNNNNNNNNNNNNNNNNNNNNNNNNNNNNNNNNNNNNNNNNNNNNNNNNNNNNNNNNNNCUCGCACGUGCAUAGGUAGUAUAGGCAUUUUGAAAAAUUGGGUGGUUUGACUACAGUCAAUUGAGUUGACUGUUAGUCAAGUAACAGAAAAGGGACCAAAUACUAAUAAAUGAAAAACUUUAUACCACUUGCUAAAUACAAAUGUUCUAGAGGGACCAAAUAAAAAAUACCCCUUCUUUUUAUAAAUACUAGCACUUUUGAUUGGAGAAGUCAAUAAUUACAAUCCUUGAGCUAGCCAGUAGUCACACAUACCAGAGACCAUCAGCAUCAUAUUAUACUCAAUGUAUCACAUGUACUGCUAGCCUAAUCUGCUAUUGCAAAAUAGCUAGGUUCAGCUGAAAAUUUCAAAGCUCAGAGAGCUAGGUAAUGAAAUGUAAUAUUUAUUUCAGCUUUUAUUAGCACAGUGGAUUAGGCUACCAUUAAUUUGAUCCAGUCAUAGAGCAGUAGAAUAGUGGUGAUUACUCUGCUUGUGGUGUGUAUAUAUAUAUAUAUAUAUAUAUAUCAAUGAGUGAUACAAAUUACUAGGCAAAUAAACUAUUGAAUGCGGAAUUAAAUAAUAACAGUAAAUAAGAUGAACAAAACACAAGAUCUCGAAGAAAACUAUCUUCUUUACUGAAUAUUAUGAAGAUUACAAGAAUCUCUGCCUCACAAUACUCUCUAGACAAGCUAAGCCCUAGCUGCCUCUCUUCUAAACACACUUGACCUUAGUGGUUUCUCUAAACAACUAAAUAAAUUGUUUCUCUAAACAAGCUAAAAUAAACUAUGUUUGGUCUAUGUUUUGGGUUAUUCCAAAACAUCACUAAACCACUAAACCUUAGUGGUUUAUCUUGAAACAAGUAAAGACUACAUGUUUCUCUCUCUAUAUUUUGGUUUAUGCCAAAACAUAUAUUUAUAGGCCAAGGUUUUCUUUUCCUUGUCCUACAAGAAAAAGAACUGCUAAAUUUCCAAGUAGGAUACACCUGUAUCAAUGAGACUAUAGUAUGAACUCUGUAUGACAUAAGAAGCAACAGAAGAAAGCGAAACACAUCAUCUUUCUUUCAUAUUUAACAUCUUUCAUUCCAUUUUAAAUGGUAAAAUCGCAGCGGAAGAAAGAGAAACACAUCAUCUUUCUUUCAUAUGUAGCAUCUUUCAUUCCAUUUUAAAUGGUAAAAUCUGCACUUUUAUUUCAAAAAGAAAGAAAUGCCCCUUUUAAUCAUUAAUUUGGAAAUGCAAACCUUUCUUGAAACAUUUAGUCUUAUAUUGGAUAAUAGUGCAUGCAUGAUAUGUUUUUAAUCAUGCAGAUUAAAGCAUUCCUUAGAUAACAGUACAUAUUAAAAUACAUUUAGCUAGCAUAAUCUUAUUAAUUUCUUGUUCUCACAUUCAUGCAUAGAUCGACUUAAGCAUGACCUCCUCCUCCUCCACUUCCACCUCCUUCACCUCCACCAUAUCCACCUGCACCUCCAUAUCCAGCACCACUACCAGCGCCGCCUCCACUUCCACCACCAUACCCAGCUCCAGCAGCACCAUAUGCAGCN
rnacentral:lncRNA from 1 species